AAUAUGAAUAAGUCUAACAACUAGCUAACUGUCAUGGUUUUCAGUCUGGAUAGGUUGUGGUAGGUUUCUUGAUCAAGUCAACACAAGCAAAGAGGGAAUUAUCAGUCCCUGAGUUUAUUGAUCAAACAAGCAAAAGGUACACAUGAGAGACUACUCUCUUCCACUGGAUGAACUAGCUCAAACUGAAAAAAGUCAGGGAAUAAGGUUCAGCACAUACAAACUAACAACUCUAGCCACUAACUAACUAAAAACAGAAAUAACAAACUUAAGAGCCUAAAGGAAAAACCCAACAGAACAUAAAACAAAUUAACUCAAAUCCUUUCUUCCUAUAAUACACUUUUAGUUUCUUAGUUGGAAGAACUUCAAUGCCUGAAACUCUUUACAGCUUUCAUUUGUAUGUAUACUUUCUCCUUUCAAUAAUAAUAAAAAAAUCUAGGUAUCAUUGGUAAAACUUUGUCAUUAAACAUCUUGUGUUCUUAUUUUGUGAUUUCCUUUUUCUUAUUCUUUUAAUAUCACUUUUACUUUUAACAAGUGACUUUAAAAAAGAUUGUAAAGUUUAUAAAACACAACUCAAUUUCGCUUUUCCUCAUUUUUUUUUUUGAAAAAAGUUGGAAAAUGCAAAAAGUAUUAUUAAUUAAGUGGUGGAGUUUGAACAAAAACUUUGAGGUGCCGAAUUUAUAAAAUUUUAAUUGAUAAAUUAAAUAUAAUAUUUUGUUGUAUUAAAAUUUUACUUUGCAAAUUUGCGAAUGCAGCGUCAGAGGGAGGGGGAAUUACACUAUAAAAUUGAACGAAUAUAGGAGAGAUGGAGCUACAGGAGUAACAUAUCGGUUUGGUUUAUUUUUUAAGAUAGGAAAAAAUCUAAAAGAUAAUUUGAUUGAACUUUUACAAUUUUUCUCACAAAAUUCAAACCAAAUCAAUGAAGAACAUGUUGAUUUGAUCUGGUUCAAUCGACCUAAUAUUUUUAAAAAUUAAAACAAUUAUUUCAAAAAAUUUAACUUCUUUUUCAAACACUAAAUUUUUUAUACUUUUAAACAAUUACAUAAACUUUAUUUAUGACAACAGAAUAUAAAUUACAAUAAAAAAAAUAAUAUUACAUAUUUUUUAAGAUAACUAUAUUUAUAUAGUUGGUUUCCAUCUUAUAUCAAUGGUCGGUUUUUAAUGGUGUGAAAUCAUAUUCAAAUUAACAUAGGUUGAGUUUAUUUGAUUUAAUUUAAUUUAGAUUCAAACACCCUGAAAAAAAAAUAUUACUCAAUUUAAUUGAUUUUAAUUAAUUUUUUUAUUCUAUCAAAUUAUUGAUUUGAUUUUUCCUUAGGCGAAAUUCAUAAACAAUACAAUUAAAAUUUAAAUUAAAAAAUAUAGUGUAUUUUUAUUAAAAAAAAUUAUAAUAUUUUUGUUAAAUUAUUUUUAGAAAAAAAUUGUAAGAAUUUUGAGGUGAUCAUUUUCCAAUAAUCCUCUGGCACUAGGUCAAUGUGUUAUGAGAUAGUUAAAACUUGUCUAUAAAUAGGGAGUUAUAUAGUUAGUGGAGGUAUCAUUUGAAUAUGGUAAAUAUUUAUUGAAUAGAGAAUAGACUCUAUCGUGAAGGGGAAUUUCUCUCCUAAUUUUAAUUCUCAAUAAAAAUGCUCUUUUUUGAAAAUCCAAUUUUGAGGUUAACAUAGAAAGAGAAAUAAAUUUAUUUAUUUUUAUGAGCAAAUUAAUAUUAUUGGGAGUAAAAGAGAAAUAAAACUUAAAAAUUACUUGUGUGUUUGAGAAUCCCAUCCAGAUAUAUUGGCUGCUUCAGUGAGAGCGGCUUUCCAGUUAAGCACUUUCUGUUUGGAAUCAACAUCAUUCUCUCCAAGAUCUCUUUCAUGUUUAGCAAAUGCUUUUUCAUAACUUCCACUCUGAUUUCUUAUAUGAGACGGAUCUGUUUUAUAGAAAACAGGUAUAACAACCUGACCGUGAACUUUUCUUCUACAUUCAAGUAUUUUAACAAGCUCUUCCAAGCACCAUUUUGAGGAAGCAUAGUUUUCUGAGAAAACAAUGAUGGAAACAUGUGAGUCCUCAAUUGCUUUGGCAAGUGAUGGCCAAACAUCUUCUCCUCUCUUUAGCAGGUAAUCUAUGUAUGUGUUGAUUGAUUUAUGUCUCAAAGCCUCAUAAAGAUCCUUAGUGAAACCAAUACGAGUGUCCUCGCCUCUAAAGCUAAGAAAUACAUCGUGCUUUUUCUUAGAGUAAGACAUUCACAUCAACCGGUAAUUGCAACUGUUCCGGACCGGAGUGCGGCCCACCAAGCGUCUCUUAUUGGACCUUAGCCCAAUUCAUCAAGACUAAGUGCCGAAUUUGCCCCCAGUCAAUCAUAGUCGUUCACUAGCAUCAGCAUAACCAUCUCCAUGUCACUCCUCCAUGAGGAACUAUUAUAUAAAGACCUUCAGAAAUAUGGUACCUAUUUAUUCAUUCAUUCAUUCAUUAUCUUUCACUUCCUUCGUCUCCUACUGACUUGGACAGAAUGUUUGCAGGUACCGCACACUGCCACCAGAAAACUGUCUCCGUCCGUCUCCAAGGAUCCUGAAUGGAUAAGCAACUACUGCAACAAAUUAAGAAGGAAUAUGCUCUUUGUUUAUCAUCGUUGACGGAAAUUUUAGUACCUACUACCCAUGUGCUUACAAAUGUUUGUUUAUAUAUCGAAUAUAAAAUAAUACUGAGAUACCUUUUUUUUUUCCUGAAUAGAUUUCUUUUUUUGUUUGGCCUUAUUUAUGAAAUAUUACUAAAAUUGUAACAACCCAUGUUAUUUUUUCGAUAAUAUGUAACAAUCCUUGUUGCUAUCAUAAACUUCUGAUAAAGGCAUGCAUAAAAUUUUAUCGGACUCCUGUCAACAUUUCUUUUGACUCUUUUUCCCUUUAUUGUUUUAAAAUUUAUAAAUAUAUACUUAAUUUCAUUUAGGUUUCAUAAUAGACGAUGAAAUUGGUGAUUUGAUAAAUAGGUUGAAUACAUUCAUAAAUGAUUAAAAUAAAAGAAAAUGAAUCUAAGGAAGUAUAGUAAAAUAAAUGAGGAAAGGGGAAGAAAUCAAAUGUGAAUCAAUACAUAAUUUGAACAAAAAAAUAGAAUUAAAAAUCGUAAGUUAAAGGACACAUGUAGCUGAUUGAUUGGCAAAUUUUUAAGUUCCUCCUCCUUGGUGCAAUGUGUUUCGGCUGUGAGAUCUAUCACUACUGGAGUUUUCCUAGAUACCUGCAGAUUUUGCAUAAGAAUUAGUAGAAAAUAGACUUCCUAUAGAUUUUCUUAUGAAACUUUGUUAUCAAAAUACCUAUGUUGAUAAUUGUUACCUGUAAACUUUUAAUUCUUCAAGUAAAUAGGCAUGAAAUUUCUACAGGUACAUCCACAUAAAAUUUUUACACGUAGAUUUAUAGGAAAUUUUAGUGGUAAAUUUUUUGAAGUAAAUCUAUUUACCAUAAUUGUAAUUAACAGGAAUCGAUGUAAAACAUGUGAUACAUACCUUGAGCUAAAAAAUAUAAGCUUGGUAUGCAGCACGCAGACAACCACAUUAUUCUAAAACGGAGGCAAUAAUCUCAUUAUGGCAUAAUGUCCUUCAAGCAUUUCAAAAUUUGAAUCCAACUCCCACUUCUUCUUUUUGACAUGAUCAAUCUUCUCACAGGCUUGUAUGGUCUUAGAGGCUAUAUUCUUAGCUUCUUCCACCAUUUCACGUCUUUUCUCUUUACAUUUCGAGCAAGCAUCCUCUAACUUCGACUUCUCUUGCUGAACCUUAAAUGCUUUUUCCUCUAGCAAACGAAUUUGCACUUUAAUAUCUUCAAUUUGAACAUCCAUGUCCUUAAUGUUAUCCUCACCAACAGUGAUGGACUCUUCGAACUUUAUUAUCUUAUCCUUGGAUGCUUGAAGCUUGCAUAUUGCAUCUUUAUGGUCCACUUUAAGUUGUUGAAGAGUAUCAUUACUAAGUUUUCCUUCAUCAAUAUUGACUGUGGCUUCUAUAAAGAUUCUGGUGAAAUCAGUAAUACCAGAACUUUGUUUCUCAGAAAGCUCAUUAGCUCUAUGAUUGAGCUUAACUAGUAAAGCUUUUACCUCUUUUUCAAGGGUCACAUCAUUAGGUAAAUGUUUCAAUAAGUUCCUUGAAAAUGCCAAUUGCCUUAAUCGGUUAAGUAGCAUCUCAAUGGACUCACUCUGAGUUUCAGUAGCUUCUGCUUGUAUUGUAGAUUGAGAAGGUUGUGAUGAACUGCUGAGUUCACCAGAUAAGAGUUUCUCCAUAAUUGCCAAAGGGUCUUCUUCAAGGAUUCUCUUAUAUUCAGAAUAAUCAACAGGAGAAUGUUCUGCAGGAGUACUCAAUUUUGAAGAGUCCUCUUCAGUUCUUCUUAUUGAACCCUUUGAAGCAGAGGGUUUACUUGAAGAACUCUCAGAUGCCAUUGGGGAGUUUGGAUUUAGUUUCUUAGGAGCUUCUUGUAGUUGUAGAAAAUUAGUAUAAGAAUCAAAUGGAAUCUCUAGAUUGUUCACUAAUGAUAGUGGUGAUUGUUGAAGAUUCUUAGUUUCCUGGUAAAUUAGGAAACAAUCAACCUUCUAGUAUUGAAGAAUAAUAUAAUUUGCAAUAAGAAUGAAGGUUGUUUCAUAUCAUUAAGGAAUUCAUAGAGAAAAGAGACCCUAGUAAUUCGGAAUUCGAUUAUGCGGUAAGUAACAUCCAAGCAAAGCCAUUGUGAUGGGCCAAAUUGGUUACUCUAAAUCAGCUUUUGUAACCUCCUUUCAACUUGAAUAAAAAUGAAAAUAACUUUCAGUCUCUUGCAUUCCAUUUUAUUCUCUCAAUUCUGUUCGCAUUAUUUGUUUUAUUAUGCUAUUCAUGAAUUUUGUUAGUAAGUAUGGCAUGAUGAAACAUUGUUCCAAGUUCCAACCGUGGGUUUUAUGCUGAGUUUUCAUUUUCCCUUUGCUUAGCAACGUUACUAGGACACUAUUUGAAAGGAGUAAAAGGGUGAUUGUGAUAUAAUUAGCAGGGAUAAAGAGGUUGAAGGUGUAAGUAUUACCUUAAUUUCUUUAUUGAAAGGUGAUUCUACAUCAGAACCUUCUCCAGUAGAAUCCUCUUCCUUCUCGAAUUGUUCUUGUUUGUGGGAAGAAGUUCCGAUUUCCUCUCCAGACUUUGUAGAAGUACUCUCAGGAAGAAUCUUAAAUUUCAUCAUUUCUUUCGAAUUAUCAUCAUAGUCCCAAUUUUCUUUCUUUUGAGGCUUGUCGUAUACCUGAGUAUCAUUAGAGACUAAAGAAAAAGAAAAAGAAAUGGUAAGGUUCACAAAGAAAAAAUGGACUAUCUAAUCAGAGAAAAACAUCAUCAGAAAGAUAACAUAUAACAUUUGUGAAAGAGAGCCAAAAAUUUCAUACCAAUCAAACAUUCGUAUGAACUAUGACAAUGUUCAUUCAAGUCAAAUUGUCGGUUCAGUAUGCCAGUGUCUUCCUUGUUAUCACCUAUUUCAAAUGAUUCAAUGUCAGUGCCUUCUCCCUCAUCAUAGCCUUUAACUGAUCUUGACUCAAAUUGAAUUGCCUCAGACAACUCUAAUCUUAAGUCCUUGUCUAAAUUCCCUGUGCUUAAAACCCUCUGACUUUCUGAGUAGUAAAUUGGACAGAUCCCGCACUCUUUGAUACUUAAAAGGCCACCAAGUUCUCUCCUGCUACUUGUAUAAGUUGAAACGCUGAACUCAAAAGAAAUAUUUCUUUCAAUACUCCUGAGUAUACUGUCAGAAUGGUAUGGAUCAUACCAUACAAAAACAUGAUCCAUGUUCAACUUUGUAAACGGUUUAUGAUUACACCAAGACCUAUAUCCCACCCUCCUCUUUCCAUCUUCUGAAUAACCUUGACAUAGGAUUUCAACAAAGUAUCCACGAUGUUGUGUUCUGUUGUAUGGAGAAACAACGACUGAAAAAAUGAAUCCCAAUGAAUUGGAAACAUCGAUAGUUACGGAGGAAUAUGUUGUUGAUCGGUGUUUGAACUGAGUUGGAACUUUGCGUCCUGGCAAACAAACCUCGGCACUGUUAUAAUUGAAGCUGUGGGUUUGGAAUCUGUACUUCCUCACCAAUACAUUGUGAAAGGCAGCACUUCUCAUCAUUAAUAUGGCAUCUUCUGUAAUGCGGUCAAGGGAGGGCCCAUCCAAUUCCAUCUUAAUGCUAUUCUUAAAUGAAAUGUAUUUUUUCUUUCCAAUCAUGCUUAUUGAAAAAGUCUUCAAAGUGGAUACUGUCACUAGCGAGGUGCAGUUGUUGGCUUGAAACUCUUUGAUGCUUGAAGGAAGUUCUGGCAGACAACGAAGCUUACUGCAGUUGUCUAAAGACUGAACUUCUAGCCCUGAGAGGUACUUGAUGCUAGCAGGCAACUUCUCCACACUGCUUCCAUCUAGUCUUAAUUCAUACAAUGAUGUUAAGGAACUAAUGUUUGCAGGGAGUUCAAACAAGUUACAACAGUCUUUCAAGUGUAGUAAUGUUAAUGAUUCCAGACCAUCAAAAAUGGCUUCUAACUUUGAUUUAGUUACUACACUGCACAUAGAAACACGGAGUUGAGUAAGUGAUCUCAAGCGAGACAAUUCAUUCGGUAGAUUUGUUAGAUUUAAACCUUCAAGGUUCAACCACAUAAGCUUGUCCAUGCCCCCGAUUGAUGAGUGCAAUAUUUCAAUUCCUGUAUUGCUCAAAUCCAACUUUUUUAUUGAAUCCGAGGAUAAUGAAAAUUCCUUCAGACUUAAGCAGCCAUUGACACUGAACUUGAUUAGAGAUGUUAAAUGCUUCUCACUCACAAGACUUUGCAAUUUUGUGCACCUAUCCAGUAGCAAUGUAUGAAGUGUGUCCUUAGAAAAAGCAGAAGCUUGAACUUCACAUAAACUUUCACAACCUGAAAGGCGCAACUGUUUGAGUUUUAAUGCCCCAGACAAAUCAGGGAGGUUGAUCAAGUGUUUGCACUCACUUAGGUCGACUGCCUCUAAAUUCACAAGUUCCUGUAAAAAAUCAAAAGGACAUUUCAAAUGUUAUUAAUAUUCUAAAAAAUUUAUUUAAAUUGGUCGUUCAAGCAUAUAUUCAUUUUCACACCACACAAGGGAAGAAGAAAACACAACGGCAUGGGACUCAACUUUAUUUGGGUUGGACCUAACACAACCCCACAAAACUGGCUUGUAGAGUGAGGAUUAUCCGCUACUUAUAAACACUUUGUCGGGCUCUAUUUCAUCCAACGUGUGACUCUUAACACUCUUAUUUUCAUUUGCAUAAAAAAACGAAGAAAGAAUCAAGGAUCCAAAUGAAUUAGUGUAAGUACAUACACGCACCUGCAUUCCGUACCAAAGAUAUUCAACAUUGCUGUGCGGCAAAUGAAUCUCAAUCAGCUGCUCAGCACGAAAAGGUUGUGGAAGAGACUUCAAGGGAUAUCCAUUCCACUCAAGGUAUGUCAAUUUGUCAAAAAAUGGCAUCAUGACUUUAGGAAGAUGCACAGUGCCCAAUUUCUUCUUACCUGGAGGGAUGUGGAAUUUAAGAAACCUUAAUUUAGUCAUCACAUUGAAUGUGUCAGCUCGAACAUGUAAAUCUACUUGUUGAGACAAAUCAAAUAUUAUUCCUUCAAUUGCAUCAGUCCCCUGACAAAUUGAAACAUUACCAAAGCAAAUCAACUACUAUAAUUUUUAUUUAUAAAAUGUUAGCAACACUUCAUACCUUGUUAUUUCCAAGUACAUCACAAAUGUCUUUAGCAUCCCUCAGUCGGCUGCGCUUUCCUGAAUCAUUAUAUUUUUCUUGAACUAUAUCAAAUGCAAUUUUUUGUAGUAAGUCGUGCAUUUGUAUUCUAUUGUUGUUUGAAAUGCUUAUAAGAGCUUUAUCUUCCAGGAUUAUUAUUCCACUAGUUGCAUUGAAACCAAAGGCAUCUAGUAUCCUUGUCACCAAAUCUUUGUUUUCACCUUUGAAAAAGAAUGCAAUGUCUAGAAACAUUUCCUUCUCUCGCCAUGAUAAUCCAUUAUAACUCACUCUUAGCACUUGUUGAAUUUCAUGUAAGGCUCCCCCCUUGCUCUCAUAAUAAUUCAACUCAGAUUCCCAGAAUUCAACGUUUCUGGAACAAAAAUGUGAACCCAAAACUUUUAAAGCUAAUGGAACACCUCCUGCAUAUUCAACUGCCCUUUUCGAGAAAAACUCGAAACCCUUUCUAGGAUGGCUUUGCUUGAAGGCUCCUAAGCUAAAAAGCAUUAGAGAGUCUUUAAGCUUCCAUGUUGUGACCUCAUAUAUCUCAUCAACUUUUCCACUAAGCAUAUGCCUGUCUCUAGUUGUGAUAAUGAGUCUGCUGUUUGGUCCAAGGUCAUCAAGUACUCCACACAAAUCAUCUAAUUGUGUAGCAUUAUCAACAUCAUCAAGUACAAUGAAACUUUUUUUACCACUGAGCCUCCUCUUGAUGAAUUUGCGUAGUCCAUGAAUAUCAGAUGCAGUAAUUUCUCGCUUCAGUAGUUCACUAAGAAGCUUAUUGCGAACAAUAAUUGGUCCUACCUUUUGUGAUUCUUCGCUCACCUUUUCUAAGAAGCAUACAUUGUCAUAAUGGGCAAAGUUCUUGGCAAAAAUCUGUUUGGCUAUGGUUGUCUUUCCUAUUCCACUCAUUCCCCAAAUUCCAAUUCUUGGUAUUGUUUUCAGUAAUAAUUCAAUAUUUUCGUCAAUUUUAACAACGUCUUUCAGUUCAUUAGGAUACAUGAGAGACAACUUUUGCAAAACAUCUUCCACAAUGUUCUCAAUGACUUGAGAAUCAUCCCUGGGAAAAUAAAUCAAGAAAAAACAAAUUAAUUGCACUUAACAAAAAGUUCAGUUUGGUCAAUAAGUUUCUACAAUUCCAUAAGAACAUCAUGAACAACCCAUCAAUUGGACCUAGACAACAAGACUAGCCCCAGAUAUGUAGCAAGACAACUACUUAUUCAAACUGUAAUGAUAUAUGAACACCUACUUUUUGUACACCUUCACGACACAUGGUUAAUCACAUGUAAAAAUGUGGUUAAUUCGAUUGAGCAAAUGGUUAAUUCAAACAAGGGUAAAAAAUUGUGGUUAAUUCAACUACAGAAUUAACCACAAUUUUCAAUGUGGUCUAAAUUAAUCAUUUAUUCAACAAAAUUAACCAAAUUUUUGCACGCAAUUAAUCAAGUGUCUCAAAUGUACAAAUUAGUGGGUGUCCGUCCAUGAAACAUUUUUGUUAUCUAAAUCAACCACUAUAUCACAAAUUCAGCAUAUAAUAUACAAAUUCAAAAGUUACUUACGAGCAUAUAUAUUAUAAAAGAUAAAAAUGAAUACAUGAGUUUAGAGGAAAUAAAUUAAAUUAAAAUAAAUAAAUAGUUACCUAUAUUUGCGAGAGUCCCAUCCAGAUAAAUUGGCGGCCAAAGUGAGAGCAGCUUUCCACUCGGACACUUUGUCUGCAUGAGAUUUACUGUUGGCAAGUUCUCUAUCAUAUUUAGCGAAUGCUAUCUGGUAACUCUCUUUCUGAUGACGUACAUGUGAUGGAUCUAUGUUACAGAAGACGGGUAUAACUACCUGACCAUGAAGUUCUCUGCAUUGGAGUAUGUGGAGGAGUUCAUCCAAACACCACUUUGAGGUUGCAUAGUUUUCUGAGAAAACUACGAGGGACAUAUGGGAGUCUUGGAUAGCUUUGGCAAGAGCAGGUCCAACCUCAUCUCCCUUUACAAGUUCAUAAUCAAUGUAUGAUUUGAUAUUUCUAUUGGUUAGAGCUUGAUGAAGCUGAGCAGUAAAGUGUGCACGUGUGUCUUCUCCCCUGAAGCUAAUGAAUACAUCGUAUUUUUUGGUAGAGGUACGCAUAUUAUUAAUUUCUUGCUGUUUCACCACAUUUUCUUUCUUCUAGCUUAGGAAACAGAGUCUAGUUGCAUUCAUUAAGAAACUUGAGAUAUAGGAGGACCCCUUUCUUUCACGGUGUUUGAAGCCAUUGGCAUUUUGACGAGAGAGAGGAGAAACACCAACAUGUGGGUCCCCACGAGUUUUUUAAAGUCGCGUGGGAAGAAAGAUCGACAAAAAGGACUGAUUAACUUUGUUUACUUCGUCAACGCUUCUGAUACUUAGUGGUGUCAAAUGCGCUAUGAAUGUGAAAUAAUGUGAUAGCAAAGAGUAGUAGUAGUAUAUGCACUGUAGCCAACUAGCCUGAGUCUUUUAAGUUUUACCAAUAAUUUUGACAACUUGGUGAUGGAGGGGUUUGUACUUUGUGGGGUCGGAAAAAUUUAAGGAAAAUGUUGACAAAUGAAAAAAUCAAAUAUAAAUAAUAAUAAAAAAAAGUAUUUAAGGUACUAAAAAGUUUAAAAUUUGUUUUUUUCUUUCAAAACAAAUUCUAUUUUUAAACUUUUAAAUUCGUUUAUAAGUGUUCGAAGAAGAUAUUUUAACAAUAUAUGUUACCAUUUGUUUGAUUGUGGAGUAGAUUUUUAUGUUAAGAUAAAAGCUUAAUUUUGUAACUUCAACAUUUUCAUGUUAAACUUGUUUUGUAGUGCAAUAUUUGGUAGUUUAACACAAAAUCGUAUACACCAUUAAUUAAAUAUGAAACUAAAUUAUUUCUGAAGAAGUCUUUGUUUUACGGAUUACAGACUUAUUCUUUGGAGUGUAAUAUUGAGAAAUUUAUAGCUUCAUGUUUGUUUGAAGUUUUAAUAAAUUAAGUCAAUGAACUUUUCAUUAGCAUUAAUAAAAUUUACUCUUAUCUUUCUUCUUUCUUAUUCUCAUGUGAAAGAGUAGAAAUGAGAACAAAAAAUAAUCAACUGUAACUUUUCACUCCCACGUCAUUUCAUUUUUAUUUUUUUUUACUUUUUAAAAUUUUCUAACUUUUAAAUUUGAUGAAUUUAAAAAUAUUUUUUUGGAACUUUAAUUAUUUUCCAGAUACAUUGAUAGGAAUAAAAUUCUUAAUAACAUUGUUCCUGGAAAAACAUUCUUAGAAUUGAAAUUUUAAUCCUCCAAACAAAUACAUCCUAAGGUGACGAGUAUGGGUGGGAAUAGGCGCUUUGAAAGACUUGAGUCUGCCAUACGAUUAAUUUUUUAUGCCUACGGUCUAUCAUAGAUUUUUUUUUCCGGUCUGGUCUGACCUUUUUAAAAGUCUGGUCUGGCUUGAAAGUCUAUUUAAAAGUCUUAUUCACAUUUAAAUGUUCUACUUAUAUCAUAUGAUGUUCUCCACAUACCAAUAAUAUCAAUGUACAUAUCUAUAUAUAUUAAACAAAAAAUAAUUUUUCUAACAAAAUAAUUUUUAAAAAAUCUGAAACAAACAUCCUUUAAACCUUAAAAAAUAAUUUUUUAUUUCAAAGAAUAGAUUAUUUUUUCUGAAACAACAAACGCACCCAUUAUUACCUCUCAAACAAAUAUGGAACGACUACUGAUUAACUAAUUGAAUACUACCGAAUAUGGAAAAACGGUCAAAUAUAGAAUGACUACUGAGUGAUUGCAUAAUUAAUAGAAUUUAAAAUAAAAAAUAUUAUUAUUAAUAUAAUAAUAAAAAAAAUAACAUUAAUAAAUAAUAAAAUAUAUAUUGUCAGGCUUAACAGACUUUUUUAUAAGCCUGAGCCAGACAUAUUUAAAUAAAUAGACUCUAAAAAUAGCUUGAGCCUAACCUUUUUAUUAAAUAGGUCAGGUCACAAGUAAGUCAAACCAAGGCCCCUGACGGCCUAGCCUAUUCUCAUCCCUAAUGAGGAGCUAACUAAAUCUCUCGUAUGUGUUUUAUUUGUAAGGUUCUUCACAUGUUAAUAUUGGUGCUUAGAAAAUAAUAAUAUUUUUUAUGUAAAUAAUUACCGUAAUUAAUUUAAACAAUAUUAAUAUUUGUCUAUUGCAUUUAAAAACUUAUUGAAAAUUAUGAUUUGACCUUUUCUUGAGUAUCCUUGUACCAAUUUGUGACUUUUGAAAAGAUAAUAAGCGUUCAUCCGUCAUAGCUUCUCAUGUGAUCUGGCUUCUAAAGAACAACCAUCCUUCCUGUUCUGCAGUAUACAAGUACUAUUUUUUGAAGAAAAAAAAUAAUAAUUCUAACUUCAAAAUAAAGCCAAAAGAAGCAUUAUCUUGGUAUAUGCAGCGCACACAAACAACCACCAAAACCAAUCAAUAAAUAUACUCUUACAGUUUCAAAAUUGCAAAGAUAAACCAACUCUAACCUCAUUCUCAGUGAGACCAGCAAAAGAUGCACCGCCACAACCACAAUAGUGUAUCUUCACCGUGUUCCAAUUAAAGAAAUCUGAAUAAGAUUAGAGUAUCUUGAGUAUUAGUACUUUCCAAAUCUACAGGGAAUUAAAAAGAAUACUUUGAGACAAACCUCAUCUAUCACACAAUUAACAAAUGGAGAAAAAAAAACCACCAAACUGGUUGUCCUUGAUUAGUUUCUUGCAAGUGUUUCUGCAUCCUUAAAAAAUGAUCUAUUCCGAUGGAUUUUGAUUAGGGGCAGAGCGAUUGCACGCAGAAAUUUUUAAAUAAAAACUCCGACCUUAGAUUUUGAAUCGUCCUAUAUCUUAAUUGAAUGACCGAGGCCAAAGAAGUUAUAAUCACUUGUUUCCCUCCACUCACAUUAGGCGAAUUUUAAGGACAAAAAUGUGAAAAAAAUGGUGCUCAAACUUGAGGCCAGAACACAUACCAAACAAUCGGCAUUACAAUUUACAGGAGCAAAAAGAGAGUACAACUAUUGGCACUGCUACUAAAGUUAGUUAAGGGUUAUUAAGAGUCUUAAUGAUAAUUUGCUUAGAUGAGUACCAUUUUCUGUUAGUGGUUAAAUUAGUUAGUUAGCUUUUCUUCUCAAUUGCUUAUAUAUAAACAUAACUAAUAAAAAUUUCAAAUCAAUUAAUUAGUUUCCAUUCAUUCAAUAAUUUUCUGUUUCCUCAUUGUGUGUUGAGUUAAUUAUUGAUUUCAGAUUUUAUAUUUCAAGCAGAUAUAAUUAUAGUGUGCAAAGUGCAGUGUAACUACCAACUUGCAAUGAAUUUUGAACAAUUUUAACAAACUUCAAUUUUAAUAAAAAUAAUCAUUAGCAUAAUAUCAGACUUCAAUUUGAUGAAAAUUGAAAAGAGAACCACGCUACUUCCCGAAGAAAAUUUCAACAAUGGAUGCGGAAAUAGGAAGUUAUUGACAAGCGAUCGUUCUCCUCCUGUUCCACCGCAUUGGCAUUCGAAGCAAAAAUCAGUACCGAUUGGAACAAUGUGAUAAAAUCCCUAACAAUGGAAAGAAACUCGUACCUUAGAUUACAGAAAACGGAGAUCGAGUUGAAAGCGAGAGGUGCAGUGCGACAGAGGAACUACGAGGCGAUGGUAGUGAGAGAUUUAUGGUUCCAUUUAGAGAAAGCAGAGCUUCUUGUUGAAAUUGAUGGUUCGAGUCGUUGGUGUUCUUCAUCAUUAGAGUGACGAAUUGAGGGAUGAGAAAUGCAGUGUUGUUGAAGAUUGAAGUGCUCCUGCAAGAAUGAGAGAUUUCGUGAGAAUGUAGCCUUUUUUUUUUUUAAUUUAUUAUCAUCGUUCCUUGUAUUUAAGAAGUUGUGUAUAUACGAGUAAUAAAAGAAGAAAAUUAUAUUUGAAGACAUAAAAAUAUAUUUAAAUGUUAAAUAUAGCGCAUAUCAUUUUUUAAGCAAUAAAAUGAGUCUCAGCUUUUACAAGUUUCUAUACAAAAUAUUAGCACCGACUCAUUGUCAAAAUCAUAGAAGUUUAGAAUCAUUUGAAAACAUGUUCACUUAGUUUGGAAAAUUGUGUAUGAUAAUUUACCAAUUAAGGUAAAUAAAUGUCAACUAAUAUAUCAACUUUUAAUGUUAUAAUUUAGAAAAUACUCUUAAAUUAAGUUGUUUGUUUUGUAAAGAGAUUAUCCAUGUAAAAUUAGAUUUGUAAAUGUGGUUCUCAUUGUUCAGAACUUGAUUAAAACAUUCAAAUUAUUUAUAUGUUGAGAGAAGGAAAUGAAAGUGUUGAUCUUCUUGCAAAGAUUAGUUCUAGUAGUGUUGAUAAGUUUUGGGAUUUUGGGACGUACGAUUUGGUAGCCUUGCUCCUUUGUUAGAGGCAAAAGCUUUCGUUCUUCAGAGUGUAGUCAUAUUUUUUUUUUCUUUUUUUUUUCUUUGCGCUAUACCCAAAAGAGAAAAAUAAAAAUAAUUAUGGAAAUCAGUCAUUUGUUUCUCAAUGCACCAAAACUAAAUGUUUUUCUUUUGUUCCAUGUAUGUAUUUAAAAAGUUGUGUAUUUGUGGGGGAAAAUAAAUAAAUUAUAAGCCUAAAAAUGUACUUAAAUCAAUAAUUUAAAUGAUACAUUUAUAAAUUUACAAUUAGCUCUCUUAUUUCUAAGAUGAAUCAAUUGACUUAAGCAUCUCAUAAGAAAUCUACGUUUUAUGUUAAAAAGAGCACAUAUAAUUUUUUAAGCAAUAAAAAGAAUUUUAGCUUUCACAAGUUUUUAUGCAAAAUGUUAGCUCUAACUCAAAAUUAUAGAAGUUUGGAAUAAUUCGAAAACAUGUUCAGGUGUAAAUACCAUAUGUCAAUUUUAUUACAAUGUUUACAGCCAAAACAAGAAUUUGAUGGAUGACUAAGGCAAUAGUGAUCCUUGUCAUGAAAAAUUGCAUUUGAUGCUAAAGUAGCAUUCACAUAAAAAAGUCCAUUGUGACUCGUGAGCACUACCCCAACCAAUGGUAUUCUUCGUUGCACGGUCCUGGCUAAGACAAUUUGUUGAUUUUGUUAAUUGUGAAAUCGACAAUAAAUUGAAUUUAAAAGAUGGAAUGUGAAAAACAUUUGUGAGAGUAAGUGAUGGUGAAAAAUUGAUGUGCCAAUGUGUGUCACAGGCACUUGAGACCAAUCAGAUACUUGGAUAGAGAUAUGUUUAUGAACAGGAGAAUAUGAAGAAAAAAAAUAAAGAAAUGUAUACAUAUGGUUAGAAGCUCCUAAGUAAAUAAUCCAUGAAAGAGAUAAACGAGCAAAAUAUAAAUUUACCAAUGUUCCAUGAAGUGGAAUGAAUAAUCACAAGAAAUGGUUUGAUUUAUGAUUAUUUUUAAAUUUAGUUCUUAUACUUUAAUUAAUGUUUUAUUCAAUAUUAAACUUGAUAAUCAAAAAUUGAUUAAUAAUCUAUUAACUAACUAGAACGUUAUCAUCAGUUUAUAUGAAGGUAAACAGUUGUAACAAAAAAUAAUAAUAGUGAAAUGUGAUUUGUACAUGCAAAUAAUUAAAAAUAAGAAUAGAAAUAUCAUACACAAAAAGUAUAUUCGUUCACUCAACUCGAGCUAGUCAAGUCCUCUCAACUGUAAGAUUUUCACUAUUGGUUUCAGAACCAAAACAUUCUCCAUCAUAUCUUUUCUCUUGAUCACACCUUGAUCAAUUACAAUCUUUAUCUCUCAACAUAGAAAGAAUUUUUACAGUCACCUUUCAAUUUAAAAAAGACUUUUACGAACACAUUCAAUCUAAAAUAAAAUAUAGAUUUUAGUUCAUUUCAAUGUGUAUGAUCAAAAAGUGUUUGGGAUCUAAUGAUUGUCAACUUUUUAUUUGAGAUAAAUAAAGACAAAUUCAAUAAAUGAUGAUCCACAUAUAUAGUCAAGAGAGUUGGAGUUUGCCUGAAGAGUUUUUUGACAUGCGAUUACUUGAACAAGUGUUGGUAGAUUGCAAAUUGAACAAUUGCUUUCAUAUUCCAAUUGAUCUUCAAUUUAUAGACGACGAGAGGCUUUGAAUAUUCAAUUUAAAUUGAAUAUAGUCGUUAGACACAUUAGUCAAGUGUCGCAUAUAUUUUAAAACAAUUAAGCAUAUGUUUAUAUUAUUGUCCAGAACGUUAUUGACAAACCCAUAAUGUUAUUGCUUUUGAGUCUGAUGGAAAAUAUCAAUAAGUGUGAGAGUGAGUUGUCAACUAUCAUUUGACAUUGUGUGAUGUACACUGUGAAAAUGAGGUCCGUAAAGAGGACAUACCGGUUUGAGCCAUAAUAAAAACUCACAAGUUUGUGAGGACUUAUGUAGCAUACAUUAGGUGAACCAAUAUAAAUUUGGGUGUGUCAUUUUUUUAUACUCUCUCCUCUUUAUUUACUUAAUUGUCACAUAAUUUUUUUAAAUUUCUAUCAUCUGACUUUGUAGAAGAUACAACUUUAAAAGAUAUUUUUUAAAACACCAAUAUCUCUAUUCAACCCCUCAUUCUAGUGAUAUUUUAACUACUUCAACAUUCUGCAUGUUUAUUUUUGUAAGUAGACCUUCAAAUUUUGAUUUUUAAUUGAUCAUUAAAUGUUUGAAAGCUCAUAUGCGAAAUGUCAAUUGAUUUACUGCAUGUUUUCCUUUCAUAAAGAUCCCUAUUGUCAAUUGUUCUUUAAUUGAACAAUCAGAACAUUCUGGUGAAUGUUAUUUCAUUAUUAUUUUAACAAAUAAUUUAAUAAAUGACUCAAUCUUGAAAUGAUUUAUUCUUCAAAAUUGAUUCUUCUCAUUUUGUUGAACUGAUAUGAACAUUUUUUAGUGCAAUGAAUUUGUUCAUCACGAGAACAUUCAUUCAUAACAAUUGAGAAUGUUGUCUUCUAUACGAGAGGAUGAAUCUUUUGUUGAAACAAUACUUCCUACAAUUUAUGUUGGUGUUACACGUGUUGUGUCUUGUCCAUCAAGUAUCACUGAGAUACUUUAAUAUAUGUAUGAAUGUAUUUGACACUUUUUUCACGGAGAUAUUAUCUUGAAGAUGCAAUAACCGUUCUCUUGAAUGAUUUGAUAUAGUAUACAUUAUGUUUCUUUUGAUAUUCUUUCAUAAAGAUGUUAUUUGAUUUCUUUAUUUAUUUUUAUAUAUAUUUGAACUUAUAAUAUACCCAAAUGAUCAUUUUGAUCACUCUUCUUAUUCUUUGGUUCAAAAUGUUCUCAACACUUAUUGUAUUUGACUUGUUUGAUCCUCAUGAGUUCAUAAACUUCUUUGGAAGAUUUCCUUCUAAUAUCUUCAUGAAAUAAUAUUAUGACACUACUUUGAUUCUUUCACAAUUCAGUAGAUACUUAUGCACUUCUUGCUUGUCCACUUAUGCGAUUUAUGUUUCUUAAAUAAAAUUCAAGUACAAUCAUCCGUAGAUGUUGUCAUUAAAACAUAUAUCAAAAAUAUUUUUACCUUUACAAUCCAAAAAUAUCAUGUUUAGCUAAGAGGGUAAAAAAAUUUAUUGUAUUGUGCACUUGAUAAUUGAUUUGCAAGGUUACCGAAAGUGGAGGAUGGUGGCCAUGUUUUCAUUUGGAGCUAAUCAAGAAAACCAUGAAUAUGAUAUCAAGUAACCAGAGUAUGGUCAUGCUAAUCGAAAUUUGAUCUCUUGUUACAUAUAUAAAAAAAAUGGUCCAUAAGAAGGAUUUGACUACGAAACACAAAAUCUAUCAUGAACACCUUGAAGGAAUUCCAUGACACGAUCUUGAUUUUGUUGAUCAAUAAUGCUUUUAGCAUUACCACAGAUGCAUGGAGUAAUCAAUAACUUAUACCAAUUUUGUUGAUCAAUAACUUAUUAACUAAUGUUAUUUAUACCAAUUUUGUUCUUUUUAAUAAUUUUUAAAAUUUUCCUUCAAUCCUAUUAAGUAAAAGCUGUGUUUUUAACGGGAUCGACCUAAUAAGUUUAAGACUUAAAAUAAUCUUUAAAAUGAGGUUUCAAUUAUAAAAAAUAUAAAAACAAUGACAUAAUCUAAUUUAAAAUUAUAGAUAAAAGAUUCAAAAUUUUACGUAUUACCAACUAAAUUAAUAUAUAAUUACACAUAAAUUAACUUAUAAUAUAAUUAAUAAUAUCAUAGACUAUUUAGUUUACAAUUUUUUUUUCUUUAUUAAAGUAAAUCUUUUUUAGGCCUAAACCCUAGAUUUAGUGGCUUAAACCUUGUCUUUAACAUAUGGUUUUAUAGAUAGAGUAUAGACAUAUAAUAACCUUCACUUAAAUUUCUCAUAAUAAUAAUAUUAAUAAUAAUAAUAAACGUUUUUGACCUAACUAUAUGGCCCACCAUUAAUGAAUGAAAAACUAAUAAAAACAAAAAAAGAAAACCUGUCAAUUUGAUGUCUAUCUGGCUCUCAGUUCAGGAAGCACCACGUAGGACAACGUGGGAUCCAUACUCUCACUUUGCCAGGUCAUUACAUCAAUUUAUUACAAAUUAAAAUUAACCCUCCAAUUCUUAUUUCGAAACUCAAAUCACCCAAUCAAAGCUAACACUAAACAGGAGCGAAAAUAACUGCGAUGUUUCGAAAUUCAAAUAAAAAUGGGAAAACAAAAUAUAAAUGUCGACGUGGGGAAGAAAGAAGGACCCGCAAAUUGCUGAAGAGAGAGAGUGUGAGUCUCUUCUUUCUCUCUCUUUUAAACUUUUUUUUUUCUUCUCUAUUGCUUGCUUUUGUUAAUUAAUUAAUUAAAUAAUUAUCUAACUAACUUUAUUUUAUUUUUCUCUUUCUUUCUCUUUGCAUUUUGUCUCCUUCCUUGAUCUGCAACCUCGCAACACGCGUAACGUAACACUGAUUCUUCAUUCUUCUUCUUCUUUCUAUUUUUGCCGCAUUGCUACGUUCAUUCCUCAAAUUCAAUGGAGUCCCUCCCGUUUGGUUCGUUUCCGUUUCUUCUCCCUCUCUUUUGUUUCAGAUUUUUUUUUAUAUAAUUAGAUUUUUUUUCUUUUUCAUUAACUGCUUUGUAUUGUUAAAUUAGUUUUCGCUUUCAUUUUGGUCGAUUUCUUUACGCUUAAUUUUCCCUGACAAUGUUAAUUUUUUUCACACUUUAAGCUGGAUCAUUUUAUUUUAUUUUUUGGAGGGAUUUUAAAGAAAAGAAUAUAAAUAAAAAAGGAAAGAGGUUGUUUUUUAAAUUCUCUUAGCUGUUUUGAACAUAUAAUUGGGUUUGAAAUUGAGACAUUAUGAAAUUGCCUUAGCUAUUUAGCUUCUAGAUAUGAAUUCUCGAAAUUUUCAUCACUGGGAGAGGGAAUGAGUAUGUGACAUGUCACAGGAUCUCGGUUAUAGGUUUGGGAUUUUCGUAAUUCUCUUAUUAUUAUUAUUAUUAUUAUUAUUAAUUAAUAUGAUUAUGAUUGUUAUUCUUUUUUUAUGUUUCAGUUUAUUUUUAAAAUUUUAUAAUGUUAGGGUGUUUUAGGAAUUUGAAAUUUAAAUGUCAGUUUGAAUAGGGGUCCUUACUUUUUAUUACAUUUUGAAUUUAUUCAGUAUUAAUGGAUGAAUUGAAUUUUUCAUGGGUUUAACUUGUAUGCAGAUUUGGUAUAUUGUGCAGAUUUGGUAGUAUGCAUGAAAUUAUCAUGUGCUGAAGUUAAUCAUUUUCUUAAUUUGUAUGUAUUGUUAGGUUUUAGGAGAACAAAUCGGGGACAAGGGGCAGUUUGAUUAAUGAAUGAAAAACUAAUAAAAACAAAAAAAGAAAACCUGUCAAUUUGAUGUCUAUCUGGCUCUCAGUUCAGGAAGCACCACGUAGGACAACGUGGGAUCCAUACUCUCACUUUGCCAGGUCAUUACAUCAAUUUAUUACAAAUUAAAAUUAACCCUCCAAUUCUUAUUUCGAAACUCAAAUCACCCAAUCAAAGCUAACACUAAACAGGAGCGAAAAUAACUGCGAUGUUUCGAAAUUCAAAUAAAAAUGGGAAAACAAAAUAUAAAUGUCGACGUGGGGAAGAAAGAAGGACCCGCAAAUUGCUGAAGAGAGAGAGUGUGAGUCUCUUCUUUCUCUCUCUUUUAAACUUUUUUUUUUCUUCUCUAUUGCUUGCUUUUGUUAAUUAAUUAAUUAAAUAAUUAUCUAACUAACUUUAUUUUAUUUUUCUCUUUCUUUCUCUUUGCAUUUUGUCUCCUUCCUUGAUCUGCAACCUCGCAACACGCGUAACGUAACACUGAUUCUUCAUUCUUCUUCUUCUUUCUAUUUUUGCCGCAUUGCUACGUUCAUUCCUCAAAUUCAAUGGAGUCCCUCCCGUUUGGUUCGUUUCCGUUUCUUCUCCCUCUCUUUUGUUUCAGAUUUUUUUUUAUAUAAUUAGAUUUUUUUUCUUUUUCAUUAACUGCUUUGUAUUGUUAAAUUAGUUUUCGCUUUCAUUUUGGUCGAUUUCUUUACGCUUAAUUUUCCCUGACAAUGUUAAUUUUUUUCACACUUUAAGCUGGAUCAUUUUAUUUUAUUUUUUGGAGGGAUUUUAAAGAAAAGAAUAUAAAUAAAAAAGGAAAGAGGUUGUUUUUUAAAUUCUCUUAGCUGUUUUGAACAUAUAAUUGGGUUUGAAAUUGAGACAUUAUGAAAUUGCCUUAGCUAUUUAGCUUCUAGAUAUGAAUUCUCGAAAUUUUCAUCACUGGGAGAGGGAAUGAGUAUGUGACAUGUCACAGGAUCUCGGUUAUAGGUUUGGGAUUUUCGUAAUUCUCUUAUUAUUAUUAUUAUUAUUAUUAUUAAUUAAUAUGAUUAUGAUUGUUAUUCUUUUUUUAUGUUUCAGUUUAUUUUUAAAAUUUUAUAAUGUUAGGGUGUUUUAGGAAUUUGAAAUUUAAAUGUCAGUUUGAAUAGGGGUCCUUACUUUUUAUUACAUUUUGAAUUUAUUCAGUAUUAAUGGAUGAAUUGAAUUUUUCAUGGGUUUAACUUGUAUGCAGAUUUGGUAUAUUGUGCAGAUUUGGUAGUAUGCAUGAAAUUAUCAUGUGCUGAAGUUAAUCAUUUUCUUAAUUUGUAUGUAUUGUUAGGUUUUAGGAGAACAAAUCGGGGACAAGGGGCAGUUUGAUGGUUCCCUCUAGUUGUUAGCUAGAUUUUGGUGGGCAUGUGUUGAAUAGAACUCUGCAUUGAGCUGAAUUGCGGCUAAAUGACACGGGGAAGGAUAAGGGCGAGGUUCCGAAGGAGCCAUUUUUACACAUUUGGUUGUCUUCGACCUUCUGCCACUGAAGAGGGGCCACAUCCACUUCAAGGUCCCGGGUAUUCGCGAACUGUGCACUGCAACCAGCCUCAGCUUCAUGAGAAGAGACCGCUACAUUAUUGCAGGAAUGAUAUUUCCACAACCAAAUACAAUGUGCUUACAUUUUUUCCCAAGGCACUUUUUGAACAGUUUCGUAGAGUUGCUAAUAUAUACUUUCUUUUGGCUGCGUGCCUUUCGGCCUCUCCAAUUUCACCUUUUAGUCCACUUAGUAUGAUUGCUCCUUUGGCAUUUGUUGUUGGGCUUAGUAUGGCAAAGGAAGCAUUGGAAGAUUCACGCAGGUUUGUUCAGGAUGUUAAAGUUAAUCACCGGAAAGUUAAUCAACAUAAAGGCGAUGGCGUUUUUGGUCACAGGUCGUGGCAGAACAUUAUGGUUGGGGAUGUAGUAAAAGUAGAAAAGGAUAAGUUUUUUCCAGCAGAUUUGCUUCUCUUGUCAUCAAGUUAUGAGGAUGGGAUAUGUUACGUCGAGACAAUGAAUUUAGAUGGUGAGACCAACUUGAAGGUAAAAAGAUCUUUGGAAUCUACCUUGGCCCUAGAUAGUGAUGCUGCUUUUAAGGAUUUCACUGGAACAAUAAGAUGUGAAGACCCAAACCCCAAUCUUUACACUUUUGUUGGAAACUUUGAGUACGAGCGCCAGGUUUAUCCUCUUGAUCCUAGUCAAAUUCUCCUUCGAGACUCUAAGCUUAGGAACACUGAUUACAUCUAUGGAACGGUCAUUUUCACUGGUCAUGACAGCAAAGUCAUGCAGAAUUCCACAAGAUCCCCUUCAAAAAGGAGCACAAUAGAAAAGAAGAUGGAUUAUAUCAUAUACACUCUCUUCACUGUCCUUAUCUUUAUAUCUGUUAUUAGUGCCAUAGGAUUUAUUGUCAAGACUAAGUACCAAACCACAAAGUGGUGGUACAUACGCCCUGACGAUAUCGAAUACCAGUAUGAUCCCCAGAAAAUUGGAUUGGCUGGGAUGAGUCAUUUGAUUACUGCUCUCAUUCUCUAUGGAUAUUUGAUACCCAUCUCACUCUAUGUUUCCAUUGAGGUUGUGAAGGUUCUACAGGCAACCUUCAUUAACCAAGACAUUCAAAUGUAUGAUGAAGAAACUGGAACUCCAGCUGAUGCAAGGACUUCAAAUUUGAAUGAAGAGUUGGGCCAGGUGGAUACAAUUCUCUCCGAUAAAACUGGAACUUUAACCUGCAAUCAGAUGGACUUCCUUAAGUGCUCCAUUGCUGGUACUCCAUAUGGUGUGCGUUCUAGUGAAGUUGAAGUUGCUGCAGCGAAGCAGAUAGCUUCUGAUCUUGAGGACGCGGAUUCAGAGCUGUCCAAUUUCCCCAUGCCUAAUAAGAAAGCCCAUGUUUCAUGGGAAAAUUUUGGAAAAGUUGAUGAAAUCGAACUAGAGACUGUUGUUACUUCCAAAGGUGAUGAGGAUCAAAGGCAGGCCAUAAAGGGUUUUGGUUUUGAAGAUGACCGUCUCAUGAAUGGUAAUUGGUUGGAAGAGCCCAAUGCCGAUGACAUUUUAUUAUUUUUCCGAAUACUAGCAGUUUGCCAUACUGCCAUUCCUGAGCUGAAUGAGGAGACAGGAGGUUUUACAUAUGAAGCUGAGUCUCCAGAUGAAGGGGCUUUUCUUGUAGCAGCAAGGGAAUUUGGCUUUGAGUUUUGUAGGAGGACUCAGUCAAGUAUUUUCACACGUGAAAGAAUUUCUGCUUCAGGGCAAGUGGUGGAAAGGUAAGAAUUCAUGGAAGUUGAAAACUUUUAUCCUUAUCUAUUUGUUUUCCUUUGUUUGCACCCUUACACCAGGGGUCCCAAAUCAGGUUUUUGUCUUUAUUCAUGUCUAUUGAUAUUUUUGUUUAUAUACUUUUGGGCGAAUUACUCAGGGAGUACAAACUCUUGAAUCUACUAGAUUUCACAAGUAAAAGAAAGCGUAUGUCAGUGAUUGUCCGUGAUGAGGAGGGAAAACUUUUUCUUUUUUGCAAAGGGGCUGACAGGUUAGCUUACAAUAUCUAUUGUUCUUGCCUAUGUACUCAAUGAUGACAGAUGAAUGUAUAGUGUUGAUUAUCAAUAGCACCUUCUCAAAUUAUACAUUAGAUAAAUGAAACUGAAAAUUCAUUCAAGCUUCUCAACCUAUAGCAAAUAUACAACAUAAUCACAACAACCCCCUUUUUCCAUAGAAGAAGCUUGCAAAAACACACAUGUAUGCUCCCACAAAAAGGCAUCUCCCUUUAAACUUGACACCCAUUAUUUUCUUGCUUGGUUAUGCAGUAUCAUAUUUGAUCGUUUGUCCAAGAAUGGAAAAAUGUAUUUGGAGGCUACUACUAGACAUUUAAAUGAUUAUGGAGAAGCAGGUUUGCGAACACUAGCUCUGGCAUAUAGAAGGCUCGAAGAAAAAGAGUACUCGGAUUGGAACAAUGAGUUUCAGAAAGCCAAAGCAUCUGUUGGGACUGACAGAGAGGCAAUGCUUGAGCAGGUAUCAGAGACUAUGGAAAAAGAGCUGAUUCUUGUUGGGGCAACUGCUGUAGAAGACAAACUGCAGAACGGGGUAGGAUUGUCAUUCUUUGUAGUCAAUAUAUUGCUGUUUUCUGUACUUCAAAUCUUCAACCAAAUUCAACUUAUUAUCCUCCUCAGGUUCCUGAGUGUAUUGAUAAACUUGCUCAAGCUGGUCUCAAGAUUUGGGUAUUGACAGGGGAUAAGAUGGAAACUGCAAUCAACAUUGGGUCUGUUAUCCACAAAUUACCUAACCUUGUAUACUAUUACAUUUAUGUUCUAAAUAGAUAAGGUUGAACUUGCACAAAAGUGCCUCCGAAACAAAGUAUGAUGAAGUUGUAUUUUCCGUGGUACAGUUUUUCCUGCAGUUUGCUUCGACAGGGCAUGAAGCAGAUCUGUAUAACAGCGAAUUUAGACUCAGUAUCCAGUGAUGUCAAACAGGUACCCCUUUACAUUGAGAAACGUAAAAGAGAUUACUUUAUGGACUUGUGUUUCAUCUGAUGUUGGGCCUAGUUCUUUUGUUUAACACCGCAGGCCAUCAAGGACAGCAUAUUAAAUCAAAUCACCAAUGCUACACAAAUGAUAAAGCUGGAGAAGGAUCCCCAUGCUGCAUUUGCAUUAAUUAUCGACGGGAAAACUCUGACAUAUACUUUAGAAGAUGACGUGAAACACCAGUUUUUGGGACUGGCAGUUGAUUGUGCAUCUGUCAUCUGUUGUCGUGUUUCUCCCAAGCAAAAGGCACUGGUAUGACCUUUUGUCUGUUUUAUGUUGUGAUUUUGUGGGCUCACUUUUACCGUUUUAUACUGCAUACGAGUAUUUGAUUUUUGGAUUUAUAUGUGUGGAUGAUUGCUCACAUGGAUCCAUCUUAGUUAGAUAGGAAAACUUGGGUCCAUUUAAAUUCAGAUGGAUCUGUUAGUUCAGUUGUGUAUGCCAGUCAUUUCCACACUUUUGUAGAUUGCAUUUAUCUAACUCUGUCACUAUGUCCACUCUGAGAUGUAAAGUUAUAUGCAUUUUAUAUUGUCCUGAUUUCUUAAUCUUCUGGUGCCAGGUCACAAGGUUGGUAAAAGAAGGAACUGGGAAGACCACUCUCGCAAUAGGUGAUGGUGCAAAUGAUGUUGGCAUGAUACAAGAAGCAGAUAUUGGUGUUGGAAUCAGUGGGGUUGAAGGUAUGCAGGUCAGUGGCAUACAUGACUGUCUCUUUAAGAAAAACUAUUUCUUAAGUAUCACUGCAGAUGACCGGAUGAUUCUAGCCUUUAAUUUUGCAAGUUGGAAUGGCAUACAUGUUAUAUUUCAGAUACAAAAUCAAAUUCUAGUUUUAUAUAGCCUUAUUAUUUUCAAAAACAACCCUGUGAUUUGAAAAAACCUGUCAUGUUUCUUUUUGCAUGUCUGGGCUCCGUUUUUCUAGCUGUACUGUUGACCAGAUGUCUUGUCAAGCCUUUUGUGAUAGUUGUCUUGUAAUUAGUGCUGUUGAUCCACUGCAAGAGUAAAGUGAGCUUCCCUUUUGCAUUAUCAACAAUAAUUUGCAGACUGAUACAAUAAAUUGCUUAAAAUGAAACUUAUUUAACAUUUUGAUAUUUUCUUAAUUCUUUUUGUCAUUAUAGUCUGAAUAUAGUUAUUUCUAAAUUCUGAUCAGAUUGAAUUGAAUUGCUAAAUUUUAUUUUAAUGUGGAAAAGGAUUUGCAAACUUUCUGAUGUUUCUUUAAUUGUGAUGCACUUCUCAAUUGUCAUUUUAAGUUGUGGUCUCAAGCAUGCAAUUUCCUUUCAGGCAGUGAUGGCCAGUGACUUCUCGAUUGCCCAGUUUCAAUUUUUAGAGCGGCUUCUGGUGGUUCAUGGACACUGGUGCUACAAGAGAAUUGCGCAGAUGGUAAUUGAUUAAUGAUUGUCUUGAUCAUCAUUCUCACAAGUUGGACCCCUUGCCUUCAAUGCCUUGUGUGCUGUGUAUCCUUUGCACGGAUAGAGAAGCUCUUAAUAACAUUUUAGCAUGUGUCUAUUAUGAAUUGAUUCCUUCAUUUCUCUUCUUAAUCUGUAUGUUAUGCCUUGCAGAUCUGUUAUUUCUUCUACAAGAAUAUAGCCUUUGGCCUCACCAUCUUCUAUUUUGAGGCCUUUACUGGCUUCUCUGGCCAAUCGGUUUAUGAUGACUGGUACAUGAUCUUGUUUAAUGUUGUUCUGACAUCGUUACCCGUCAUUUCACUUGGCGUUUUUGAACAAGAUGUUCCAUCGGAAGUUUGCUUACAGGUUUGUUCUCUUGCUAUGUCUUCAACAAGUUUCAUCCUCUGAAAAAUUCAACCUAUUAGUAAGCUGAUGUUGUGCUUUGCAGUUUCCCGCACUAUACCAACAAGGACCCAAAAAUUUGUUCUUUGAUUGGUACAGAAUAUUGGGAUGGAUGGCCAAUGGUUUAUAUUCCUCCCUCGCCAUCUUCUUCCUCACGGUCACCAUAUUCUACGAUCAACCAUUCCGUAUUGAUGGCCAGACAGCUGACAUGGCUGCGGUCGGAACAACAAUGUUCACUUGCAUCAUUUGGGCAGUCAACUGCCAGAUCGCACUGACAAUGAGCCAUUUUACAUGGAUUCAGCAUCUAUUUAUAUGGGGUAGCAUACUUACCUGGUACCUCUUUCUCGUGUUAUAUGGCACACUUUCUCCAGACCUUUCCAAAAGUGCUUACCAUUUACUUGUUGAAGCUCUUGGACCUGCACCUAUUUAUUGGUCAGCAACACUUAUAGUUACAAUUACAUGCAAUCUUCCUUAUCUUGUCCACAUAUCCUUCCAAAGAUGUUUUAAUCCCAUGGAUCACCACAUUAUCCAAGAAAUCAAGCACUACAAGAAAGAUAUUGAGGAUCAACACAUGUGGACGAGGGAGAGUUCUAAAGCCAGACAAGAAACCAAGAUUGGGUUCACUGCAAGAGUGGAAGCAAAGAUCAGACAAUUGAAGGGAAAGCUGCAGAAAAAACAAUCUUUCUUGUCUGUUUUGUCCCCAUCACGUACAUAAUUAACAGUUUUGAGUAUUUUUAGGCUUUUCGGGUUAAUUUUUUUGUUUAAAGUUUUGCCCCUUUUAAAUUAUUUGCUUGCUUAUAUUAUUAUAUUAAUUAAAAACGGGGUGAAUUAAAGUCUCAUUCACUGCAGAAAAACAUUUAUGCUGUUGUAUGUAUUAUGUAACAUAUUUACGUAGAAGAGUGUCGGUGUGUAUUUCUUAUGCCAAAUGUUAUGAUUAAGUGUCCUUGAAACUAUGAAAUAGCUACUUGUGACUAGGUUCUAUGACUGUAUGGCGAGUCGCCCCAUCACCAAGGUUCAUGCCGUCAAUGAAAUGUUGGGGUUGUUAGUAUAGUCACAUUUUUACGGAACUACACAUGUCUUCGGAAGUGUACUUCUAGAUAUGUUCAGAAGUGUAUUUUCUGAUGCAAUGGCGGAGCAUAAAAAGUUUGUGUAAGUUUACUCGUGUAUAAUUUUAAGGUGAUAUUUAUCACGUCUUUUUAUGGAGAAUUUUUUUUUCUUUUCUUGUCUAAAGAUCAAUUUUCAUAAUUAGUUUUAAAUUUUUUUAUUUAUUAUAAUCGACAAACCCAAAAACUUUUACUUCUUUAGAAAAAUUCCAAACAAAAUUUGAAUUUUUAGGUCUAUUUGUUUAAGAUUUUUAAAAUUUAAUUUUGACUUUAUAUUUUAAAAAAUAAUUUUUACAAGAAGUUACUUGAAAAAUAAUAAUUAUUUUAGACUCAUUUAUUAUUAAUUAAAAAAAUUAAUCUUUAAUAAUUAAAUAUUUAUUAUUAGACAUCUUAACAUGAUAAAAAUAUUUUUUUAAAUGAUUUUUGUGAAUAACUUUUCAAAAUAGAUUUUAUUAUAAUAAUUUUUUAUAUUUUAUUAUAAAAAAGUUAUAGUAAAUAGAAGAAAUAUUUAAAAUGAUAACUAUUUAAUCAAUUUUUCAUUUAAAACUUUAUUUUUAAAAUUAUUUUUAAAAAAAUAUUAUAUCAAAAAAUAAAAUACUAUAAUUUUUUUUUUAAAAUAAUCCAAAACAAACCCAUCCAUUAAAAAUCAUAAUCACUUUUAUUUAUUUAUUUAUUUGUAACAAACAUUUAGAAUAACAUCUUAAUAAAAGCUAUCAACUAAUUUUUGUUCACUCAAGUUUUGAGUUAAUGAGAUAAGCUUAUUUGUUAAAAUACAUCUCACUUAAUCAACAAAGCUUAAAUUUUAAUUUUUUUUAAAUAAAAUAAUAAGUAAAUUUAUAAAAUUUUAAAUUCAAAUAUAAUAUAUAGUAUCUAACCUAAUAAUUUUAAUAGUUAUUAAUUGAAUCAAGUGUUAUGAUAAUUAAAUCUAUAAAUUGAUUUCUUUUAUAUAUAUUCCUAAUUUUUAAAAGAAGUCAUCAAAAUGCCCCGGUUUAAAAAAUAUAUAUUAAAAUGGGCUUUAAUUUUUUUUAUUUUUUAUUUUAACAAUUGAAUAAUUGUUAGUUUAAUAAAUAAAAAAUAAUAAAAAUAUUUUAAAAAAAUAAAAUCAUAUUAAUAAAAUAGAAGAAAAAAAAAACAGUUGAGUAGAUGUGUCAAAACAAAUAACAUGUUCAAGAGAUGUUCCAAAAGAAAUAAAUGUUAUGUUAUUUGAACAGCUCCUCCUAUAAAUAGAUAAAUUUAUAUUAUUUUAACAAUUAUCUUGUUUUCUAGAUAAAUUAACAACUUAAUUAUAUUUUGUUAACAAUUUUUUCAUUUAAUAAAUAAAAAUAAAAAAUAUUAUUAUUUAUUAUAAUUAAAAAAGUAAAUUAUAUUAACAAAUCAAAUAAAAUCCAUUCAAUUGAAGAAAAAAUACAUCAAAAUUAAUGCGGUUGAAUAAAUGUGCUAAAUUUUAUCAACUUAAUUUUAUUUUGUUAGCAACUCCAUCUUAUUUUGCAGACCUAAUUAACCGCAUUAAUUUUGAUGAUUUUUUAAUCAUUUUCAUUUUUAAUCAUUUUUAUUUUACAGAUCUAUUCAACCACAUUAAUUUUAUUUAUUUAAUCAUUUUUAAUCUUAGCACUAUUACCAUCAUGUAACAAUAAUUUGAGUAUGGCUUUCUAUGUCUUGAUUUCUACCAAAUAUGUUAGAUCCAUGAUCUAAAGAGGUUGAUGGAGUUCUCCAAGAAGACUGGUGGUGAGUUGCAAUAUGUUGAAGACCAAGAAGAUGAAGAAUAUGGAUGAAAAGAAGAAAAACAAAGAUGAAGAAGAGGACCAAGGUUUGGUCGAUUUUUGAUUUAGGGGUCACGUGCGCGGCUGAAUUGUGUUGGAUUGAGGCCGCUUUUUAAUUUUGGCUUUUGUUUUAAAAUUUAGAAUAAUAUAAUAAUGGCUUUUUAAAAACAUAAACUAUAUUUAUUAAUUUGGAAUAAUAUAAUAAUAGCUUUUAAUCCAUAUAGAGGUUUGUCAUAUCACAAUUUUUUUGACACGUCAUUAAAAAUAUGACAAUUCAUCAUGAUUUGGACUCAAAUUAUGUGUGGAGACCAAAAGAGAGACAAAUAAAAUGAGGUGGACUAUUUUAGUGAUUAACCUAACGUGCAAUUAAGCCAAAAAAGAUAAAAUAUUUUCGCGACCUCUUAAGAAUAAAAAUGUAAGAUAUUUUGAUAUAUAUUUUUUAAAAUGAAUAUUUUAAUUUUUAAAAAAUUAGAAAUAUAUAUAUAUAUAUAUAUAUAUAUAUAUAUAUACGCUUUUUAAUUUUGGCUUUUGUUUUAAAAUUUAGAAUAAUAUAAUAAUGGCUUUUUAAAAACAUAAACUAUAUUUAUUAAUUUGGAAUAAUAUAAUAAUAGCUUUUAAUCCAUAUAGAGGUUUGUCAUAUCACAAUUUUUUUGACACGUCAUUAAAAAUAUGACAAUUCAUCAUGAUUUGGACUCAAAUUAUGUGUGGAGACCAAAAGAGAGACAAAUAAAAUGAGGUGGACUAUUUUAGUGAUUAACCUAACGUGCAAUUAAGCCAAAAAAGAUAAAAUAUUUUCGCGACCUCUUAAGAAUAAAAAUGUAAGAUAUUUUGAUAUAUAUUUUUUAAAAUGAAUAUUUUAAUUUUUAAAAAAUUAGAAAUAUAUAUAUAUAUAUAUAUAUAUAUAUAUAUAUAUAACCCAGAAAUUAAUCCAAUAAAUCAUUUGUAAAAGAAAACAAAAUUUAAUCCAAUUAAUUAGUUUGGCAUUACCAAAACAUAGUCUUAAAACUAAGAAAAGUUUCAAUUUUCAAAGCAAAGUUUCAGUCAGAAAAAAAAAAUUAAAAAGAAAAAAAAAAAAGGUUGAUGAAGAAUGCGUGAGGCGAGGUUAAGCGCGUGGCAACGAACAUUGAUUCAUCAUUCAUUCAUCUCUCACAAUUUCUCUCUCUCAUCAUCAUCUUCCUCAUUUCCGUUUCCUUUAUCCUUUUUUUAAUUCCAAUUUUGUCCUCUGCUUUUUCAUCGUUUCUCAGUUAUGCCCUCUUCAUCUGCGAUGGCGUACUUGAAGUCGUAGCUCCGCUUUUUCAAUUCCAAUUUUCAAUUUCCCAAACCUUUUAGGGUUUAAUGGAACCUCGAAUUGGGAACAAGUUCCGUCUUGGUCGGAAAAUUGGUAGUGGAUCUUUUGGAGAGAUCUAUCUCGGUUCGUUCUUCUAACUCGUCUGUCAGUUUUUGCAUGUUCAUGAAUCACUAUGACUUUCUCUGUUUUUUUUGUUUUUUUAAUUGAUUAUUUUUGUGCAGGAACCAAUAUUCAGACAAAUGAAGAGGUUGGGAUUAAGCUUGUGAGUAUUCUGAUUCUGACCUAUUACCUACUCUAAUUUGGAAGAAAAAAAAGUUAGCUUUUUAAUUUUUGGUGAUUGCAAAAUUCAAAUACUUUUUACUCAAGUUUGCCGAGAAAUUCAAGGAGUGACAUAAACUAGGAGAGUUGGAAUGUAUUUAGUGAUAUUGAAACGAAACAAUGGAUUCCAAACAAAGAGUUGUAAAGACAAUAUGGGUUAUUGAAUUUCUUUUGGUAUGCUUUUAAUUUGUUUUCAUCACUGAACUUGUUGGUUUAUUUUUACUUGGUAAUUGAAGUUUUGUGCAUCUCUCUCUGCUGCAAUAUUGAAAGUAUUAAAUGCUAAUUGCCACGUGUUUAGAUGAGUAGUUUGUUUUUGUUAUUUUAUUUUCCUUUUGUUUGAUUCAGGAAAAUGUCAAAACCAAGCACCCUCAAUUGUUGUAUGAAGCAAAGCUGUAUAAAUUACUGCAAGGAGGAAGUAAACUCCCAUCUUUGGUGAAUUUGUGUAUUUUGGAACUCUUUAUUUAUCAUUGACUUCAUAUUACUCACUUGGUUUAAAUGUUUUUGGGUGGCUAUCUUUUAUUUCGAAGCUGGAAUCCCGAAUAUAAAAUGGUCCGGGGUCGAAGGAGAGUACAAUGUCCUUGUGAUGGAUUUACUUGGCCCUAGUCUUGAGGAUUUAUUCAAUUUCUGUAAUAGGAAAUUGUCCCUCAAAACUGUUCUCAUGCUUGCUGAUCAAAUGGUAGGUUUUGUUGUAUUGCAUAAGCGUCUAAUUGACACUCACCUGUUUUCUUAAAAUGUCUCAAUCUGGUGCUGUUUCCAGAUAAAUCGAGUCGAAUUUGUUCAUUCCAAGUCAUUUUUACAUCGGGACAUCAAGCCAGACAACUUCCUCAUGGGUUUAGGGAGGCGUGCAAAUCAAGUAUUUGUUUAAUUUUUGUUUUCUCAGCUAUUUUCUUAAUUUUUCUGAUCAUGUCCUAUGCAUAUGUAUCCAUUUCACAUUUGCCUUUUUUGUAGGUAUAUGUCAUUGACUUUGGUCUUGCUAAGAAGUUCAGAGACAGCACUACACAUCGGCAUAUUCCCUACAGGUACUUUUAUCGCAUCUUUAGUUUUAUGAUUUUUUUCAGAAUGGUUGCACAGUUAAACUUUAAACUAUUCCCCAUCAGUAUAUUCCUUAUCAUGCUUAUAUUUUAUAAAAUCUUCAAUCAGGGAAAGUCCUAUAUCUGGAUGUUAUGCUAUUGUUAAUUAUUUAUGUGAAUAACUGACUAUUUAGUGGGCAGGAGAGUAUUCUUGUAAUAGAAACAACAGCUUCAAAGUUAACAACAUCAUUGAAAGAUGUGAAACUGAUGUGAACCUGGGGCAGGAUUACUUAAACAGUAAAUUGAAGAAAAACAGAUCAAUAAUGAAAAUAAAGAAAUGUAUUAUUUAUGGAAGUGAAAGAUAACUGCAAAAGGAUGAAUAUCCAAAUGCCCACAGAGCUAGGCUCCUACAGAGAACAAUAUCCUGUCCAUAACUAACCAAUGACUUUCCAAAAGAUAACCAUUUCUCUCUCACCUUAGUCCCUAUAUAACUGAUUGGGUAACAUGCUUUCCUCAUCCCCUGCCUCAUCAGCAUUCCUUUCCCCCCCUCUUCUACUUUUCUCUAAUAAAUCCCCACAUCAAAAGCUUGGGGUCCUAACAAACAAAUUUUGCUUUGCGCUGGAAAUUAUCAUGGUUUUGCAUUCCAAACAUUGAUUACAUUUCUGCCCUUUGAUUUGUUUAUAUUUCUAUAAUCAUUGCAUUACUUGUUACCCCAGUUCUUUAAGUAAUUUGUCCGCUAUGAUUUGCCUUUGUUUGAACCAGGACCCGUUGAUGCCAUACUUACUUGCAAAAUAACUUUUUCUGAUGUGUAAAAUUAGCCUAUUCAAUGCUUGAAUCCAAUAGUAUUAUUUUCGUAAUCAUGUAUGAUGUUUUCUGAUAAUUUGGAUGUCCAUAUCAUAGGUAUGUAAUCUUAUAGUAGAUAUUUACUUUUUAAAUGUUAAAGUUAAGCGGCAGUAUGAAGUAUCAGUUAGUUUUUGUGUUGUAUGAAAGUUAUUAAAGGGUGAAUGUAUGCCAACAAUUAAACUUGGUAUCGUUGGAUUCCGACUCUCUCUCUCUGGGUGUGUAUGAUCGCAUUAUAUAGUCUUAAAAGUUAUUUAUUUAAAGAACAAGUCAGCACUUAAUUUAUGUUGCUCUAAAUAGUCAAGGAAGUAUACUUUUGUGCUUUUUCUCUGAAUUUGACUUUCUUGUAAUAAUCCUUUGCAGAGAGAAUAAGAAUCUGACUGGAACUGCUAGGUAUGCCAGUAUGAAUACUCAUCUUGGAAUUGGUAUGCUCUCUUUAUCUCAUUUGAUCAAUGUCCUUUCUUAACGACUAUUGAUUUUGACCUGAGGAUGUCAAUUCUGUGCUUUAAUAGAGCAAAGCCGCAGGGAUGAUUUAGAGUCACUUGGAUACGUUCUUAUGUAUUUUUUAAGAGGAAGGUAAUCAUUCUCUCGCCUUUAUUAUUUGGUAUUUCUUAUAUCUUUUAGUUACCUACUAUUUCUUAUUUGGUAUUUCUGCAGUCUGCCUUGGCAGGGAUUGAAAGCAGGUACUAAGAAGCAGAAGUAUGAGAGAAUCAGUGAGAUGAAAGUUUCUACUUCUAUUGAGGUAUGAUUGAGUGAUGAAAUGAAACAGUAUUUUAUUUCAUAUAAUAUAUGUCCAUUUUAUGUAUGUAAAAUCAUAGUUGAUUGUGGUUUGCUUCUUUGUUAGUCUCUUUGCCGUGGCUAUCCCUCAGAAUUUGCAUCAUACUUCCAUUAUUGUCGGUCACUGAGGUUUGAUGAUAAACCAGAUUAUGCUUAUCUGAAAAGACUUUUGCGUGACCUUUUCAUCCGUGAAGGUUUGAGCCUCGAUUUUCGAUUUAUAUUUUAUUUGGAAUGCACUAAUGGCUAUUGUCCUUGAAAACAAUAUUUUAGAGUCUAGAUGGGCUAUGUUUUAAUGUCAUUUUUAGCUGUUCUUGCCUUGUUGCUCCAGGAUUCCAGUUUGAUUAUGUCUUUGAUUGGACCAUUUUGAAAUAUCAGCAGUCUCAAAUCGCCACUCCUCCUUCACGUACCAUUGUAAGUGAUGUUGUGUUAUCUCAUUGCAUUAGAUGUUUGUUUGUUGAGAUUAGGUUAUUUUAUUUUCAUUGGAAAUGACAAUGUGACGCAGGGUCUUGCUGCUGGACCAAGUUCUGGUCUACCACUAGCUUCUCCAAAUGCUGAUGGACAGUCAGGUAUCCUUGUUAUUUUUAGUUUACAUCCCUGAUCUAUAGUUUAACUAUUUUGAUUGAGGUGUUUACAGACAAAUUGUUAGAAUAUCUUUUCAUACCAUUCAAUAACCUGUUAGUUAUUCUCUGAUACCCCCCCCCCCCCCCCCCCCCUCUCAUCCUUUCCCUCCCCUUCNNNNNNNNNNNNNNNNNNNNNNNNNNNNNNNNNNNNNNNNNNNNNNNNNNNNNNNNNNNNNNNNNNNNNNNNNNNNNNNNNNNNNNAUUUUGUCAUUCAAUGCAUCCUUUUAUGCUUUUUUUUUUUUAAUGUGGUGCCUUCUGUUUAGGUGGAAAAGAUGGUAGGCAUACUGGGUGGUCUUCAUCUGAUCCCACUCGCAGGAGGAACUCUGGACCUAUUGCCAAUGAUGGAACCUUAUCUAGAGAAAAAGCACCACUUACAAAUGACUUAACUGGAUCUAAAGAUGCUAUGGUGUGUAUUUUUAUAUAAAUUUGUUUUGUUGCAUCUUGUUUCUUUUGAUCAUGAUUUGAUUUCAAAAGUAUUGCUGUAUCACUUGUGUUUCUAUACACAUCUGAAAAAUAAGAUUAGCAGGUGCUGUAAAUAUUUCUCAAAACUCUGCAUUUUUUAAACAUGUUUGUUAUAUACCAUUUUCUGGGCUUCACUUCUGUGUGCCAUACUAUUGAGUUUUAUGGUGUGUAUUGGUACGGUGCAUGUUAUUCUAUUUCUCGGCAAAUAAAAUGAUUAGAUGCUGUAUGUAGUAUAAUUGUUAUCAUGCAUAUAUGAUAUUUCUCGCUGGUUAAGGUUAAAUGAGGUUAUCUGUUUAUAUGACAAUUAUUAGUUUUCACAUUACUUGUUUGUGCAUGGUUUAUGCAGUUGUCAAGUUUGAAAUUCUUUCGGUCAAGUGGAUCUGCAAGGCGAGGUGCUAUCUUAAGCAGCCGUGAUGCAGUUGUUGGCAGUGAGACUGAGCCCUCUCGUCCUCUCACUCUGGAUUCGAGUCAAGGAGCACUUCGUAAAAGCUCUGGUGCUCAGAGAAGUUCACCUAUCAUGUCAUCUGAGCCCAACAGAGUAUCAUCUGGCAGAAACACAUCAUCAAACAUAAAGAAUUUGGAUUCAACUCUUAGAGGUAUUGAGAGUCUGCAUUUUAAUGAUGAGAGGGCACAGUAUUAGGAGCUGCUACUCUCGAUCACCUUUCUUCCUUGUAAAUUCUGAAAGGUUUAUACUCGUAGUCACAAACUGCGGAGUGGAGUGUUGUCUGUGGGUUUUGCUGAAGAAAAGCUGCAAACGAAUUGGGAAUUAUCCCCAUAAGUAUACAAUAAAGAUAUAUUUUGGCGGUUUCCUAACAAAACUAAAGGCAUCUGUUCAUAUAGUCUGUUAUACUCGUCUGAUGAAUAUUUUCCAUAACCUUUACCAUUAUUUUCUUUGAUAUUUUUAGCCUCGGUGAUAAAGCAUAUCAUUGCGCAAGAUGUGAACCUGAGUUGUGUCUGUUUUUAGCACGAUUCUAUGAUCAAUAUUUCAUGUAUGACAGUGGAGUGGAGCGAGUACCGGGUACUAACUAUUAUCAUCUUGAAUAACUACUGCCUUUAAAUCCUGAAUAAAUAUUAGUUGUGUUUGUAAUUUUGUUUUUAAUCAUAACAAACUGAACCUCAUUAAUGUAAACACUUAAUGUUCAAAUUACAAAAUGUUCUAAAUCAAAUUCUAAAAUCCCUAAUCUUUAAAGAUCAAGAUUUUGUGGUCCGCAAGUAUUCUUUCGAAAUGACACAUUUGUAGUAGUUGUAGUCCAUGAUCUUAUAAACAUUGGUGUUGUAUCCUUUUCUCUGUGGUGAUUUGCAACAGUCCUUUAGCUAGUAAACGUUUCUUCUCUUCAGUUUUUGUAGUAGCAGACAAUGUAGUCUGCUAAGAGCUUGUUGGUCAUCUCUCCAAUUGAGCUGUAGCUCAAUUAUCAGCCGAAGUGAAAGAAUCUUGGUACUUAUUUUUUAGAUAGGUUCAACAUUCAUAGACGGCAAAGACUCACAAAUUACCUAAUAAUGAAGGUGAGAAGGUCAUAAGCAGUGGUUCUGGUCAGUCCAUCCCAAUGGUCAAGUUUGAAUUUAGUGAACAAACUAGACUCUCCUUCACUUAAAUUUGAUUUCUUAAAUUAUUUAGAGUCAACCGGUACAAUAAUUUAAUUAUUAAUUUAUUGUAUACAUUUUUUAUACUUUUAAAAUAAAAAAGUAAAAAAUUUAUAAUUUUAUGUUAAUUUUUUAUUAUACCAAAAUUAUUUUCUAUCUAUUUUUUCUCAAGUAAUUUUUUUAUUUAAUUUAAUUGUUUCUAGUCUAUACAAAAGUACACCUUAUACAAUACACAAUUGUUUCUAUUGAAUAUUCUUCCAUGUUAUUUUUGUCAAUCCCAUAGUUAAAUUUUCAAACUUGCAUGAUCUAAAACUUCAGUUUCUACAACCAGUACUUAAUGGUUUGUUUAACGUUAGAUAUAAUUAAAAUCCAUUUUAGGAGUUUUAUUUUUCCACCUAUUAUAACGACUUUAAUUUUUAUCUAUUUAAGAGUUAUAAUGUCAACAUGUAUACCUAAAGAAUACAAUCCUUAUCAAUGGCACCAAAGAAAGAAACAUUAUUUAACAAAAUGAUUGCAAAUAUGUCCACAAACAUAAUAAUGCAAAUUAUUUUAUUGCUAAUACUAUUGUCACACGUAUCAAAUGCAUUUAAUUGGGAAUGUUGGGGAGCUUCAAUGUAUGCACUAACAUUUCAAAAUAAAAUGGCUGAUGAUACUCCAGGAUAUGAUAUAAAUGAAGAUGAGUUAAUAGUUAGAUGUACCUCAGAUGAUAUAUUCUAUAAAGAUCAAGUAGUAAAACCAAAGCCAGAAGCAACUUUUACAUUUAAUGAUGGAUGGAUCUUUGGUAGGUCGUUCAACUGCACUGCUAGUUUGGCUUAUUAUGAUUGGGAGGCUACAUUUAAAGCUUUCAAUUCUACUAUAGAAUGCAAAAAAGAUAAACAUUGUAUAUGGCAACUUCGCAGAAAACAUCCUUAUUUAUAUGAUUCAAAACAUAAACAAUGGGUGCAACAAGAGUAUGUUUAUGAUCCAUACAACGACGACAAAUAAAUAUGUAAUUCUUUAAGUCAAUUAUUCAAGACACUUGGCCAUAAACAAUUUUUCAUUAGUGUCAACUUUUGAUGUCCAUUAUAAAGAAGGUUGUCUUAAGAAAUAAUUAGUAGUAUUAAUGAUCUUUUUGAAAAAUAGUAAUAUUAAAGUAAUAAAGGAUAAAUUUGCUCCCUAAAUUUCUAUGGUAAUUUGCUCCAUAAUAUAUUGAGGAUAAAUCUGGCUAUUAACAUGAGUAUCUCAUGUUCACUUUGCCGUAAUUCAAAAUUUUUCAAGAUAGAGAAAAAGUUUAAGCCUCAAGGCUCAACUUAUUUAAAAAAGUUUUGAAAUUUUACUUGUCUUUUCAAAUUAGAUUAAAAUAACUUAAUUUAAAUAAAUAUAGCUUAAGAUUAAUCUUAGAAAAAGUCAAUAAUCUGAAAUCCCAAACUACAUAAAAUAUAAUUUUAAAUAUUUAUCAUUAUUUGUAAAUUUUUGGUACCCAUGAGUUUGAUUGAGUACCGAUACUCAUAGAACAAAAUCAAUCCAAAAUUUAAAUUAUUUAAGAAUUAAUUAAAAAUAAAAUAAUAAAGCAGCUUCUUAUGAUUGAUUGUUGGAUACUAUAAUCAACCAAACUCUAAGGUAAAGGAAGAAGAGAGGCCAAAUAUUUUCUUUUUUUUAUUUUUUGAUGAAAAAUAUUUGUUUCUUCUAAAGUUCCAUAUUUCUUUCAAUUAUUAUAGUAUAUAAUUUUCUAGAAACAGUAAAUGAAAACUCCAAUAUAAAUCAAUGAGUAAAUUCUCAACUUUUUUUAUGAGCAAAUUCCAAUUGCUUUCUCACCUCUUUUGGAGACAAUGAAAAAACAUCAGAACCAAAAAACCAAAUGCUAGUUCCAAAGCAAUAGUAUUACAGUACAGUACCAUUUAUGUUUGAAUUGAUGAUUAAGAAAUUCAGAAGCUAGCAAAUAUCUAUACACUUAUAUUGGCUCCUUGAAAUUUGAUGAACUGGGCAGGAUGACAUCUAUAUAAACUUUGGAUUUUAAUUUUUUUUAACUCUUUGUAAGUAUAGUGAAUUUAAUUUAGAUGAACUUAAUUUAGAUGCAUCAAUAAUGUAAAAUAUUUUAUACUGGCAAUACAUCACAAUCUUUUAUGUUUAUUAUACUUUAAAAAUAUUAUCAUAUAAAAUAAAAUUUAUGUUUAUUAUACUUUAAAAAUAUUAUCAUAUAAAAUAAAUAUUUUUGAACAUCAUAAUUGUGAUUCAUUGUCGGUAUAAAAACUUUUUAUAUCGAAAAUGUAUAAAUUAAAUCCAACUUAGAUAGAUUUAGAAUCCAAAUUAGAACAGGUAAAUCACAGCACAACAAAAACAUAAAAAAAAAAUACUAUAGACUAUAUAGUAUAUAAAUAAUUAUAUACCCAUCAAUUAAUGAAUCACCACCAUCUGCAUGUGUUCUUGAUCCACCUGAAACUCUUCUUGAAAGUACCUUUCAUUUUCCCUUCAACAUCAUACACUUUAUACCCAGCUACUCUUUUCUUUCUCUGCAACUCUGGAUCAUUAAUAAAGCUCCAAUUUUUUGAUGUUUUUCCAAAUGUUCUUUCCCCUUUUUCAAUCUUCAUUUCCUUAUUACUAACCUCAUAAGCAUAAUUUGUACUGUAACAUCUCAGAUCUUGCAUGCUAGUUGGAGCUACCCUUCCAUCAGUAUAGCUCUCAAUUUGUAAACUCUCAUCUCUGCAUGAUUUGGAUCUGAAUUCCAUAUAUGAUGAGAAUUCUCAAACUUAGCUGAGAAAUUAAAGAAUAAUGAAGGUGAGGAAAUAUGGUUGAUAGUUUUGCUUUCCUUUUUGCUUGUAUUUUAUUGGUAUUGUUUAUUAAUUCUAGAUUUUUUAACUUUAUAUAAACAAUAAAUUUUUGUAUAAAAAAUAUGGUGGUGAUGUUAAUAACUUAAUAUUUAUUUUGUCGUUUUUUUCUUGAAUGGAGUUAGUAUGGGCAGAGAAACUUUCAACUUUGGAUAAGAAUGCAGAAUUUUAUGAGGUGUUGUGGUUUGACUGGUUUACACACGUGGAAGUGACAAAAAUGGGAAUUUGGAAUAGGUCCAGUUCACUGCACUCUAGAUUUUAAGGUUGGAUUUUAACUAUUUUUAAAUAAAAAAAUUUAAAUCCAAAAUUCUUAAAUCGUUUAAUUUUGAUUCGAGGAUUUAGAUGUAUUUCUAACAUCUAUCUUUUUCUUAACUCAAGUAUCAGUGAAUAUUACAUGCACACAUGUAUAACAAAUCGCGGUUGGUUUAUAAUAUCCAGAUUUGAUUUUCUAACUUAAUUAACUUAAAUGAUUAGUAACUUGAGAUAAGCCAAAUCCAAUGGUGGGGUAUGAUCACAUGGUUAGCAAUAAAGGGGAUAUAGUAUUGUACAAAAGAAAUAGGAAAGAGAUAGAAAUAUGAGCACCCUGUUAACUAAUUAAUCAAACAAAUUUGAUAGAAUCCCAAUACAAAUUGCAUCAGACCACUUGUGUUUGAUCUCUAAUAGUCUAAUAAUGAGUAAAAUAAAUAAAUAAAUAAAUAAAAUUCAAAAGAUAGUACUUGUCCAAGAGCAAAAUCCCUGAUGACUUAACAUAGAACAAAAAUUAACUCAUCAGAGUAAAUCAGCAACAUUUGAUGGCAGCUCCUCUAUACUCACAUUGUAGAAUUUCUGAAUAUCAGCCAGCAUUCUGGUAUCAUCCAUGGUCACAAAGUUUAUAGCAACACCUUUCCUUCCAAAUCGACCACUACGACCUAUGCGGUGAAGAUAGUUUUCAGGUUGAGUUGGGAGAUCAUAGUUUAUGACCAAAGACACUUGUUGCACAUCAAUACCACGUGCCAAAAGGUCGGUGGUAAUGAGAACUCGAGAAGAGCCAGACCGGAACUCGCGCAUGAUGAUAUCCCUAGUGUUCUGGUCCAUGUCACCGUGAGUGGCUGAGACUGUAUGAUCGUUGCUUCGCAUCUUGUCGGUGAGCCAGUCCACUUUGCGCCUUGUGUUCACAAAAAUGACACUCUGAGUGAUUGCCAGAGUCUCGUAGAGGUCACAUAAUGUCUCUAGCUUCCAUUCUUCCUUAUCAACAUUGACAUAAAAUUGCUUGAUACCCUCAAGAGUCAGCUCAUCACGCUUUACCAGAAUUCUCACUGGCUUAUUCAUGAAUUUCCUGGUAAUCUCAAGGGCUUCAGGUGGCAUUGUAGCAGAGAAUACUCCAACCUGAAUUUUUCCUGGAAGCAGCUGGAAGAUGUCAUAGAUCUGCAACAUCAACCAAAUUUUUUGUAAUGUCAUGUAAAAUGGAACAUGAACUUUAGCUAGACAUCACAUCAUUAAGAUUCAGCAAGUAAAGCUUUGUUAUUAUUUUGCUUUUUAUUAAAAGAGAGAAGACCAAUUUUGGUUCCUAAGAAAAAAUGCAUAACCUAAUUUAGUUCUUGAGAAAAAUAAGUCAUUUUUAGUGUCUAAAAUAAAAUAAACCACGACAACUUAGUUGCUAUCACGUAACACAACAUGCAAUAGAAAAGCAUUAUACAAAGACUAUUUUGUCCCGAUUUAUUUUUCUCAUGGAUUAAAAGAUGUUUCUAUUUUUCUCAGGUAUCAAAUUGGGUCUUUACUCUUAUUUUUAAAAGAGCAUAUUGACAAACCUGAUCCUUGAAACCACGUGAAAGCAUUUCAUCAGCCUCAUCCAGAACAAACAUCUUUAUGCGAUCUGAGACAAGAGACUGCCUCCGCAACAUGUCAAACACACGUCCUGGAGUGCCAACAACGGUGUGAACACCAGCCUGGAGAAUGCGCUGAUCCUCACGAACACUUGUCCCACCAACACAAGCAUGAACCUUAACACCAAGGAAAUCGCCAAGAGCUCGCAUGACCUUCUCAAUCUGUUGAGCUAGCUCCCUUGUAGGGGCCAAAACCAAAGCCUGGCACUGAACCAAUCCGUAAUCGAGCUGCUGCAAAAUUCCAGAACAAAACGUGGCUGUCUUCCCAGUUCCUGACUGAGCCUGUUGAAUCACAUCCAGACCUUUGCAGAAAGGAACAAUUCCUCUUUGCUGGAUUGCAGAAGGCCUCUCAAAACCUUCAGAACAAGACAAAACAUCACACACAUGAUUCUGUGAUAACUGUAGCAAGAGAAAUAUUAUAUUCUUUUAAACAUGUUCACCGAAGCCUUCAUACAAAUGUACUCGUUUUCAAAACAACGAAAAGUUUAGAAAAUAUAUUGGAUUCAACCACGUUGGUCCAUUUAUUUUUUCCUUUCUACUCGGUAAAUAAUUUUGAAACACAAAUAUAUUUAAAAUACAAAAACUACAGCCAUGUAUGAAAUGAAAAUGUUGAUGUCCAUCAAAGCUAUCAUAAGCAUAUAUGUUACCGUAAGCAUAUAUGCCUCGCAGAAGGUUUUCUUGCAGCCCCAUUGCAUCAAAGCUAUCAUGGACUUCAUCAUAUGAGGUGAAGAAUUCUUGCCCAUCACUGGCAAGCCUGUGAAGUAAAUUUACAAGACAUCAAAUUACAUAAAAAAAAAGGUACGUAAUAAUGAAUUCAAUCAUUACAAAUAGUGAAGAAUAUUUAGUAUAGGAACACACAGUUCAUUCAUCUUAGUGUCAUAAUGAUUAGCAUCAAAUUGUGAUCCUUCUGGAGCCAAACCUGCCAUCACUACAAAAACCAAAACUUAUGUUAAGAAAAAGAAAAUACAAAGCCGUACUUUCAGAUUCCAGAAAAACCAAAAUAGAUAAUUAAAGAAAGUCCCCAAAACCAUUCAAGGACAACUCGAGCAACAGAAUAACAAGAACAUGAUUUUGGAAGAGAUGUUAUUGUUACUCACACACAUGUAUAAUAAAAGCACUUCCUCCACAAUGAGACAUAUAACAGAAGAGCAAAACUUACAGUACAUGAAGAAUGAAAUGCAAAAACAAACACUAAUAAAUAAAAUCAGUAAAAUAAAGAGUUUCAAUCCACUACGAGUUUUAGAAAAUGUAUUUUAAAAAUUGCGUGAACUUUUUUUAAAAAUUCUAAAAAAAUGUCUGACGUGAUUUUCAGUAUUUCCGAAAAAUGAAUUCUUUUCCCUCAAGUUAGCUUUCAUCUUCUCUUUAUCACAAUUGAAAAACAAAAUCUAUAACCACAUGUCUUCAUACCAGCCACUCACAUACAGUAAAAAUUGAAAAUAUUGUUAAGAGAGUAAACAGUCCUAAACUUCAAUGUUACUAAAAUAUCUGCAGAAUACAUACAAAAGGCGAAAAAUUGGAUUAAGAAACAAAUAUUUCCCACUCAUCUAACAUUCAUUGAAACAGUACCAAAAUCAAAGGGUGACUUUUAAAACAAACAGAUGUAAUUAUUCAAAUGCCAACUCCUGAGAUGAAAUUGAGUACAAUAUAUUAAAGAUCAUAAUAAGUAUCCAAAUAUUUUUCCAAACAAAAAAAAAACUAAGUAUUCAAUUAACAAAUAUUUACAGGUAUAUAAGGUUGGCUUGAUGACAAGAGUUAGAGAGUGAAGUGAUAAGAGAUCAUAGAUUCCAUCCACAUCAUCAACAAAAUACUAACAAUAUUAAUAAUACUAAUUAUUAAUAUCGGCCAUUACAAAAAUAAAUUAUUAAAUAAGUGUUUGAGAAAAAAAAUCACAAAUAUUCACCACCCUAAUAACCCUACAAAUCUAAAAACAUGAAGUUUUUGCAUGGAAACUAAAUAACAACCGAAAAAAAAUUGAUGGGUCGGUAAAAAGAUGAGAACUUUGAAUGAGAAAAACAAUCAGAUCAGCGACAGAUUGAUAACACAUAAUCAGUCAUUAACAAUAUUUGAGGAAUUGAUAUGAAAAAUAAAAAUAAAAGAGAUUAAAACCUGGUAAUGAGCGUUGAAGAGUUGAGAGAAGCGAAAGAAUGAAGAGAUAGCGGCGAAGGGGGAAACUCCUCGGAUCUGCACCGUGGAGUUAAAGAGUGGCGAAUGAAAAGGGAAAAGGAACUCUUUAUAUAUUCGAAAAAGGGUUAAAGAAAAUUAUGAUUUACCACGUUUACCCUUUCACAUUACUUUUUCAGAUCCUUAUCAUUAUUCUUUUUUAUUUAAUGAUUUAGAUUAUGAACUAAGAUAUUAUUUUAUUUUAUUUUAGAUUUGUCAACGAUUUAUUUUUAUUUUUAUAAAUAAUUUGGUGGUUAAAUUUACAUACAUUAAGUAUCUCAUAUAUAUAGAUGUACUUGAAGUUACAUGUUUAACUCUAUUAACAGAAUACACAAAUUAUUUUGAUAAGAAAUUUUUAAAAUAAAUAAUUAUUAAAAAAUAAAAUAUUUAUUAAUGUAAAUUUUCACAAAUAACUGUUUUUUUAAAAAAUAUUUUUACUUUUUUUUAUUUAUAGAAAUAUUGACAAUUAUCGUAAAAAAAUUAUAGACAGCUAUUUAUUAGAAAGUAUUUUAUUUUUUUUAUUAACGAAUAUAAUUAACACAAAAUUUAAAAGAAAAAUUUAUAUUUCUUUAGAUUAUUAGAGGUUAAUAGAGUAUAUAUUGUCUUGGUCCGGCUAAAAAAACAACAAUGAUAUACAUCUCUAUUUAAUUUAAUAUUUUUUUUUGGAAAUAUACCUCAAUGUGCUAGGAGGCUAGGCCCAUAUCAAUGAGCAAAGGGGAAACAAUACAAGAGCGGGUGACCACACCACUUUGAGUUUGGGUCUACUAAGGCCCAUCUAGCCGAACCGUGGGCCGCUCUAUUUCCAAGCGUUUUUACAAAAGAAAAAUGAGAAAUGUACUGUGCACCCCCACAGUUUUACCUGCCACCCCCCAUAAUUUGUUAUUGACCAAUCUACCCUUUUUACUUUAUAUAAAAUUUAUCAGUAAAUUUACUACACUCUUUUCUCACCCCCACUUUCGAAAGUUUUUCAAAAAAAUUCUAUUAUUCGAAAGUUUCAAACUUUCGAAACAAUCAGAUGUCAGAUUUCAACAACACUUUCGAACCUUUUGUGAAAAAUCCAAAGAUUCGAAAUGCAAUUUUCCCAGAAAUCACAAAACAUUCGAAACUUUGCUUAAGUAUGAAAGCUUCGAAGCAUGAAUUUGAUGAAACAUUCAAAGAUUUGGUUAAAUCUGAAACUUUCGAGGUUUUGUGUGAUGAAACUUUCGAAGCUUUGGUUCAAUUCGAAACUUUCGAAACCCAAAAUGUUCGAAACUUUGGUUGAAGCUGAAAGUUCCGAAACCUAGUUUUCCAGCAAUUUCGAAAGUUUACAUCAAUGUCAAAGUUUCGAAACUUUCAAUUUUUUUUUUAAAAUUUAUCAUUAUUAUUUAUAUUUAUUACUAUUUUUUAAAACAGGUAUGAGUAGAGUUGAGGUUCCUGCCUCAANNNNNNNNNNUAUAUAUUUGAUGUUUUAUUUGAAACAUAUUUUGUAGGUAUUUCCUUCACGAGAAUCUGUGUUUGAAUGGGCAAAAACCAUUGGAAGAGAAAAUGGAAUUUUAAUUGUCAUCAUUCGUUCAGAUAAAGCAACCGGAAAGAGGGGAAGAAAAGACAAAUUGAUUUUGGGAUGCGAAAGAGGUGGAAGAUAUAAAUCAAAAUCAAAAUCAACAGUGACUUGUUCUCAUAAGGAAAAUUGUCCGUUUACUCUCAGAUGUAUACCCUUAAGUGUCGGUGAAGGAUGGAAAAUUAGUGUUCGUUGUGGAACACAUAAUCAUGAUCUACUUGAUACUGUAACUGGUCAUUCUUAUUUGGGGCGUUUAAAUGAAGAAGAGAGGAAAUUUGUCAAUGACAUGACAAAGUAUAAGCUUGCCCCCAGAUUCAUCCUAAAUGCUUUGAAAGAGAGAAAUAAAGCUAAUCUGACAAUUCCAAGUCAAAUAUAUAAAGCAAGGAGUACUUAUCGAUCAUCGUUGAGAGGUCCGUAUACAGAAAUGCAGCAUCUGUUGAAGUUAAUACAACAAGAAAAUUAUGUGUAUUGGACAAGAAGACGGGAGAAUUCUGAUGUUUUGAGAGAUAUUUUUUGGACACAUACUGAUUGUAUAAAGUUGUUAAACACGUUUCAUUUUGUUUUGAUAUGUGAUAGCACAUACAAAACAAACAGAUAUCGGUUACCAUUACUUGAAAUUGUCGGUGUCACAUCUACUAGUUUGACAUUUUCUGUUGGGUUUGCUUAUUUGGAACAAGAGCGACAAGAUAACUUCAUCUGGGCAUUUGAAAAGGUACGACAGUUGUUCAAAUCUGAGACUUUAAUUUCUAAAGUUAUUGUGACUGAUAGAGAUCUUGCCAUGAUGAAUGCGAUUAGUGUUGUGUUUCCUACUUCAAUACAUUUGCUAUGUCGUUUUCAUAUUGAAAAAAAUGUUGGGGCAAGAUGCAAACAAUAUGUGAAAAAAGAUAGGCAAGAAGAAGUAAUGGAUUUAUGGAAAAAAAAUUGUAUAUUCAAGUAGUGUAGAGGAGUAUGAUCAUCACCUGCAACAUUUUGAGCUAGUGUGUGCCGAUAUUAUUCUUUUUGUUGAUUAUGUGAAAGAUUCGUGGUUAACACCUUACAAAGAAAGGUUUGUCAAUGUUUGGACCAAUAGAGUGAUGCAUUUGAGGAACACAACAUCUAACAGGUAUUUUUAAAUUUGAUUUGUUUGUUUUAGAAAAUAUGAUUUACUAGUUUGUGAUUUAUUUUAAUUUGUAUUAUUUAAUUUAUUUGUAGAGUUGAGUCUGCCCAUUGGAGAUUGAAAAACAUGCUGCAAACUAGUUUGGGUGAUUUGUGUAAAAGUUGGGAUGCUGUGAAUAUGAUGUUGAAGAACCAAAUAUGUAUCAUUCAAUCUUCUUUUCAGAAAACCAUCAAGGAUGUUGAGCACGGGUAUAAUUCAUCAUUCUUUCAAAGUCUGCAUCAUUGUGUAUCAAGGAAAUGUUUUAAAAAAAUUGACACACAGUUGCAGAGAGUGAAGAUUGUAGGUACUGACAAAACAAUAUGUGGUUGCUCAAUCAGAACAACUCAUGGAUUACCAUGUGCUUGUGAGUUGGCAAAGUUGCAGAUAUUUGGUAAUGUUAUCCCUUUAGAUAGCAUUCAUGUUUUUUGGAGAAAGUUAAGCCUUGAGAAUGAAUUUGAGGAUGAAGAAUCUUUAUCAGAUUAUGACUUUUCAGAAGAGUUAGAAGCAAGGAAAGCGUACAUGAAGAAACACGAUAUUGUAAGUCAAAGGAUAUUCAGGGCUAAGGUGCGUGAAGUUGUAUUUCCACAUACAACAUCAAUACUUGCACCACCAGAGAAGGUGAGAACCAAGGGAGCAAGUAAAAAGAAGAAGAAUUUGAUACUCCUCGUGAUCCGUCAUAUUGGGAGUAUGUUGAUGCUUAUCAAGAAUCUGCAAAGCAACCAUCUCAACGUUCUGCAAGGCAACCAUAUCAUUCAUCACAGUAUUCUGCAAAACAACCAUUUUACACACAUUUUCCUACUCUUAUACAUCCGUAUAUUGAGGAGAUAAUAGAUGUGGUGGCUGAUGGAAAUUGUGGGUUUCGCGCAAUUGCAGCAUUGUUAGGUUGGACUGAAGAAUCUUGGCCUUUAGUUCGAACACAAUUGGAUAAAGAGAUUCAUCUACAUCAAGACCUUUAUGCUAAUGUGUUCGAUGACAGUGUUGAAUCAGUGCGAAACUCAUUGAACAUAUCAGGAUUGGGUGCUCAAGGACAAGAUAAGUGGAUGUGUUUACCAGACUUGGGUUACGUGAUAGCAACACAAUAUAAUGUCAUAUUGGUGUCGUUGUCUCGUAAUCUGAAUAUGACAUUCUUUCCGCUAAACAAAGCACCGCCGUCAAAAGAANNNNNNNNNNNNNNNNNNNNNNNNNNNNNNNNNNNNNNNNNNNNNNNNNNNNNNNNNNNNNNNNNNNNNNNNNNNNNNNNNNNNNNNNNNNNNNNNNNNNNNNNNNNNNNNNNNNNNNNNNNNNNNNNNNNNNNNNNNNNNNNNNNNNNNNNNNNNNNNNNNNNNNNNNNNNNNNNNNNNNNNNNNNNNNNNNNNNNNNNNNNNNNNNNNNNNNNNNNNNNNNNNNNNNNNNNNNNNNNNNNNNNNNNNNNNNNNNNNNNNNNNNNNNNNNNNNNNNNNNNNNNNNNNNNNNNNNNNNNNNNNNNNNNNNNNNNNNNNNNNNNNNNNNNNNNNNNNNNNNNNNNNNNNNNNNNNNNNNNNNNNNNNNNNNNNNNNNNNNNNNNNNNNNNNNNNNNNNNNNNNNNNNNNNNNNNNNNNNNNNNNNNNNNNNNNNNNNNNNNNNNNNNNNNNNNNNNNNNNNNNNNNNNNNNNNNNNNNNNNNNNNNNNNNNNNNNNNNNNNNNNNNNNNNNNNNNNNNNNNNNNNNNNNNNNNNNNNNNNNNNNNNNNNNNNNNNNNCAUUUAUAUAAACAUUCAUUUAAUUUAAUAAACUUAAACACAAAUAAACAAAUAAUUAAACAUUUAUAUUAAUAUAUAAUUAAUUAAAUAAACUUAAACUUAAAAAUAAAUAUAAUUAACCAUUUAUAUAAACAUUCAUUUAAUUUAAUAAACUUAAACACAAAAAAUUAAAUAUAAAAUAAAUUAAUUUAAUACCUCUCAUUCCCAUAACCUCCGAGCCACGUGAUGCUCGUACUGUGUCAACAGAGAUGUGACCGUCGGUCCUCCGGGAAAUUCGGUCUGCUGAUCCUGAUCAUCAAUAUCAGCAGCAUCAUUCGACUCAUCAGCAUCAUCUGACUCAUCAGCAUCAGGAUGUGCAGAAGUAUCAGGAAUAUCAUCAGCGGUCUGCUCCAUCUGUGGCGGCUGAGGGACAUCCUCCUCCAUAUGUGCAUGCUCGGUGGAGUCAACAUCAUCGUCCUGAACCUCCUGUUGUCUUCGACGACGCUGCCUAAUAGGACGAUUUGCUUCGUUGCGUCGUCUGUUUGAUGCUGUUGGUGGAAUUCUCUCUACAUCAUCACGUCUAUCACCUAUGAUGUUACGAAUAAUCUGACCAAAGACACCUCUCAUUCUAGGCAGUGCAAUAUAUCAAUAUACCAAUAUUAAAAACAAAUGAAUUUUUUUUUUAAAAAACCCAAAUAACAUUUCGAAAAUUUCACUGGGAAACCAAACUUUCGAAACCUAGUUUCGAAACUUUUCAUCAAUCUCAAAGUUCUGAAGCCUAAUUUUUCGAAUCUUUCAGAAAUGCUCGAAUCUUUUACAUUUCGAAUAUUUCACCUUCAACGAAACCUUCGAAACUUUUGAACUUCGAAUGUUUCAAGUUCAAGGAAAGGUUCGAAAAGUUGAACAUUUCUGGAAAAAACUUGCUUCAAAAGUUUGACAUUCAUAGAAAGUUUCGAAUGUCUGGAAAAAUCUGGAAAAAUAAAGGCUUCGAACAUUUGACAUUCAAGGAAAGCUUCGAAUGUCAGGAAAAAUCUGGAAAAAAAAGCCUUCGAACGUUUUAACAUUCAAGAAAAGGUUCGAAAAUUCCUUACUUUUUCACUUCGAAUGUGUGAAAGGUUCGAAUAUUUGGUAGGGUGGGAGAAUCGGAUGUUUCAGAGUUUCGAACAAAUGGGGAAAAAAAGGAAAGUGUAUUUUUUUUAGGGUUUUAUAGUUAAAAUCAGGGGCAUUAUGGUCUUUUACUUAUAGUUGGGGGGGUGGCAGGUAAAACUGUGGGGGUGCACAAUACAUUUCUCAAGAAAAAUUCAUAAUCACUAUAAUCAAUGUUAUUCCAAGUUCUAGCAAUUAGGGUACCUCAAUAUAAUAUAGGUAAACGCCUAUAAGAUCACCCGGUCGAAAACUUGUCAAUUUCUCGCAUUCUAAAUACCGUAAAGGAUUGAAAUUGUUGGUUUCUACUUAAGGUCUCUAAUUUAAUAAAAUGAAGUAUUUAGAAUAUUCAUACUUUUGAAAUUGUAAUUUUAAAUGCUUUAAAAUUAUUAGUUCAAUAUGCAUUGAAUCAAUAUUAUUUUUUAAUUUGAACUAAAUGAACACUGCAACAAAACGAUAAACUAAAUAUCGUACUAAGACAACAAAUAAAACAAUGAAAAGUCAAACAACGAAAUCACAGACUAAAUACAAAAGAAAAUUAAAUAUAUUUGUAAUCUACUUUUUUUUAAAAAAAGAAAGAGAGAACAAAACAAUUUAAAGAAGUGAUUUUAGAAAAGAAUUUUUUUUUUUAAUUCAAAAUCACCUUUCUUCAAUGGAGGAAGAAUAAAAAGAACUCUUGGGUGGCUAGCUUUCGUCAAGAGAUGAGCGGUUCUGAGAUAGUAUUAUUCAAUAUACAAUUAAGUCUUAUAGUUUCUAUUGCUCUCACUUUGGGUCCAAUUUCCAUUCAAUAUUUGGUAGUCUUGUUACUCUUACAACAAAAUAGAAAGACAAGUUCGAAAAUUCAAGACUCCCCCCACACCUUUCAAAAAUAAAAAUGUAAUGUUGCAUAUAAUUAUGUUAUAUUGUUUUUGUUAUCAUUAUCAAUAAAAAUGUAAUGUUGCAUAUAAUUAUGUUAUAUUGUAAGAUUCGAAACAGAAGAAAGUUUCGAAAGUUUCCUUGAAUUUGAAACCUUCGAAAUGCAUUCCUCGAACAUUUUGAAAUCUUCGAAACAAGAAACUUUCGAAAGUUUCUUGAAUUUGAAAUCUUCGAAAUGCAAGGCCAGGGAAACUUUCGAAAUGUUCUGGGAAAGUUUCGAAACCUAAUUUCGAAAGUUUGGAUCUGGAAAAGUUUCGAAACACAGUUUCGAAGGUUUGGAUCUGGGAAAGGUUCGAAACAUACUUUUAUAUAUUAUUUAUAAUUUUUUGAAACGAAAUGGGACAUAUUAUUUAUAUAUUAUUACAUUGAUAUUUUAUUGUUUAUAAUUUUUUUUAAUAUUUAUAUAUUUAUAUGUUGCAGUGCCUAGGAUGAGAGGUGCUUUCGGCCAAAUUAUUCGCAAUAUUAUAGGUGGUGAUGGUGUUGAGAGAAUUCCACCAACAUCAUCAAAUAGACGACGAAACGAAGCAAAUCGUCAAAUUAGGCAUUGUCGUCGAAGACAAGACAUCCAUGAUGAUGUCCCUGAGCCUCAGAUGGAGGAGGAUGUCCGUAAGCCUCAGAUGGAGGAGGAUGUCCCUGAGCCUCAGAUGGAAGACCAUGUCCCUGAGCCUCAGUUGGAGGAGGAUGUCCCUGAGCCUCAGAUGGAGGACCAUGUCCCUGAGCCUCAGUUGGAGGAGGAUGUCCCUGAGCCUCAGAUGGAACAUGCUGAUGAUGCUGGAUUCCCCGGAGGACCUAUGUUGAGACAUGUGUUGACACAGUAUGAGCACCACGUGGCUCGGCGGCUAUGGGAAGGAGAGGUAUAUUUCAAUUUGAGGCAUUUUAAGUCUAUUUAAUUCAAGUGUUUAUUGAAAUAUAUUUAUUCAAUUAUAUAUUUAAUUGUUUAUUUAAAUUUAUAUAUUUAAUUAUUAAAUUAAGUUUAUUUAAUUAAUUGUUUAGUUAAAUUUAUAUAUAAUUAAUUGUUUAGUUAAAUUUAUUUAAAUUUAUUUAUUCAAAUAUUUGUUUAAGUUGAUUUAAUUAUUUGUUGAGUUAAAUAUAUUUAUUGAAUUAUUUAUUUAAUUAAUUGUUUAUUUAAAUUUAUUUAUUCAAUUAUUAAUUUAAGGUUAUUUAAUUAAGUUUAUUUAAUUUGUUGUUUGUUUAAAUUUAUUUAUUCAAUUAGUUGUUUAAGUUGAUUUAAGUAAUUGUUUAUUUAAAUAUAUUUAUUGAAUUAUUUAUUUAAUUAAUUGUUUAUUUAAAUUUAUUUAUUCAAUUAUUUGUUUAAUGUUAUUUAAUUAAUUAAUUACUUUGUAAUUACUCGCAGGAUCGUGGACCGUUAAAGGUCAUUACUCAUGGAUUGAAGUUGAAGAAGUUUUCUGAAGUUCCUGUGCCACAUCCUGUAGAGCGUUGGAUUCGGGAAUCUGGGCUGCUACCUCUUUCUUCGGCCUACCUCACUAUGGUUGAUGCUGGUCUCGUCUCGGCAUUUAUUGAAAGAUGGCACAGGGAGACCAGCUCAUUUCAUUUGCCAUUUGGAGAGAUGACCAUUACUUUAGACGACGUAGCUACUCUCCUUCACAUAUCACCGAAUGGUAAAUUUUUUGAUGCACCUGUGAAUAUGAGUACUAAUAAUGCUGCUAGAGCUGCACAUGAGUACUUAGGUGCAACUUGGGAGGAAUCUCUAGCUGAAAUUAAUUUUAAUAAAUGUGCCCAAUAUAGAUUGCAGUGGCUGCGUGACUUAUAUAGUCGUCUCAUUCAAACUAAUCAGUUUGAGUGUGCGGCUAGAGCGUAUCUAUUGCACUUAGUUGGCAGCACCAUUUUCGCCGAUAAAACGCAUACGCGUGUGGAGGCGAAAUACAUUAGUUUAUUUAUUGAUUUAGCUCGUUGUCGACACUAUUCAUGGGCUGCCGCGGCAUUGGUUUUCCUGUAUGAUAACAUGGGAGAUGGGGCUGUCCACGACACUCGACAGUUAGGAGGUUACAUGACCCUUUUACAGGUAUUGACAUUUAUUUAAUUAUUUUAUUUAUUAAGUUGUAUUAUUUUACUUAUGUAUUUAAAUUAAGUUGUAUUAUGUUACUUAUGUUGCAGUGCUGGAUCUACGAACACUUCCCUAGGAUCUGUAAGCGGGGCGAUAGAGGUGCGGUUCCUGCACAUCUUCCAAGAGCAUGUAGGUGGAUUGCAAAACAUGCUGUUGAAGGUGGAUUAGUGACCUAUCGGCAGAGACUUGAUGCUUUGUUGCUUGAUGAUGUACUGUUUACACCAUACGAUGAUGAUCGAGCUAAUCAUCCGUUUGAAGAUAUUUCGAUGUUCUCUGGUUAUCUUCGAUGUGGUGGAGUCUCAGUCCCAUAUUUGCCGGAGCGAUGUCUUCGACAAUUUGGUCGUAUUCAGUGCAUCCCGCCUGAUGUUCCUCCCAGGCCCCCUAGUGUAGAUUGGGUGUGGCAGACUACUAUGCAGUCAUCUGUAUCGGCGUUUCGGAGGCUAUAUCAUGUUGCGAGUUUUCAUGGAGAGGUCACUGAGGACUAUUAUCCAUGGUACAUGUCUGUGUCACAUCCUCUGAUCAUUCCUCGGUCUACUGCACAUGCGGGUACAUCCUCUGAGCAUCCAUCUCACCAUCCAUCAUCUGCUGCACAUGUGGGUACAUCAUCUGCUGCACAUGCUGGUCCGUCAUCGUCUGACCGAGAUCGUAGAACAGCUGAGCUUGUACGUAGAGGCAUUAACUUGGUAGAGCCGUUUAGUGAAAUUCAUGAGAUUUUAAGUGAGUUAUGUCUUAUGUACGAUGUUUAGUAAUUUGCUAUAUUUUGUGUUAUGUACUGUAAUUUGAGAUAUUUUGGGAUUAUGUGAUAUGUUUAGUGAUUGUGUUAUGUGUUAUGUAAAUUCGCAUUUAUUUUAAGUUAAUUCAUAAUAAAAGAAACUGAAAAUGAUAAAACAAAAUAUUAUAAUAAUCCAUAAACGUAGAUACACAACAUAUUCUAAUCUUCAUUUAAUGAAAUACAAGAUGAUCUGAUAAAUGAUGGAUCAAUGCGUUCCCAAUGCUUCAUACGUGCUGCAUAAGCUACUUCCCAACUCUUUGCUGUGUCACUACAAAAGUCUUUCCAUUUUUGUGACGUAGGUGGCAAAGGACAAUCAGACUUCAAUUUGAUCUGAAUAAAAAAAAUGUUACAAAUUAAUUUAUCUGAAUAAUAAAUUUUUUAACAUUAAUUUAAUAAACAACAUUAAGCAUUAAUUUUACCUGUACCCAAUGAUUCUCGUUAACAAAUCCAAUUGCUAGUAAAGACUGCCCAAAGGUCUCUUUCGAUGGUGAUUUGUUUAGCGGGAAAAAUGUCAUAUUCAGAUUACGAGACAACGACACCAAUAUGACAUUAUAUAGUGUUGCUAUCACGUAACCCAAGUCUGGUAAAGACAUCCACUUAUCUUUUCCUUGAGCACCCAAUUUUGAUAUUUUCAAUGAGUUCCGCACUGAUUCAACAUUGUCAUCAAAAACAUUAGAAUAAACAUCUUUAUGUAGACCAAUCUCUUUAUCCAAUUGUGAUCGAACUAAAGCCCAAGAUUCUUCGGUCCAACCUAGCAAUGCUGCAAUUGCACGAAACCCACAAUUUUCAUCAGCCACAACAUCUACUAUGUCCUCAAUAUACGGACGUAUAUAAGUAGGAAAUUGUGUCUUAAAAGAAUGUUGAGAUGAUUGAGAUUGUUGCCUUGCAGAACGUUGAGAUGAUUGAGAUGGUUGCCUUGCCUUUGCAGAUUCUUGAGAGGCAUCAACAUACUCCCAAUAUGAAGGAUCACGAGGAGUAUCAAAUUCUUUCUUCUUUUUACUUGCUCCCUUGGUUCUCACUUUCUCUGGUGGUGCAAGUAUUGAUGUGGUAUGUGGAAAUACAACUUCACGCACCUUUGCCUUGAAUAUCCUUUGACUUAUAAUAUCGUGUGUCUUCAUGUACGCUUUCAUUGCUUCCAACUCUUCAGAAAAGUCAUAAUCUGAUAAAGAUUCUUCAUCCUCUAAUUCAUGUGCAAUGCUUAACUGUUUCCAAAAAUCAUGAAUGCUAUCUAAAGGGAUAGCAUUACCAUUUAUCUGCAACUUAGCCAACUCACAAGCACAUGGUAAUCCAUGAGUUGUUCUAAUUGAACAACCACAUUUUGUUUUGUUAGUGCCUACAAUCUUCACCCUUUCCAACUGGUUAUCAAUUAAUUUCAUACACUUUCUUGAUACACAGUGAUGUAGAUUUUGAAAAAAUUGUGAAUUAUACCCGUGCUCAACAUCCUUGAUGGUUUUCUGAAAAGAAGACUGAAUGAUACAUAUUUGGUUCUUCAACAUCAUAUUCACUGCAUCCCAGCUUUUACACAAAUCACCAACACUAGUUUGAAGCAUGUUUUUCAAUCUCCAAUGAGCAGACUCAACUCUACAAAUAAAUUAAAUAACACAAAUUAAAACAAAUCACAUAAACGAGUAAAUCAUGUUUGCUAAAACAACACAAUUCAUAUUUUAAAAAUACCUGUUAGAUGUUGUGUUCCCCAAAUGCAUCACUCUAUUGGUCCAAACGUUGACAAACCUUUCUUUGUAAGGUGUUAACCAUGAAUCUUUCACAUAAUCAACAAAAAGAAUAAUAUCGGCACACAAUAUCUCAAAUUAUUGCAAAUGAUGAUCAUACUCUUCCACACUAGUCGAAUAGACAAUCUUUUUCCAUAAAUUCAUUAUUUCUUCUUGUCUAUCCUUUUUGACAUAUUGUUUGCAUCUUGCCCCAACAUUUUUUUCAAUAUGAAAACGACAUAGCAAAUGUAUUGAAGUAGGAAACACAACACUAAUCACAUUCAUCAUGGCAAGAUCUCUAUCAGUCACAAUAACUUUAGAAAUCAAAGACUCAGAUUUGAACAACAUUCGUACCUUCUCAAAUGCCCAGAUGAAGUUAUCUUGUCGCUCUUUUUCCAAAUAAGCAAACCCAACUGAAAAUGUCAAACUAGUAGAAGUGACACCGACUAUUUCAAGUAAUGGCAACCGAUAUCUGUUUGUUUUGUAUGUGCUAUCACAUAUCAAAACAAAAUGAAAUGUGUUUAACAACUUUAUACAGUCAGGAUGCGUCCAAAAAAUAUCUCUCAAAAUAUCAGAAUUUUCCCGUCUUCUUGUCCAAUGCACAUAAUUUUCUUGUUGUAUUAACUUCAACAGAUGCUGCAUUUCUGUGUACGGACCUCUCAAUGAUGAUCGAUAAGUACUCCUUGCUUUAUAUAUUUGACUGGGAAUAGUGACAUUGGUUUCAUUUCUCACUUUCAAAGCAUUUAGAAUGAAUCUGGGUGCAAGCUUAUACUUUGUCAUAUCAUUGACAAAUUUCCUCUCUUCUUCGUUUAAACGCCCCAAAUAGGAAUGACCGGUUACAGUAUCAAGUAAUUCAUGAUUGUGUGUCCCACAACGAACACUAAUUUUCCAUCCUUCACCGACACUUAAUGGUACACAUCUGAGAGUAAAUGGACAGUUUUCCUUAUGAGAGCAAGUUACUGAUUUUUUUGAUUCUGAUUUAUAUCUUCCACCUCUUUCGCAUCCCAAAAUCAAUUUGUCUUUUCUUCCCCUAAUUCCGUUUGCUUUAUCUGAUCGAAUGGUAACAAUUAAAAUUCCAUUUUGUCUUCCAAUCGCUUUUGCCCAUUCAAAUACAGCUUCUCGAGAAGAAAAUACCUGCAAAAUACGUUUCAAAUAAAAAUUAACUAUAUAACUAUAAGAAAUAUUUAAUCGGUGAUGAUUCAUCAGUAGUUAUAAUAAUACCUGAUCAGUGGUGAAUUUUUCUGUAGUAUCUAUAACAUUUUUUGAAGCAGAAACAUCAACUCUACUCAUACCUAAUUUCAAAAUUAGUAACAAAUUUAAUUAAAAAUAAUAUUCUAAAUAAUGAAUUUAAAAAAAAAAAUUAAAAUAAUUUCUAACAUAAAUAUUGAAUUUAAAAAAAAUNNNNNNNNNNNNNNNNNNNNNNNNNNNNNNNNNNNNNNNNNNNNNNNNNNNNNNNNNNNNNNNNNNNNNNNNNNNNNNNNNNNNNNNNNNNNNNNNNNNNNNNNNNNNNNNNNNNNNNNNNNNNNNNNNNNNNNNNNNNNNNNNNNNNNNNNNNNNNNNNNNNNNNNNNNNNNNNNNNNNNNNNNNNNNNNNNNNNNNNNNNNNNNNNNNNNNNNNNNNNNNNNNNNNNNNNNNNNNNNNNNNNNNNNNNNNNNNNNNNNNNNNNNNNNNNNNNNNNNNNNNNNNNNNNNNNNNNNNNNNNNNNNNNNNNNNNNNNNNNNNNNNNNNNNNNNNNNNNNNNNNNNNNNNNNNNNNNNNNNNNNNNNNNNNNNNNNNNNNNNNNNNNNNNNNNNNNNNNNNNNNNNNNNNNNNNNNNNNNNNNNNNNNNNNNNNNNNNNNNNNNNNNNNNNNNNNNNNNNNNNNNNNNNNNNNNNNNNNNNNNNNNNNNNNNNNNNNNNNNNNNNNNNNNNNNNNNNNNNNNNNNNNNNNNNNNNNNNNNNNNNNNNNNNNNNNNNNNNNNNNNNNNNNNNNNNNNNNNNNNNNNNNNNNNNNNNNNNNNNNNNNNNNNNNNNNNNNNNNNNNNNNNNNNNNNNNNNNNNNNNNNNNNNNNNNNNNNNNNNNNNNNNNNNNNNNNNNNNNNNNNNNNNNNNNNNNNNNNNNNNNNNNNNNNNNNNNNNNNNNNNNNNAAAAAAAAUUAAAAAUAAUUUCUAACAUAAAUAUUGAAUUUAAAAAAAUAAUAAAAUACAUUUCGAAACUUUAACUUAAUGAAAAGUUCGAAACUUACAUACAUUUCGAAACUUUGGUGAAAAUGCAAACUUUCGAAGAACAAAAUGCAUUUCGAAGAUUUGUAAGUUUCGAAACUCCAUUUCGAAAGUUUCAUCAAAAGCCAAAUUUUCGAAGCAUAACUCUAUUUCGAAACUUUCAAAUGCAAGCAAAUAUUCGAAUACUGUCCAUUUCGAAAAUUUGGCAUUUAUCUAAAGUUUCGAAAAAUUGAAUUUUUUUGAAAUAAACUGCAUUUCGAAGGUUUUAAAAUAGCAAAAGUUUCGAGUAACUUACUAAAAUUCAUUUCGAAAAUUUUAAACUUUCGAAUCCAACAUUUUUUUUCUAAAUUUUCGAAAGUGGUGGGGUGUGAAAUCUGAAUGGUAAUUUUUAAAAUAAUAUUAUACUGUUUUACAAAGGGGUAUUUUAGUCUUUAAAAAAUACUGGGGGGUGGCAGGUCAAAUUGGGGGGGUGCCUGGUACAAAAGCCUACAAGAGCGGGUGACCACACCACUUUGAGUUUGGGUCUACUAAGGCCCAUCUAGCCGAACCGUGGGCCGCUCUAUUUCCAAGUGUUUUUACAAAAGAAAAAUGAGAAAUGUACUGUGCACCCCCACAGUUUUACCUGCCACCCCCCCAUAAUUUGUUAUUGACCAAUCUACCCUUUUUACUUUAUAUAAAAUUUAUCAGUAAAUAUAUUACACUAUUUUCUCACCCCCACAUUCGAAAGUUUUUAAAAAAAUUCUAUUAAUCGAAAGUUUCAAACUUUCGAAACAAUCAGAGGUUAGAUUUCAUCAACACAUUCGAACCUUUUGUGAAAAAUACAAAUUUUCGAAAUGCAAUUUUCACAAAAAUCACAAAACAUUCGAAACUUUGCUUAAGUAUGAAAGCUUCGAAGCAUGAAUUUGAUGAAACAUUCGAAGAUUUGGUUAAAUCUGAAACUUUCGAGGUUUUGUGUGAUGAAACUUUCAAAGCUUUGGUUCAAUUCGAAACUUUCGAAACCCAAAAUGUUCGAAACUUUGGUUGAAGCUGAAAGUUCCGAAACCUAGUUUUCCAGCAAUUUCAAAAGUUUAUGCAAUUUUCACAAAAAUCACAAAACAUUCGAAACUUUGCUUAAGUAUGAAAGCUUCGAAACGUGCAUUUGCUGAAACUUUCGGAACUUUGCUUAAGUAUGAAAGCUCCGAGGCAUGAUUUGGAUUACACAUUCGAAGAUUUGGUUAAUGCUGAAACCUUCGAAACCCAAAACACAUUUCGAAACUUUGCUUGAAGCUGAAAGUUCCGAAAGUUUUUUUCCAGCAAUUUCGAAAGUUUACAUCAAUGUCAAAGUUUCGAAACUUUCAAUUUUUUUUUUAAAAUUUAUCAUUAUUUAUAUAUAUUAUUAUUUAUAUUUAUUAUUAUUUAUAUUUAUUACUAUUUUUUAAAACAGGUAUGAGUAGAGUUGAGGUUCCUGCCUCAAAAAAUAUAAUAGAUUCUACGGACAAAUUCAUUACCGAUCAAGUAUUAAUAUUACUGAUAAUCUAUCACGGAUAAAUUUUUUAUUAUAACUACAUAUUUGAUGUUUUAUUUGAAACAUAUUUUGUAGGUAUUUCCUUCACGAGAAUCUGUGUUUGAAUCGACAAAAACCAUUGGAAGAGAAAAUGGAAUUUUAAUUGUCAUCAUUCGUUCAGAUAAAGCAACCGGAAAGAGGGAAAGAAAAGACAAAUUGAUUUUGGGAUGCGAAAGAGGUGGAAGAUAUAAAUCAAAAUCAAAAUCAACAGUAACUUGUUCUCAUAAGGAAUUUUAUUUGAAACAUAUUUUGUAGGUAUUUCCUUCACGAGAAUCUGUGUUUGAAUGGGCAAAAACCAUUGGAAGAGAAAAUGGAAUUUUAAUUGUCAUCAUUCGUUCAGAUAAAGCAACCGGAAAGAGGGGAAGAAAAGACAAAUUGAUUUUGGGAUGCGAAAGAGGUGGAAGAUAUAAAUCAAAAUCAAAAUCAACAGUAACUUGUUCUCAUAAGGAAAAUUGUCCGUUUACUCUCAGAUGUAUACCGUUAAGUGUCGGUGAAGGAUGGAAAAUUAGUGUUUGUUGUGGAACACAUAAUCAUGAUCUACUUGAUACUGUAACUGGUCAUUCUUAUUUGGGACGUUUAAAUGAAGAAGAGAGGAAACUUGUCAAUGACAUGACAAAGUAUAAGCUUGCCCCCAGAUUCAUCCUAAAUGCUUUGAAAGAGAGAAAUAAAGCUAAUCUGACAAUUCCAAGUCAAAUAUAUAAAGCAAGGAGUACUUAUCGAUCAUCGUUGAGAGGUUCGUACACAGAAAUGCAGCAUCUAUUGAAGUUAAUACAACAAGAAAAUUAUGUGUAUUGGACAAGAAGACGAGAGAAUUCUGAUGUUUUGAGAGAUAUAUUUUGGACACAUACUGAUUGUAUAAAGUUGUUAAACACGUUUCAUUUUGUUUUGAUAUGUGAUAGCACAUACAAAACAAACAGAUAUCGGUUACCAUUACUUGAAAUUGUCGGUGUCACAUCUACUAGUUUGACAUUUUCUGUUGGGUUUGCUUAUUUGGAACAAGAGCGACAAGAUAACUUCAUCUGGGCAUUUGAAAAGGUACGACAGUUGUUCAAAUCUGAGACUUUAAUUUCUAAAGUUAUUGUGACUGAUAGAGAUCUUGCCAUGANNNNNNNNNNNNNNNNNNNNNNNNNNNNNNNNNNNNNNNNNNNNNNNNNNNNNNNNNNNNNNNNNNNNNNNNNNNNNNNNNNNNNNNNNNNNNNNNNNNNNNNNNNNNNNNNNNNNNNAUGCAAACAAUAUGUGAAAAAAGAUAGACAAGAAGAAGUAAUGGAUUUAUGGAAAAAAAAUUGUAUAUUCAAGUAGUGUAGAGGAGUAUGAUCAUCACCUGCAACAUUUUGAGCUAGUGUGUGCCGAUAUUAUUCUUUUUGUUGAUUAUGUGAAAGAUUCGUGGUUAACACCUUACAAAGAAAGGUUUGUCAAUGUUUGGACCAAUAGAGUGAUGCAUUUGAGGAACACAACAUCUAAUAGGUAUUUUUAAAUUUGAUUUGUUUGUUUUAGAAAAUAUGAUUUACUAGUUUGUGAUUUAUUUUAAUUUGUAUUAUUUAAUUUAUUUGUAGAGUUGAGUCUGCCUAUUGGAGAUUGAAAAACAUGCUGCAAACUAGUUUGGGUGAUUUGUGUAAAAGUUGGGAUGCUGUGAAUAUGAUGUUGAAGAACCAAAUAUGUAUCAUUCAAUCUUCUUUUCAGAAAACCAUCAAGGAUGUUGAGCACGAGUAUAAUUCAUCAUUCUUUCAAAGUCUGCAUCAUUGUGUAUCAAGGAAAUGUUUUAAAAAAAUUGACAAACAGUUGCAGAGAGUGAAGAUUGUAGGUACUGACAAAACAAUAUGUGGUUGCUCAAUCAGAACAACUCAUGGAUUACCAUGUGCUUGUGAGUUGGCAAAGUUGCAGAUAUCUGGUAAAGUUAUCCCUUUAGAUAGCAUUCAUGUUUUUUGGAGAACGUUAAGCCUUGAGAAUGAAUUUGAGGAUGAAGAAUCUUUAUCAGAUUAUGACUUUUCAGAAGAGUUAGAAGCAAUGAAAGCGUACAUGAAGAAACACAAUAUUGUAAGUCAAAGGAUAUUCAAGGCAAAGGUGCGUGAAGUUGUAUUUCCACAUACAACAUCAAUACUUGCACCACCAGAGAAAGUGAGAACCAAAGGAGCUGGUAAAAAGAAAAAAGAAUUUGAUUAAUAAUUAAAUAAAUAAUUACAUUAAUAAUUAAAUAAAUAAUUACAUUAAUAAUUAAAUAAAUAAUUACAUUAAUAAUUAAAUAAAUAAUUACAUUAAUAAUUAAAUAAAUAAUUACAUUAAUAAUUAAAUAAAUAAUUACAUUAAUAAUUAAAUAAAUAAUUACAUUAAUAAUUAAAUAAAUAAUUACAUUAAUAAUUAAAUAAAUAAUUACAUUAAUAAUUAAAUAAAUAAUUACAUUAAUAAUUAAAUAAAUAAACGACACAACUUAAUAUAAAUGAUAUACCUGCAGUAGGCUCAUGUAACCUCCCAGCUGUCGAGUGUCGUGGAUAGCUCCAUCUCCCAAGUUGUCAUAAAGGAAAACUAAUGCCGCGGAAGCCCACGAGUAGUCUCGACAACGAUGUAAAUCAAUAAAAAGAGAAAUGUAUUUCGCCUCAACACGCGUAUGUGUUUUAUCGGCGAAAAUAGUGCAGCCAACUAAAUGCAACAGAUACGUUCUAGCCGCACACUCAAACUGGUUAGUUUGAAUGAGACGGCUAUACAAAUCACGCAACCAUUGCAAUCUAUAUUGGGCACAUUUAUUAUAACUAAUCUCAGCACAUGCUUCCUCCCAUGUUGCACCUAAGUACUCAUGUGCAGCUCUUACAGCAUUAUUAGUAUUCAUAUUCAAAGGUGCAUCAAAAAUUUUACCAUGCGGUGAGAUGUGAAGGAGAGUCGCAACAUCAUCUAAGGUGAUCGUCAUCUCUCCAAAUGGCAGAUGAAAUGAGUUGGUCUCUCUGUGCCAUCUUUCAACAAAUGCCGAUAUCAGACCACCAUCCGCCAUUGUGAGGUAGUCUGAAGAUAGAUGCAUCAGCCCAGAUUCCUGAAUCCAGUGCUCUACAGGAGCUGGCAUAGGAACUUCCGCAAACUUCUUCAAUUUCAAGCCGUGAGUAAUUACCUUUAGUGAUCCACGAUCCUGCGAGUAAUUACAGAACAAUUGAGAUUAAUUAAACUUAAAAAUAUAUAUAAUUANNNNNNNNNNNNNNNNNNNNNNNNNNNNNNNNNNNNNNNNNNNNNNNNNNNNNNNNNNNNNNNNNNNNNNNNNNNNNNNNNNNNNNNNNNNNNNNNNNNNNNNNNNNNNNNNNNNNNNNNNNNNNNNNNNNNNNNNNNNNNNNNNNNNNNNNNNNNNNNNNNNNNNNNNNNNNNNNNNNNNNNNNNNNNNNNNNNNNNNNNNNNNNNNNNNNNNNNNNNNNNNNNNNNNNNNNNNNNNNNNNNNNNNNNNNNNNNNNNNNNNNNNNNNNNNNNNNNNNNNNNNNNNNNNNNNNNNNNNNNNNNNNNNNNNNNNNNNNNNNNNNNNNNNNNNNNNNNNNNNNNNNNNNNNNNNNNNNNNNNNNNNNNNNNNNNNNNNNNNNNNNNNNNNNNNNNNNNNNNNNNNNNNNNNNNNNNNNNNNNNNNNNNNNNNNNNNNNNNNNNNNNNNNNNNNNNNNNNNNNNNNNNNNNNNNNNNNNNNNNNNNNNNNNNNNNNNNNNNNNNNNNNNNNNNNNNNNNNNNNNNNNNNNNNNNNNNNNNNNNNNNNNNNNNNNNNNNNNNNNNNNNNNNNNNNNNNNNNNNNNNNNNNNNNNNNNNNNNNNNNNNNNNNNNNNNNNNNNNNNNNNNNNNNNNNNNNNNNNNNNNNNNNNNNNNNNNNNNNNNNNNNNNNNNNNNNNNNNNNNNNNNNNNNNNNNNNNNNNNNNNNNNNNNNNNNNNNNNNNNNNNNNNNNNNNNNNNNNNNNNNNNNNNNNNNNNNNNNNNNNNNNNNNNNNNNNNNNNNNNNNNNNNNNNNNNNNNNNNNNNNNNNNNNNNNNNNNNNNNNNNNNNNNNNNNNNNNNNNNNNNNNNNNNNNNNNNNNNNNNNNNNNNNNNNNNNNNNNNNNNNNNNNNNNNNNNNNNNNNNNNNNNNNNNNNNNNNNNNNNNNNNNNNNNNNNNNNNNNNNNNNNNNNNNNNNNNNNNNNNNNNNNNNNNNNNNNNNNNNNNNNNNNNNNNNNNNNNNNNNNNNNNNNNNNNNNNNNNNNNNNNNNNNNNNNNNNNNNNNNNNNNNNNNNNNNNNNNNNNNNNNNNNNAGGUAAAACUGUGGGGAUGCACUGUACAUUUCUCAAGAAAAAUUCAUAAUCACUAUAAUCAAUGUUUUUCCAAGUUCUAGCAAUUAGGGUACCUCAAUAUAAUAUAGGUAAACGCCUAUAAGAUCACCCGGUCGAAAACUUGUCAAUUUCUCGCAUUCUAAAUACCGUAAAGGAUUGAAAUUGUUGGUUUCUACUUAAGGUCUCUAAUUUAAUAAAAUGAAGUAUUUAGAAUAUUCAUACUUUUGAAAUUGUAAUUUUAAAUGCUUUAAAAUUAUUAGUUCAAUAUGCAUUGAAUCAAUAUUAUUUUUUAAUUUGAACUAAAUGAACACUGCAACAAAACGAUAAACUAAAUAUCGUAUUAAGACAACAAAUAAAACAAUGAAAAGUCAAACAACGAAAUCACAGACUAAAUACAAAAGAAAAUUAAAUAUAUCUGUAAUCUACUUUUUUUAAAAAAAAGAAAGAGAGAAGAAAACAAUUUAAAGAAGUGAUUUUAGAAAAGAAUCUUUUUUUUUUUUUUUUAAUUCAAAAUCACCUUUCUUCAAUGGAGGAAGAAUAAAAAGAACUCUUGGGUGGCUAGCUUUCGUCAAGAGAUGAGCGGUUGUGAGAUAGUAUUAUUCAAUAUACAAUUAAGUCUUAUAGUUUUUAUUGCUCUCACUUUGGGUCCAAUUUCCAUUCAAUAUUUGGUAGUCUUGUUACUCUUACAACAUAAUAGAAAGACAAGUUCGAUAAUUCAAGACUCCCCCCACACCUUUCAAAAAUAAAAAUGUAAUGUUGCAUAUAAUUAUGUUAUAUUGUUUUUGUUAUCAUUAUCAAUAUUUUGAUUGUAAUAUUGACUAAAAUGAUUGUUGAUCAUCAUACAUGUUAUGCUCUUUGAUGUUUAAUGCAAAUUUGAUAUAUUAAUACAUUUAUCAAUCACAUGGUUUAUAUGUGCAAUAUAUUCAUACUAUUGCUCCAAACAUUGUAUUUCAUAUUUUCUUUUAUUCUUCAACCUUUUUGAUAGAUGUCAAAAAGGGGAGAUAAAUAUAUGAUGGAUAUAUGAUGAAAAUAAUUAAUGAAGAAUGUUAAGGAUUAACCUCUUGCAUGCAUUUAGGGAAAGUUUAAUUGCAUAUUUAUGAACAUUCUUACAAUUUUUUUUUUAUUAUUAUAUCUAUAAAACUUAGAAUUUAUUCAAAAUGUUUGUCAUCAUAAAAAAUGGGAAUAUUGUUGAGGUAAAAACAUUUUUGAUAUAUAUUUUAAUGACAAUAAAUCUUUUAAAAUAAAUUAUUAAGUUUAUGAACGGUGAUCUACUAAUGAUUGCACUUGAGUUUUAUUUAAGAAAUAUAAAUUGCAUAAAUGGACAAGCAAGAAGCCAUUCACAUCAACAAAUGCAUAAAUAUCUACUCAAUAAUGAAAAAAUCUCAAAAGAAAUAUAUCAUAUAUCAACCAUUCAAGAAAAUAGUUAUUGCAUCUUCAAGAUAACAUCUUCAUGAAAAAAGUAUUCAAUACAUUCAUACAUAUACUAAAGUAUCUCAGUAAUACUUGAUGGACAAGAGACAACACAUGAAACACCAAGAUAAAUUGUAGAAGUAUUGAUUCAACAAAAGUUUUCUCCUUUUACAUAGAAGACAACAUUCUCAAUUGCUAUGAAAUAAUGUUGUCAUGAUGAACUAAUUCAUUGCACUGAUAAAUAUUUAUAUCGGUUCCGCAAAAUGACAAGAAUCAACUUUGAAGAAUAAAUCAUUUCAAGAUUAAGUCAUUUGUUUAAAGAAUGAUGAAAAAACAUUCACCAAAAUGUUCAGUUUGUUCUAUUAAAGAACAAAUGACAAGAAAGAUCUUUUUGAAAGGACAACAUGCAAUAAAUCAGGUGACAUUUCACAAAUGCACUUUCAAAUAUUUAAUAAACAAUUAAAAGUCAAGAUUUGAAGGUCUACUUACAAAAACAAACAUGCAAAAUAUUUUGCAGAAUAAUAUCUAGAUUGAUCUCUAGAUUGGUGACAUAAUGGUUGCAUAACAUUCUAGUUGUCUUAAAUAAAAGACAACAGACAAAUGAAUUAAUUUUGGGAUCACUAAAAGCAUAUCUUUUACGUUAGAUCCUAAACACUUUUUAUCAUACGCAUUGAAAUUAAUUCAAGUCUAUCUUUUACGUUAAAUUGAAUGUAUUUGUAAAAGUUCUUUCAAGAUUGAAAGAUGACUAUAAAAAUCGUUUUCUAGAUUGAAAUAUGAAGUGUAAUUGAUUGUGUGAUCAAGAGAAAAUGUGUAAAGGAGAACAUUUUAGUUCUAAAGCACAUAGUAAAAAUCUCACGAUUGUAAGGACUACAUUAACCCGAGUGUGGUGAACCAAUAUACAUUUGUGUGUAAUCUUUAUAUCCUUAUCUUUAAUUAUUUGUACACACAAAUGACACUUUACUAUAAACUAAUUUUUUUUAUUUACUUCUAACAUAUCCAGAAUAUUUUGUACAUUAUGUUUCAAAUCAAUAUUGAUAUUGAAUUAAUUUAAAUUAAACACACGAAUCAAAAUUUUAAAAUUGUCACAGUUCAAACCUCAAUUUCUUGUGAUUGACAUUGCUACUUCACUAUACAUCCAAUAGAUGCCUACCUAACAUUUAACUUUUUUUUAAUCAAAAUAUAUACUUCAAAGAGUAAAAUAAGUUUAUUUAUUUAUUUAUCUAUCAGUCAUUUGAUUCAGUCGUAAUCGAAGGUCUCUCAAGUUCGAACAAUAGUUGAAUUAUGACAACAUUCAAACAUAAAGUUCAUAACGAUAUUUAGUCAUUUAAAUUGAUAUAAAUUAUACUGGUCAACAAUACAAUUCAAAGUCAUUAGGAUUGAAAAUGAUAAGUUUGCGAACAAACUUGUAACAUCUAAAUUAAUAGCAUAAAACAACAAAAUAUAUACAAACAUGACAAAGUUUACAAAUUUAAUAAAAAUAAAGUGUCCUGAAUACCCAUGUCUCCGAAAUUGUAACCUUAAAGACGCCUAAAUCAUUGAUUGAAUUUGCACUGAAUCGAAGCUAUCUGUCAAUCUAAAUCAAAUGAAUAACGCAACAAAACAGAAAACCAAAUAUGUCAUACAAAAACUACAUACAAAACAAUAAAAAGUCAAAAGACGAAAUACAAAAGAUAACUAAAUACUUGCGUAACCUAUUUUUUUAAAUAUAAAUAAAAUAAUUUAAAGGAGUUAUUUUAGAAGAAGAAAAGUUUCCCAAAAUCACCUUUCUUCAAUGGAGAAGAAGAAAAAGAACUCUUGGACGGCUAGCUUUUGGCAAGAGAGGAGCAGUUGUGAGAUAGUAUUAUGCAAUAUACAGUUAAGUCUUAUAGUUUCUAUUGCUCCCCCUUCGGAUCCAAUUUCCAUUCAAUAUUUGGUAGUCUUGUUACUCUUACAACAUAAUAGAAAGACAAGUUCGGCCAUACAAGACUUCCCCCCACCUUUAAGAAAUAAAAAUGCAAAAGGAAUCUGAUAAAUACAUCCGAAAAAAGUUGUUAAAAUAUCAUUUCGCUGGACACCAAAUUUUUACAUAUCAAAAUCAAAAUGAAUCUAUUUAUCAACCUUGCAUUGACCAACUUAAGUCCAGUUGAUCGUUUCACCACGCAAACCUGCAUAAAUAGACCCACAAGAUCAUUGGUUAUUAUUGAGAAAAUCACACUAUUUGCAAAUUCACUAACAAGUAUGAAAGCAUAUUUAUCUACAUUACAUUGUUCAUAAAGUUUUUGUGCUAGCAACAACAUUGCAUCAUUUUGUUCAGCUAGGCAUGAGAGUCUUUCAGUCUCCUUGACUGCCUCAUCUGCCAGAUAUGAUUUGUGUUCAGCAUCAGCAACUCUGUAUGCUGCAGUAUCAGCUGCUUCCUUCAGCACAUCAUUAGAGACGGAUGAUUGCCGUUGCGGCUUGACAUCUUUUUGUUUUGGUGAAGGUGGUUUUGUCUCCAUUGAGGCUUCUUUUUUUAGCUUGUAACAAUUUUGUACCUGCAGUAGAUGGUAAGUUGUCCAAUUCACCAAGAAAAAUAAGAUUUGAGAUAUUUCAGUUUAAGAGUGCAGAGUCUCCAUGGGAAGGUGGGAUCGAAGUUAUUGUAAUGGUGAUAGACUUGCUUGUAGGAACCUUGAUGACGAUGGAAGAGAGCAAAGGUCAGCCGCUAUUUACAGAAAUAUCCCCCACCCAAGACCCUUACAACCCCAUCCAAGACCUUUUACAAUAACACAGCAGAGCCACAAAAUCAAAGGUCUUAAGAAUACAAUGAAAAGCCACAAAGACGCUAAGAAAUACAAGGGAAAAAUUGAGGAGCAUAGGAGGCAGGCAGAUGUUUGUUUGUGAUUUUCGUAAAAGAAACAGCAAUCACUCACUAAUAGAUAUAACAACGUGCAUUAAAGCAGAGUCAACCAAAUAACAUGCUUUAACAAUAAUACAAGUAAAAUAUUCACAAGGUGAAAUAUUAAAUAUUAAUAACUGAUACAAAGUUACACAAGCAUCACAGAGGAUUAAUUUACCUUUUCAAGCUUCCCUUGAUUCACAAGGGUCCUCAACCUUGAACUCAGUGCCCUUCUGAAAUUUUGAGGAACCUGAUGCUUUUGCUGCAGCAUUAUAUGUGGUUAUGAUUACUUUUAAAAGUCUAAAAUGAAAAAACCAUGUAGAAUACCCAAUACAAAACAACAACUUGCACAAUAGACACUCCAUAUAAACUAAUCUUCCAACUUACAUCAAGGCAAAUUAUAUGCAUUUCUAUACAAGGCAUCGGUACGUAAAAUCAUCUUAAUAGCAUAAUCUCAAAACCAGGUAUUUCAAUCCAACUCACAAGAUGGUAUACUAUGUGUGUUGUCAAAUAUAUAUGGAAACAUUAAAAGCAAUAAAAAACUUUAUCUAACCUCGAUGAAAUUAGCAAUGGCAUUUAGAUCAGAACCAUUAGUAUCCUUUAAUGUAGAUAGAGCUUCAAAAACCAUGGCAUUAUACCUGAUAAAACAAACAAAAGUACCAAUAAUCCCACAUUAUAUGAUAUAUUAAUUGACUGAACAAAUAGCAUGUCAUGUUAAAAUGCUCCAUCAAAUUAAUAGCAAAAGAACUAAUGAUAGUCACUAGUCACUACUAGUCAACUAGAAAUGUUUUACAGUGUAAACUAUAACUGCAUGAAUAGCUUGGCAACAUCGUGCGUCAUUAUAUUACAAAAUAAAGUACAUGAGUGGAUAACAUAAUUCUUCAUCAGACUAUCAAACACUUAUGCAGUUAGACCUGUCAAAUCAGCCCACUCCAUGGGAUGGUUUGCUAUAUCAACUAAAUCUCACAAUUAAUUAAAGGUAUCAUUGAUAUUGAUGAGUGCUUAACGACUUUAUCCAGGCAGGAUCGCAAAGUAAUCAUCUGUGAUGAUAUCAGUUUAUUAUUUCAACUCACAAGAAAAUCAUUUUGUGCAACAAAAAUCAUUUCAUUCCAGAUGAAUUCCCUUUAUUCUAAACUUUCAAGCAUUCAAAGGACUGGACUGCAUGAAAAUUGAACAAUAAAAUAUGCACUAAAGCAAAAAUUCGAAUUAUAAGAAGUUACUUUCAACAACAUUCACAAAAAAAUUCCCCAAUAAUAUUAUUUCAUACAUACGAAGGCAUAAGAAUAACAUCCAUAUCAGCCAAUUUUUGAAGCAUGGAAGUAAAUUUAUCUAUCUUUAAGCAGCAAAGCGAAGAGUCAAAAUCAAAACUAAAUGAUAAAUAGAGUUCAUUGCGAUUGAAGGGCCUUGAUAAAUUCAAAUAAAAACUCCAGAUUUGCCACCUCAUGUACCCCAAACACAUGUUCAAUGUCCAGCAAACAACCAGUAAUUAACAAAAAAUAUACAGAACAAAUAAAACUGUACAUAGCUUUGAAUACAAUUGUUGUGUAAGUGAUUUUAUUUGUGUAUUUGUAUUAAUACUAUCUUUAAAAUCUUGAUCCAUUUUGUCAGAAAUGCAUUUUAUGCAAUAUAUUUUGCAGUACACAUAUUGUGACUUUAAAUUAAAGGCUCAAUCAAGCUUUUGGCCCCUACAACUGACAUUUAUGUUCACUCUGUUCCCUAUUUUAAAAAAACCAUUCUCACCCUGGUCCCAUAUAUAUAAUAAAUGACUUGUCUGUUAAGAAUUAUGUUUGAUGCAGGCACGGUCUGGGAAUUGAUUAGUGAAAGGGGAAAAAAUCCUUCAGCCAUACGGCCAACUAGAGUUCAAGUGCAUUGAAACACAUGAAGAUACACAAAAUCCCUCUCAAUUCCCUCUGCUAUUACAUGUACACCUACAGCAUUGAUUUGAAAACCUUUUAUUCCCUUACAGAGCAGACUGAUUGUCACAUAUAAGAACUAAAAAUUAAUCAAAUUUCUUGAAAUGGGACCAACAUGCAACUGUCAACUUAUAAUAGGAAACACAAAUUUCUUAUGAAUUACAAACUUUGUUUCGUAGGGGGGUUUAUUGUAUGUGUAAAGAGCAAUCACUAGUUGCAACUAAUCAACUAUAUAUCUCCUAUUGGAAUCGAACCAUUGACCAUCCCAGUACAAAAGUGAUGCUCUAAUUGCUUCUUUCCAUCCUUUUUCUACAAUAAUUACAGCACUCCUUGUACCGUAAAACUAUAUAGCAUAAUAUGUAUGGGAGAAUAUAUGGAUUAACAUACCUUGGAGGAUUUUUAACAUCUUGGUCAUUUUGAGAAGAAUCAUCAAUAACAAUAUCAGAAGAAGGAGCAGCUGCAGCUUUGAGCUUGGGUGCCCUAGAACUUUGAGUACCAUUACUCACAUUCAUAUUCCGCCAUUUAUCCUGAAUAAAAGGGAAAAAAAUUAUUAUAAAAAACAAAAAACAAAAAGAGUGAGUGAAUAAGCAUAUUGGUCCACUAAAUUAUGAGCAUCAAUCAAAUUAGUCUCCGAAUGUUGAGAAUAAACAAAUACAUCCAACAAACUGUAAUGAAUCCCCUCAGUUAACUUGGCAGUUGAUCAUUAUAAGUGGCACGCUAGAUGAACAUGUGGUCUUCCCCGUGUUUCCCAUAUGAUAUCAAUGCCUAGAAUUGGAUCUUGAGGUGAUAUCCCUAGAAUUGGCAUGAAAAUGCAUGAAUUUUCCUUCAAGAUGUCAGCUUAGUGGUAACUGUUAAGAGUUUGGCAUUGAAACCUCAAGAGAAUAAUUCAAAUCCCAUAUUAGACGUUCUUAAAAUAGUCAUUAGUGCCGGUUUCCCAAAUUAUAAAAAAAAAUGUUCAUUUAUGGCACCAUGUCAUAGUCUCUAACAACAAAUAUUAACUUAGGGCCAUUUUUGACUAAUGUGUUACAGUUUCGGUGAUAUAUUUACUAAUUCAUAAAAUUUAGGGAUUAUUUUGAUGGAAGCUCGCAAUUUGGACAACAAAUUUGCAUAUUCACUAAAAAACAAAAAGAAGCAAAAAUGGAAUAAACCUAAGAAGAAGAGCACCUUGAGGUCGAUGUUGGAACGAGAAGUGAGUAAAGGUGCGAAUUGAGGAUCAACGAGAAUGUUCUUCCAUUUACCAGCGCCGUACUUUUCAAUUCCAGCAAUAAGCGCUUCUUCUUCUUCCUGUGUCCAUUUGAGCUUCUGAUUCCCCAUUCCCUUUUUUUUUUUUUUUUCUCUACCUUUCAGUUUCAGUUAAAAAGCUCUUCGCGCUGAAUCAAGCUUCGCUAAACUCCUUUCUCUCUCUUCAUAGAAAAUCAAUUUGAUAUUUUAUAGCACACAUAGUACAAAGUUUUAACCGUUGCUGGUAUGUUCAGUCUAGUUCGCAAAUAAUUUCAGUAUUUCUCAAUAAUUGAGCUAAUAUUUAAAGACCAGAAAGUUUUUAUAUUUACAAACUCACCCACAAUUACAGAGGUUUUAAGUUCAAUGUAUAUUUACAUAUCUUACCAAAAAAAAUAGAAAAAUAACCUAACCUGAAAUAAUUAAAAUAAUAGAUGUUUUAAAUUUAAAUUUUUUAGAGAAAAUUGUACUGUUCAUUGUAAUUAUAUUCAGUUCGAUUGAUUAGUUAAUGCAAUUAUAUGUAAUAGAUAAAAAAAAUAUUUAAAUAUUUUACAAAACUAUUUUAGAAAAUUUUGUGUAAGAAACCUCUUUUAGAAAAUUACUAUAGAAUGAAUUACUUAAAAAAAAAAUGUUACAACACAUCAAAAUUAUGAGAUUGGAUUAAAAGUGUGUAAUAAUUUUUCACGGUGUCAAUGCAUAUAACUAAAAUUCAUUUAAAACACUUAAUUAUUUUAUUUGUUAUGUAUUUAAAAUUUUAUUGUGUCCUUCAAUUUCCAGAAUGACUAAUUUCAAGUCGUCCCAUUAAGUUUUUGGAAUUAUACAUAAGUGGUGGUAUAAGGAAUUGAAAUUCCUUGUGUCACAAUUUAUUUAAAACCACAACUACAAUUAUUCACAAUUGAAUAACACCUUUUUAAAUGGAGAUACUAUUGGGUAUUUCUCUAAAAGUUAACCCUUCCUCACUUGAAGGAUAAAGUAGGGUGUAAGAUAUACUAACUGGGCCAAGUCGAUUUGAAGCAGUGCAUAUAAUAAUACUACAAGUUUGAAUCAACUCUUCACGAGUUUUCAUUUUAGGCCACCAAGGCUCAUCUUUCUUGUCACCAUGACCCACUUCUACAACUUCUUUCCACCAAGUUUGAUGUUCAGAGUCUUGCUGAAUUUUAUGAUGUGAUAUGUAGUAUAUUGAGACACAGUCUUGCACCCAUAUCUUAAUAGCAUCCCAAAUGUCUAAUAACACCAAAUAGCCAUAUAGUACUUUCAACACCUUCAGUUGCAGGCAAGUAGACAUUACUAAUAACACCAAAUUCAUCUCCUUUGAGGAUGUGGAAGGCUUAACUCAAUAGCUAAAGGCUUUAAAGUUCCAUCAUUUUUCAAGAAAAGGAUAGUUCUUGAAGCAUAUAAGGCCUUUGUGAAAGUUGAGUUUAUUAGCCUCCAAUUUUUAUCAAUUUAAAUUGAUUCAUCUAUUUUAAAAUCCGACUUUGUCUCUUAUUUUGAUUUUUUAACUGAAAAAUAACGAUGUGACAUAUUUUAAAUAAUGUGACAUAUGAUAUAAUAAUGUAAAAUAAUUACCGCCUAAAAAAUCGCAAUAAAAUUUUCUAAAAAUUUAACUUUCAACUUAAAAAAAAUAUUUUUGUAAUUUAAUUAAUAAUAUAUAAUAAAUUAAUGCAUCUAGUUGAUUUUAUAUCAUAAAAUUGUAUGUCACAUCAUAUGUCAAAUCAUCAUAUUUUUUGUUCAAAAAUCUGAUAGAUGAACCAAAACUGUCGACUUUUAAAAUAUGAGAAUCAAUUUCGUGAAUUGAUAAAAAAUAAAGGGACUACAACUGCAAUUAAGUUUUUACUUUAUAAAAUAUGAAUAAUUCAUAUACUACAAUUAGGUUAAAUAUAUUUUUUAGUUCUUAUAGUUAUCUUGAAUUUUAUUUUUAGUCUCUGUAUCCACUUUUCAAUUCAUACAAAUUACAAAACUGCUAAUUUUUAGUUUUUUUAAAGAUUAAAAGUAUGGUUUUUAAUAAUAUGUAUAUACUAAAAAUGGAUUCAUGAAUUAAAAGCAAGAAAUACAAAUUCAUAAGAACUAAACUCAUAUUUAACCGUAUUAUUAAUAAAAAAAAAUUAAAUUAAUAAGAACAUCUAAAAUUAGUUUCAUGUUAUUGUUAAACACCGAAUUAAACUUAAUUGAAGACAACGAAUUAAACUAGAGUUGUCACCAAGAAUAAUCUCUCUUCCAAAUUCUCCAUCAUCCAUGCAAAUUUACUCACCAAUCAAAAUAACAAUGAAUAUUCUAUAAGCUCUUCAUUAAAAAAAUUAUUAUUGUACUCAUUAAUGUCAUUGUAAAAAAUUUGAUUUUCUCCAUCCCUAUUCCCUACUAGAGCUGUCAAUUUGACAAACCCCCUAAUUAUUGGCCCCAGUUCACAUAUUAGAGGGGCAAAAAAAAUUUAUAAUUUAAAAGGCUCCCAAAAAGUAAGCCCCAGCCCCCUAAAAUUUUGUGGGCUUAGUGGGCCUAUAGGCCCACGUUUUCAAAAAAAAUCAAUUUUUAAAUUUUUUUUUUUGACAAAUCUCAAUUAUAGGAAUGAUAUAAUAAAUUGAUAUAUCAAUAUUUAGAUUUAUUCAAUUGUUUUGUAAAAUGUAGGAUAUACCUUAAAUUACUUUAGGGGUAGAAAUUUGAGGAAUUGUUCACCAUCAAUUCAAAAUAUUUCCUUUAAUACCGGUAAAAUAUCUCUCACUAGAAUUUUCUCUUAUUUAACUAUUUUUUUAAAAGUUGAUUGAAAUUUUAUGUUGUUAUCAAGGCUAUCAUAUUAAUCUAUGUACCAUACAGUAAGUUUUAUUUUUCAAACUCUCCAACACAUCACACAUGAUAUUACAGUCUUUAUAACCUUUUAUAGAAUGUGUAUGCAAUAUUGAUGCUUAUUGUCGGACUAUUAUUAAUACAUUUUUUUACUUAUAAAAGAAAUAUAAAAGUUGCAUUUGAUAUCCCAUGUCUAGUUUGGUACAAGGUACAACAAACACAAUAUAUAAUUCUUAUUGAUUAAAGAAAAACAUAAUUAGAAAAACAUACAUAGUAAUGUGACCAUAUGGAUAAUGAGCGAGGGAAUUGAAUUCCUUCUCAUCAUUCAUAUUCAUAGAAGAAACACAACAACCAUGACCCUCUUUAAAUAGAGAUACUGUUGGGAAUGCCUCUGAAAGUCAAUCCUUCUUCACUAGAAGGAUAAAGAAGAGUGUAUGGCAUCUUCACAGGUCCACUUCGAUUCUUAAGUGUCUUAUCAUUGUUCCUUUCAGUGAGCUUUUGCUCAAUUUCAACCAACUUCUUUCCAAACCUCUUAUAGGCCUCUACUGGUUGUGAGUCUGAAGUCCAUAGAUCACCUUCAAUUCUCUGUCCAAGGUAUUGCUCAUCAGAAGCGUGCCUAGACAAGAUCUCUAUAAUGGUGAGGUCAGUAAGGGUAUCAUUCUUUGGUGUGAUUGUCCUCAAAUAUAACUUUUGGAAGUCAUCAGAAAGAUCAUCAUACUCUGGAGAUCCUUUUUCAGGCAUGAAUCUCCUGCUUUUAGUUGGUCGGUUAAGGAUAUAUCCUCCAUAUGGAUAUUGUCCAAAAUUAACAGCUGCAUGAAGUGCUGAAGCAAUCCAUAUGAGAAUGGUGCAAGCUUCAAUCAACUCUUUACGAGUUUGCAUCUUGAACCACCAUGUAGCAUUCUUCAAGUCACCAUGACCAACCUCAACAAGUUCUUUCCAAAAUGCUUGGAGUUCAGAAUCUUGUGCAAUAGCAUCAUCUGACUUGUAGUAAAAAUUCACAUAUUCUUCAACCCAUGACUUGAUAGCAGCCCAUAUUUCUAGUCCAUCAGAAGCAUAAGGGUAGUCUUCUAUUAGAAGGCGAAUGCCAUAUGGUGAGGAUGGAUCCUCAACAGCCACUCCCCUAUAUAACAAGCAAGGAAGAUAUAAUUAAAAUAUAAAAAUUAUAUCAAUAUCUUUUUUAACAAAUUAAUGGAAUGGCCCAUGGAUGAAAUAUUUUGUAAUUAAGGUUACCUUUUGAGUAAAUCAUAAGGUAGUCCUUGCUCAGUGAAAACCCAAUCCUUGUAAACAGCUGAAGACAUUUCCAAAGCAUAUUCUCCCCACAAGAAUGUUGAUUCUAUAAUACCCUCAGCAUUGACAAGGACAUUUCGUGCAAGUGCAUUUAUGUUCAUUGUAUCACGAUAAUGUGGAAGUAAAAGUUUAUGAAUAGGAUGAACCACACUAAGAUGUCUAUUUGUAGCAAUGAUGAAUGGCUCAACAACAGCGUGAGUAUUCAACCUGUCACAGAUAUAAAUAUAUCCAUGAAUUACUCAAAGAUAGAUAAAACAUUGUAUAAACAUCAUUAAUGAAACUCAUACCAAUGGCUAACAAGUUGGUGAUAACACGAGUCAUUUACGACAACAUAAGCCUUGCAAAGUAUCCACAUUGCAGCUUCAACACCUUCGAUUCCGGACAUGUAUACAUUACUAACAGGACCAAAACUAUCACCUUGAGGAUGUGGCCUACUUAGCUCAAUCGCCAAUGGAUUCAAUGUUCCAUCAUCUUGCAAGAAAAGAAUGGUUCUUGUAGCAUAGGCCUUAGUGUCGGUUGCAUUUAUUUUCCUCAAAUAUGGAAAAAGUGGAUCGUGGUGAUCAAGUAUAUACAAUCUAUUAUUUUGGAUGGCCUGUUUCAUUUGAAUAAAAACAAUCAAUUUUGAUGAAAAAGAAUAAUAUAAUGAACCCUUUUGGGGAGUGUCCAAUUGUCUUACCUGUUCUACGGUGACCCCAUUCAUGUUUGGCUCUAAGUGUUUUUUGGUUAUUGUGCUAGUAUUAUCACCAUAGAUUUGACUAUCUAACUUGCUCUUUGGUGGAAAUUCCUAAAUUAAUUGUAGCAAGAAAUGAGGUCAAUUACCAAAUAUAAUUAUAGCACAAAAAGAGAUAAAUAAUAAUGUUUAAUUUUCCAUACUUGCUUAACAAUGUUAAACUAUGAAGUUUACCUUAAGUAUUUUGAUGAUGUGUGGAUUUACACCAGCAAUCAUCUCCCUUGCAAAUUCUGAAUCAUUCAUCCAUGCAAGAUCGUCCACUGCUCAUGAUAAAAACAAUUCAAUGGAAAAGUGAACAUCUUUUUUAUGAUUUACGAUGUAAAUAUAUUUAUAGAACUAGGAACUUGCAAGUAAUAUAUACCUUGAACCACUUUAGGUGGUGGAAAUUUAAGUGCCGAUUCACCAUCACUUCGGAAAAGUUCGGUAAACAAUGGUAUUGGACUAAUUUCGCUUAAUAUGUUAGUAGGAAGUUUAAUUCCACCAUCAUAGAGCGAUGUUACAUCGUCAAAAUCUUUAAAUUCAGGUUCAUUAAGUUGUAAUGUAACUACAGAUCUUAACCGAGGUAUGAUAUUUUGAGAUGCUGAUUUGAGUAUGUAAACAAGAAAAUCUGAUGACUUUAAGUGACCAAAUGAUUCAUCUCUUGGAAGGUAAACAACGUCGCUCCGACUCUCACUCUUAGGAUCUGUUCACGUGUAAAAUAACAAAAUAUGUUAUAUAAACUACACUAAUAUUUUUUAAAUCACAAGUAGAGUAAACAUUGUAUGAACAAAAAGACACAUUGUUAUACUCCAAAAAAAUGGCACAUAUUAGUAUAGUUAGUUAGUCUUAAUUUCAAUUAUGUCAAGGUACCAUUAAACAACCUGUAUUAGUCACUAGUGACAAAAAACAUUACAUACAAAGUUACUUUAAAUACAAUUUCACAUUUUAGUACAAUAUUAUUGGAUUUGUACUAAAAUAUACGUUAAAAGUAAAAUAGAAGGCUUAACCUUUGUUAGUUGGUUUUCUUCCGGUUCUACCCCUUCGAGGAUAAGGAAGGGUGCUCGAUCCUCCAAGAAUUGGACGAGCUAAGGUACUUUUCUUGUCAGGCUCACCCAAAUCAUUGUAGACAUCAUAAUCAUAUAUUCUUUCCCAUUCUUUACGCUCUCCGGUUCCAUCUCCUCUUAAAGUUUUCAAUUCUUCCUUUCUAUAGUACACUAAUGGAGCUGGUGUUUCACUUGGAAGAUAUGUCUACAUAAAUUUAAUCAUUCAUAACCUCAAAUUUCACAAACAAUAAUUUAUAUAUAUAACAGUUUUAAUAAAUAUAUUUAACAAAGUAAGAUAAAAUUUAUAUACUUAAUUACCUUGUUGGCAAAGAAAAUGCGACCAGUUUUGUACUUUUUAGAAUUGUAAACCCAUGAGUUGCAAACAAAGUUGAUGGUUUCAUGGUUUGGAACAUUUUCAAGAGUCAAACUCACAAGGAAGAAUUCACCUUGCAUAAAAUUAUCGAUAUAAAAAGCUCCUGGAAUUCCCAUAUCACUGUCCCAUUCAAAAUGAAUACUGAAAGCAGUUUGUUUGUCUCCCAAUGUUGGUAAAGAGGUAAGAAGACCUUCCAAAAAUGUUUGCUUUCCUACUUUUCCUUUUCCAGUUCCUAUUAAAAUGUCAAAUUUUGGAUUCCCAAUUUCAUUAAUCAUCAUUCUAAAUUGAUUAUUUAUAACUAAUAUUCUAAAUAAAAAAUAACACGAAACUAAGGUCAAUCUUAAUGGACUGAGGGGUAAAACUCUUAAAAAAUAUAAGAUAAAAUUACUUACACUUGAUAAAACUAAGAAUAAUUAUUUUUUACUUCUUAAUAUAAGGCCAGUUAUAUAUGAUCGUAUUAAAAUUUUAUAUUACAUAAGACAAUUUCUAGUUGUGACUUUCUUUUAUGUAAUACCCAGCAAAUCUAGGACUCUAGAUCAACGGUGGAUAGUAUAUUUUAAAAAAAUAAUUAUCAAAGUAAAAGCCUAAACUGAUUUUUUUUAGAAAAAAUAUAUUGAAACCAUGCUACAUUGGUCCUUGGAAAAAAAUAGUCACAUAUUUUGAUCCGAAAUCACUUUUCUCUUUACAUCUUUUUUAUUUAUCUUGUUAUUUAAAUAAAUGAUAUCUAUAUAGAUCUACUUUUUAUUUAUAUUUUCAUGUUAUUUUGCUGAUUAAAUGAAAAGUUAUUAGAUUUUUAUGAUCUCGUUUAAGUAUUUUUUUUUGUUUAAAUUAACUUUGAUUCAAUAUAGAUAUAUAUAUAUAUCAAUAACUCCAAUGUCAUCAAUGUUUACAAGUUCGAAGAUAAAAUUAUUUCAGCUACUUUAAUUUUAUCAAAUUUAUAAAUAUUUUGUCCUCUUAUACUAUUAAUCCGAAUAUUAAUCUUAUUUACAAGUUUACCGUUUUUAAUUUUAAGGAAUUUUUAUUUGCGUAGUUCUCAAUUGAUAUAUUUUAUUAAUUUGAAUGAAAUGUAUAUCAUUGUUUAAUAAAAAAUAAAAUUGCUUAAUUAAAUUAUAUAUUAAAAUAGGGAGAGUGAGAAAGAGAAUUGUUAUUACCAUCGUCAGUUGUAGCACUGAUCAACUUGAAAGCAAUAGAACGACCCAAGAAAGAAGUGGCGGUAUCAAGUAAAGAGCCGGCGAUAUCUCCGAUAGCGCCGAUGGCACCACCGAUUAUACCACCGGGGCUUUGAACUGCAGUGAGAGCGUUGAUGUCCAAAACAUUCUUUUGCAUCAACACCACAGUUCCUUUCAGCUUUUCGCCUCUGUUAAAAAUACCUUUCACCAAUGAAGCCAUCAAGCUAUGUUAAUUAAUUCACUUUCUUUGACAAAUGUAAGAAAAGCUCGUGUCUUGUAACCAUGGAGUGUGCUUAGUAUUUAUAGACUAUCGUAGUUGUCAUAAGAAGGUUAGAUCACUAAAAAUAUACUUUUUUAUUCAUUAUUUGACAACAUGUGAAAAUACAUUGGGACACAUCUCUUCAGCUAUUUUUUUUAUUUAUUUAUUAAAUUUUAUUUAUUAAAAAAUGUAGGAUGAUAAAAUAAUGUCUCAACUUAAGUUAGUGAAGAUUUUAUAGUUGAUUGAACACUUACAAAUAAUUUACAUUUGCGUUCUUUAAUAAUAUUAGAGGAUAUUUAGGAUAUCGAAUUUAAGAGAGAGAAUAGGUUGGGCCGAUGUAGAGUUUGUUAGGCUUGUAAAAAAAUUCAAGGUUUAAGUCUAGUUUGUCGGUUACAGACUUACUUUUUAAGUCUGAGUUUGACAUUGAUAAAAGUUGUGAUAGAAGUCUGGUAUUAUAUUAUCUGUUAUCAUACUUAAAAGCCUAAUUCAUUUCAAUAUUUUUGAAUAAAUAAUAAAAUAUAUAUUUAAAUAAAUUAAUGAAUUAAUAUGUCAAUAAAAUUAAGUUCUAUUUUGAUAUUUAACAUUAUAUUUUGAAGAAUAUGAUUUUAUAAAUAUAAAACUUAAAUUAUAUUUUAUAAUAAUACAUUUAAAUAUGUCAAAAACUAAAUGAUAUUAAUAUGCUAAAUUAUUAAAAGUUGAAUAUAUAAUAAAAAAAAAUCAAAAUUUAGUAUAAGAAUUAUACUGGUAAAAAAAUAUUAUUUAUAUUUAUUUAAAUAAGUCGACCUAAUAGCUCAAUAAAUUUAUCAGGUAGUUUGAUCUUUUUAACUAAUCUAUUUUAAAAAAAAAAAGUCUAACAUGAUCUAGACCUGACAUAUACUAUUAAUCUGAUCUAUUUUCAUCUUUAAUUCGAUCUAAUACCUAUUUUUUAGUGUUGUAUUAAUGUUGUUUCUUGUGCAAUUUUAUAUUUAUCGUGAUUAUCUCGUGGCUUAUAAAAUAAUAAUGUCAUUUGCAUAAUUAUUUUGAUUGUUCUUAUAUGUACCAGCUUUUACGUUAUGGGUAAUCAUGAGUCUAUUGCACUAUUGUUAAUUACGUUCUUACCUGUAAGCCGACCAAAAUAUUCCUUUUUUAUUUUUUUUAUUUUUUUAUUUUCAUACUCUUGUUUAGAAGUAAAUUUCAAAUUUAACCCUUAAUCUCACUUAUUCACUAAUUAAUUUAUUAAAGUAUUCUAAUUUAAUAUUUCUAAUGUUAAUCACGUUUUUGUUUUGUUUUAAGGGAUGGGUAACUUAAGAGUUAUCUUUAUAUCAUGGUAUAGAAAAUAUAAUUUAAAUUAUAUUUUAUUUUAUCUUAAAUCUAAAAUAAUGACAUUAUUUAACUAUUUCACAUAAAUUAAAAAAAUUAUUAUUAAUUAAAAUUUUCUUUUUAAUCAUUGAUGUAUUCUAUUUACCACAAAUAUAAAAUAGUGAAUAAUAAAUUGAUAGUGAUUAAUAUAAUUUAAUACUUAAUUGUAGUUCUGGACCCUUUGUUUUUAUCAAUUAAAAAAAUUGAUAUAUUUAUUUUAAAAUUCGACAGUUGUUGUCCUUCUAUAAAAAUUUUGAACUAAUAAAAAUGACAAUUUAAGGUAUUUUAAAUAAUGUGAGAUUCAAUUACAUGAUAUAGAAUCACCUAGAUAAAUUAAUUAUUUAUAUAUGUCAUUAAUUAAAUUAUAAAUAUGAAGAAAAAAAAUUGAAGUUGAAAGUUACAUUUUUAUAGUGUUUUAUUUUGAUUUUAUAAAUGUUAAUCAUUCUACGCCAUUUUAUCAUAUGACAUAUUAUUUAAAACAUGUAACGUGACCAUUUUUUAGUUAAAAAAUAGAGGGUCCAAAUUGUCAACUUUUAAAAUAUGAAAUUAGUUUCGUGAAUCAGUAGAAAUAUGAGAACUAAAACUAAAAUCAAACUUAAUAUUAAUUAGAUAAUACAGUUAAAAAAAAUUAAAAUUACAUUAAAAAAUGAUGUAAUUUAUACAUACAAUAUAAAUAAUUUUUAUAUUAUCAAUCAAUAACACAACCGUUAUAUUAUUAGAGGUAUUUAAAUUUUAUCAAAUUAUCUUUAAAAUUAUAUUCAUAAAUACAUAUGUACUUAUGAUAUAUUAAUAGUAUAAAUUUUUUAGAUAGUACAUAACAAUUAAUUUUGCGAUGUUCAGACGUGUUGACCCAAAUGACAUUCCUACAAAAAUUCUUGAAAUUCCUACAAAAAUGCUUUUAGUCUCUUCACAAACGGAUGUAGGAAUAAUCAUAACCUGAGGUUGCCCCACCUAUCUUAAUUAAAAAUUUAAAAACUAACUUGGUGAGAUUUGAAAAUCUUAAAGCAAAAUAUUAUAUCAAUAAAUAUACAUCAUGUGCGUGUACGGUGUAUGGUAAAUCCUUUUGGAAAGAUUUAUUCGUACAAACACAUAGCAUAUCACAUAUGUUAUUUAGACAUAAUAUAUACUAUUAGUUAAUGUCUUUUUUUCAUCGUAAUCAUACGAGUAAAGAGAACAUAUUAAUAAAAAAAAUUCAAAACUGUAUGUUAAUAUGGUUUUUGAUGUCGAAAUUUAUGUCAAAAUAUUAUUUCUGCAUAGUACAUAUAAAUAAAGAUUAUGAUAUAAUUUUUGAAAAAUUAAAAGAUUAUUAAAUAUUUAUUUUAUUUAUAAGUGUAUGUUUUUUUAGUUUUUCAUAAGUUAUUUUCACCAAAUGUAAUCUGUUAUGUUAGAUAUUAAAGUUGAUACAUCUUUUGAUGAAAAUUCAAACUUCAACAUGUUAAGUGCACAACAAAGCCUGGAUAAAACACAUUAAACAACUUUUAUCAUUUUAAGAGAUUUAUUUCAAAUAUGUCAGCUACAUAUACCAUUUAUGUGAUGGCCAUUUUUAAAUAGUAUAUUAUAAUAGUUUAACUUUAAUUUUUUUUUUUGUGUGACUAUUAUGUUUCCUAUUUUGGAUUAUUUACCAAUAAUAUAAAUUAUGUAAAUGUUAUAAAAAUGUAUAAUUGAUUUUGGAAACAAAUAUUAUUUCCAUAAAUAAAUUGAAGUUAUCAAAUAAUAUUUUGGGACAGAAACGGUAGUAAUUAUUAUAAGCAUGUUUUACAAAAUAAUUUUUUUAAUAUUCUAAAUAAUAAGUUAUUGAUGUAAUUAAUUUGAGGUUAAAUAUAUCCCCUUAAAUUUAAUUACAUUAAUUAAAUAGUGCAAAUUUUAUAAAACUAUUUUUGUAUUAAUAAUUCAUUUGUGCCAAAUUAUAUGUCAUUUUUCCAAUUUCACAUAAAUUAAAAAAUAUUAUCAAUGUUGUAUAAAAAAGAGAAAUUAUGAUUUGUUUUAUAAAAUAUCGUUCAUUAAUGAUAUAAGAACGAUAAAUUUAAAACAUUGAGAAAAAAAAAAAACAAAGUAAUACAUAGUAAAAAGUUUAAUAGCAAAAGAAACAUUAAUAAUUUAGUGAUACCGGAAAACAAUAUCAUUUAGAAAGAAAUUAUUGAACACUUAUCUAACCAUUAAUAGUCGAACAUAAUUAAUCAAAUAUCAAAUAAUUAUAAGCAAUAAAAAUAAUUAUAAAAUUCUAAUUUGUCAAAAUAGCAAAAGAAACACAUCAUCGUUUUUCCUCUUAACUUCAUAGUAUCCAGUGCAACAUCCUCAACUCUCACUAUAUCGACAUAUGAAAAUUAAAGCGAAUCUUAAUUCUUUCAAACCUCUCUUUGAAUACAUGAGUGACAUUGACUUGAAUCCCCAAAGAUUAAGUUCACCCUUUAUAUUUUUUUUAACCUAUUAAAUAUAGUUUUUAUUAAAUAUUUCAAUGGUUAACAUUUGUCAAAUAAAAUAACAAAAAUAACAAAAUCAUACAGUUAUUUUAAAAAAUCAUUUAUGUAAUAUAGUAAAAAAGAAAAUAUUAAUGUUUUAUUCACUACACUAUUAUUUAAAAUAAUAAGGACCAUAAUUAUAACUCAUACUAAUAGAAUUUUAACACGUGUAUCACACGUACUUAUAUCAAUGGUAAUCUAUUCUGCAUCAAUUACCAUUAACAACAUAAACAACAUAACUUGUAUAAAACAAAUACUAUAAGUCAUUCAGUUUAAGAAAUAGAGUUCAAUUUAUUAUUUGAUAUUGUCACCCAUUUAAUCAAUCACUGCUCUUUUAUUCAAUUACAAAUAUGAUUAAUAUUUUAAAAUAUCUUGAAAUUAUUUUUUCAAUUGUGUUACUUUAAGAGCAUCCUAAUUUUGGUACUUUAAGAGCAUUCACUUAAGUUUAUCUACUUAUUUUAAAUGAUUUUGAUGAUUUUGAAAGGAUUUUAUCAUUUUGUAUAACUUUUUUAAAAGAGAUUUAAAAAUAAAAGUUUUAAAUAAGAAAUUAGUUUGAAUAGCUUCUAUUUUAAGUAUUUCAUCAUUUUAUUACAAAUUUUUUUAGAUGAUAAAAUUUCAAAAAUUGUUUAAAAUAUGAAGCUAUUAAUUUUGAGUAGUUUCUCAUAAAAAUCAUUUUCAAGAUGUAUUUUUUUUUAAAACAAUAAUUUUUUUAUUUUUUUUAAAUAUUUAUAUUAUUAAAUAUUAAAAUUAUUAUUUUUAAAUCUAUAACAUAUAACUCUUAAACAACUUUUAUUGUUUUUGAAUAGGUUUUCAUAAAAAUCAUUUUUCAUUUAAUCUAUAACAAACAUACCAAUAUCUUUAUUGUGUAGAUUACUUUUUCAGCGCAUUAAUUACCACUUUUUCCAUGCCAUAUUGCAGAAUUGUAGUACUGCUAGCUAGCUACGUACAAACCUUGGUGUUCUUAAUUCAUUCAUUGAAUCCAAACAUGAAGGUUGCAUUUCAUAUUACAUGUCUAACAAAUACAAGAGAUACAUACAUCAUAUGUAGUUCUUAGUAAAGUAAAACGUAAGAGUGAACAACCAAAGAUACAAAGCAAACAUGACAUGAUUGUGAUGAGGGAAUUUGAUUGCUACUCAUAUUUUAUUCAAUGCCGCAACACAACAAACCAUCAACCUCUUUAUAUGGAGAUACUAUUGGGAAUGUCUCUACAAGUCAAUCCUUUAUCACUAGAAGGAUAAAGCAAAGUGUAAGGCAUUUUCACUAGUCCACGUCGGUUUCUCAAUGACUCAUCAUUGUUCCUUUGAAUGAGCAUUUGCUCAAUUUUUGCCAACUUCUUUCCAAACCUCUUGAAAGCCUCAAUUGGUUGUGAAUCAGAAGUCCAAAGAUCACCUUUAACUCUUUGUCCAAGGUAUACAACAUAUGGAUAGUCCUCUGUUAAAAGACGAAUGUCGUGUGGAGAAGUUGAUCCUCAAUAGCCACUCUUCUAGAUAACAAGCAAGGAAGAUCACUACUAAAAAUUUCACUUUUAGUGACCGAUUUGGAGACUAAAUUUUUUCGAUCACUUUAGAGACUGAAUUAGAGACCAAAAUACAAAACUGUAUAAAGAACCAUUUUUUUGUCACUAAAUCGGUUGCACAUGAUAUUUAGAGACUGAUUUAAUGACUUAAGUUUUAGUGACAAAAAAAUCGAUCUCUAUUAUUUAUAUCUUCUUUUUAAUUAAAAUUGCUGGCAAAACUUUUAUUAAUGUCUAUUUUUGUUACAACACAUAUUUUUAUUACAUCACAUUUUUCAUUUGCGGCAUAUUUUGUUUUAAUUGGACAUAUCUUUGAUUUUGUUUUGUCUCAUCAGUUUCUCAUAAGAAAUCAUCUCAAAAUUUAAUUGAUUUGUGGACAUGAUUUUGUAUUUAAGUGUAUUACGUGUUUUUUUUUAUAAAUGAAUGAACAUCAAUGUUUUAGGAAUCACUAUUAGAAAAACCGAUUUUAGCGUCGGCCAAAAGCCCACACUAAUGUUGACUUGGCGUCCGAUUAGCGUCGGUGUCGGCCUAGGCUAAAACCGUCGAAGUCAAUAGCGUCGGUCAAAUACCAUCCCAAAGUAAAUGCAUCCAACACUAACAAAUAACAAUACCUUCAAAUUAGAAUCCGCUAGUUUAUAUCCUGAAAAAAUUCUAUUGCGUCGGAAUUACGGUCGACAAAUUAGUUAGCGUCGGCUACUCCGACGCAAUGGUCAACUAAUAAAGUAAGUGGACUAUUAAUAAAAGUCAACUUUGUUACUAAUAUAGCGUCGGGCAUGCCAAUGCUGCGAUCAACAAUUGAAACGUAAACAACAAAGAACAAAUCAAAUAAAUGUAGUUAAAUAUGUCACCACAAGCAUGAUAUAAUUGAUAAUGCAUAAAAAACACUUUAACAAAUGCCUAAUUCUUUCACCAGGUUCCAUUAUGCUUCAUUAUUAUAUACUUAUAUCAUAAAUCCCAGAUAGACAUCAAACAGAGAAAAUAAACCUUGCCUUGCAAAACGAGGUAAAGAACAACGUCAAAUUCUGUAUAAAUGCCUAAACAGAGGGUGCAAAAAAGCCAAGGUUAGACAUUGCAAACAAUUCAGGAAAUUGGGCUUCUUAUUGAGAUGAUGAAUACUGUUGCUUAUUUUUUAAAACCACAUGUAAUAAUAACUCAUGUAAAUUGUUGGUUUUUUAGAGGAAUGAGUACGCAUACAUGAAUGUAGUAUGUGUGUGACCCUCUUAGAUUCAUUAAGAUUAAUGUAUGAAAACAUUUAAAAGAAUAAUGAAAUAGAUUGCAGUAAAAAGAGCAUUACCAUUGCUCCCUUCAACAAUUCCUGCGGGUUCAGAGAGCUGCAAAACAUUGAUAAAUAUGUUUUAACAUAUAUCCAUGGCUAUUAGGUAAGUAAGACUUCAUUUGUUUUGAUUUGUUAUGUUGAUAUUAAUUUGCAUGAGCAUUUACAUUAAGUCGCUUGCACAUGAAAUAUUAAUUACUAAUAGAAACUUGCAGGCUGACCAGUCAAUCUUAGUGUCACAAGAACUAUACAUAAAUAAGAAUGAGGAGAGAAUUUUGAGAAACUUCAGCAAAGACAGAAUUUGGAAAUUGCACAUAAAGACAAAAGGAACAUAUAAAAUAUCAUAACAUAUAUUCCCCUUUGAAGUAUUACACACACACACAAAUACAAUCAAUUGAGCCAUGCACUCAGCCCCACUCAACUCCACCUAGUAAAAAGUGGUUUGCUUGUUGUUGACAAUGAUAAAGAAAUCUAAUUAUAGAAGCAAAAUUAGUACUGCAAGGCGCAAGCUAUAAAAGGCUUCACAAAUUGUCCGAGAAGAGAGGAUCACCACCAGCUAGCAAACGAGAUCCUCCUGUUUUCAGAUCAACUCUUGAUCAUUGGUACAGUAAGGACAUAAUUCGAACAACACAACCAUAAUUCGAACAGUACAGUCAAACCCUAAACCAAAACUGAACACAAACGACUUAGAUGGUUAAGGUUACAAUUACAUCGAGAAUGGAUGACAGUGAGAGUGAGCCUGAGAGACGAAAGUGAGAGUGAAUUUGAGAGACGAGAUUGAGACGGCGAAAGUGAGUCUGAGAGAUGAGCGGACGAGAGUGAGAUUGGGGGUGAGGCUGCGAGAGUGAAUGUGAGGCGAGGGAAACGGUGACACGGCGACGAAAGGGUGAGAGUGAAGAGUCAAGGGCGAGGGUUAGGGAAAAAUUAAUGAAGUGGGGAUAGGGAAAAUGGGGUGGGUGAGAGAUAAUAGGAAAAAAUAAUUUUAAUUUUUCAAAUAAGAUUAAAAGAUUUAAUUUUACAAAUCAGACAAUGUAGCGCCAGUCGACCUAAACGGCCAUAUUUUACUUAGCGUCGGCUAAGCCGACGCUAAUGUUUAAGCGGAAAAGAAAUUAAUGAACAUCAAUGUUUUAGGAAUAAAUGAACAUCAAUUUUAGGAAUGUUUGCAUAUAUUUGGGUUUAGAUAUAAGUCAACUAUAUAUUGUUUGAUUUGAUUCUAAAGAUGAAAAAAGGAUUUUGGAUAAGGAGCAGCAACAACCAUUCUAUCAUUGCAAACUCAUUUGAGUUUGUUAAGUUGCCAAUUGUGGCUAUAUAUUUUUGAUGAUUCAUUUGUAUUUAAAAUGAUUUGUUCAAUAUAUUCAGCAAAUAAUGCAUAUUAUUGGAAUUAGCACUGAACAAAGCAUAUGUUAUUUUGAAAAUGAAAAAAAUAGUGUUUUGAGGAGGAACUAUAAUUUCUCACCCGUUUGGAAAUUGUUUAACUUCUUAUUUCUCAAUCUAACACACUCACAUAUUAGGGCUAUUCUGUACGUGGUGUUUAGCUCUCAUUUAUGAGAAAAUUUCAAUGGCAACUUUAGGUUGUUUCGUUGGUUAGUAUGAUUGACUUAUUUAUGUUACAAACAAUUUUGAUUUGUUUUUUAUUGAAAAGCUUCUUUUCUUUCGUAUUGUUUUGUUCACUUGUACAAUGAUUGACUAUCUAUGUAUGCAUCUACAUUACCUAUAAAUCUUAUUUGGAUUUUAUCCAAAAGCGCUUCAUUUUCCUAAGGUUUAUGUGAAUUUUAGUUGCUAAAAUAUUUUCAUUGAAUUAUUCACUAAACUAAAAUUGAUUAGUCACUUACUAAUAUUAUGUAAAGUUUCAAAUAUUAAGAUUCUUCUAUUGUUGGUUAUUUUUAUCAACAACUUACAAGAUCACUUUUUUUAUUUAGGUCCCGCUGAGGAACUUGUUGAAAAACCGUUUGUUGUCAUAAAUUGGCCACAAUAUUCAAAUUUUAUAUUUUUCAAGCUAAAUACCCUAUCAAAAAGAAUUAUGAGAUAAACACUUAUUACAAAUAAACAUAAAAAAUAUGAGAUAAAUAUUUAUAAAAGAUAAAUUUAAAAAGCGCAUGAAUAAUAUUUAUCAUUAUUACUUUAAAAAAAUAUAAGACAAAUAUUUAUCACGAAAAGUAUAAAAAGCACGUGAUAAAUAUUUAUCAUUGAAAAAUAUAAAAAAUACCAGACAAAUAUUUAUUACUGAUAAAUAUAGAAAUACAUGAGACAAAUAUAUGUUAUUAAUAUAUAAAAAAUAUAUGACACAUAUUUAUCACCGAUAAAUAAAUAUAAAUAAAAAAUACGGAACAUAUAUUUGUCAUUGAUACAUAAAAACAACAUGAAAAAAAUAUUUAUCACAAAUAAAUAUAAAAAACACAGGAUAAAACUUUGUCACAGAUAUAUAAAAAGAAAUAUGAAAAAAAUAUUUGUCAUCGAUAAAUAUUAAAAAUACACACAGAAUAUAUAUUUUUCAUCGAUAAAUAUAAAAAAUUAUGGGACCAAUAUUUAUCAUUGAUACAUAAAAAAAAAUACAUAACUUAUAUUUGUCAUUAAUCAAUUUAUAAAAACAAUUGUGACAAAUAUAUGUCAUUAAUACAUAAAAUAAGACAAGAAAAAAAAUUGUUGAUAAAUUUAAAAAAGCACAAAACAUAGGGCAAAUAUUUAGUAUUAAAAUCAUACACGAUACAAAUAUUUGUCUUUAAAAAAUUAGUUAAAAUUAAUGUUAUUUUUAAUAUCUGAUACAUAAAAAUAAGAAUAAUUAUAAUACCGUAUUUAUAAAUAAAAAAAUAUACUCAAGACAAUUGUUUGUCAUAAUUAAUUAAUGAUUUAAAUAUAUAUUUGAUCAUCAAUUAUAGUAUUUUUUUAUUUUAGUCCUCAUAUGUUUUUUUGUUUGAUUCACAUCUCUCCAAAUACAUAUUCAUUUUAAAAUGGAGGGAGACAAUAAAAAUUAGAGUUUUCAGUUUUAGUUUCCCUUUAAAAAAAUAAUCAAAAAAUUAUUUUUUAUAAAAAAAUUUAUUUAAUACAUUGUGUCGUCAACUUAAUAUUUUAAUUACUUAAUGGUGUUAGAAUUUUUUUAUCAAAAAUUGGUCUAAAAGACUAUUUUAAAAUGAAUAUGUAUUUGUAGGAAUGUGAAUCAAACAAAAAAAUUUACGAUAACUAAAAUAAAUAAAUAAAAUAUUAUAAUUGUAAGGACUAAAGACGUAUUUAAAUCUUAAUUAAUUAAUUAAUUUUAAUUUAAUUAAUUAAGUUUAACUUACAUUUGUCUUUUUUGCUUAAUUUAAUUGGUUAUGCUUCAACAUUAUAGUAUCGUGCUUCGAUUAUAUCAAUUAAAUUUUUUGAUAGUAAAAUGUUAUAAUUUAUUUUAACAUUUAUGCAAAUAACAUAUCAUAAUUAUUUAUAUAAUAUUUAACUAUUCAUGUUAUAAUUAAGUGUUAUGUAUUUUUGUCCAAAUGACUUGUCCAAAUAACUGUGCCCAACCAAGUAUUUUUCUUUGUGCAUAGAGUAAUUUGCACUGUUGUAGUUAUUGAGUUAUUAUUUGUUUUGAAGUGAUUGAGUUAUUAUUAGUUAAGUUUAUUUUACUCAAAACUUUGUUAUUUGUUAUUUUAUAAGCAAAUAUAAAUAAUUAGUUAGAUUAUAUUAAUAUAUGAGAUCAAAUUUGAGAUAUUUUGAUUGAAAUGUUAUAUAGUAUAUAUAUAUAUAUAUCCCAUUAUGUUAGAUUAUUCAAUUAAUUAAUUAUUAUAAAUUAUGGCUAAUUGCUAAUAAAUAUUAAUUAAUUAUUAUAAAUUAUGGCUAAUUGCUAAUAAAUAUUAAUUAAUUAAUGAAUCUGUGUUGAAUUAUGUUUCUUAAAUCCAAUGAAAAGACUAUCCUUAAUAUUUUAUAGAAAAUUUGUCUUCGAUAGUAUAAAGUUGACCAAAAUACGUUACUAUAAAUCAACUUCUGUUGAUGUAUUAAGCAUCGGAGAGCAAAAAUAAAGGUGGAGGAAUACUUACCGACCUUUACACCAAUUUAUUUUUGUGUAAUAUCUUUUUUAAAAUAAAAUUGAUCGAUUUAAUAUUUGUUGAGAUAAUAUUAAUUUUAAAUAAAAAUUUAUUAAUAUUAAAUUUAAAAACAGUAGAAUAUAGAGGUGGAAAAAUCAAUCGAAUCGACAAUUUGUUUAUAUAAUUUAUCGAUCUCAGUUUUAAAUUUUAUACAUAAAAUACUAAAAUAUAUAUGUAAGGGAUUUUCGUUUUUAAUUUCAAGAUCCCUAAAUGUCUCUUACUAGAAUUAUUUUUUAUUUAACUAUUUUUCUAAAAGUUGAUUGAAAUUUUAUGUUUUUAUCAAUACAAGAACAACAUAUUAAUUUUUCACGUAAUUUCAUGAUAUGGAUUAAGAGAGAUAAUUUGUUUUUAAUUUUAAAAACUCUAAAAUGUCUCCUUGUUGUUUAAUUAUUUUUCUAAAUGUUAAUUGAAAGUUUAUAUUCUUAUGAUUAUUGCACUCAAAAUAUUAACAAUUACAUGAGUUUAUUUUAAAAUUGAACUCAAAAUAUUAACAAUUACAUGAGUUUAUUUUAAAAUUGAGAGAACUUUAAAUUCCAAUUUAACUGAUUUAAAAUCAAAAUCAACAAUAUAAAUAUUUACGAAUAUAAAAGACUUACUUAAAAAAUAAAAAAGGACUAACGUUGAAAGUUAAAAGAUAAAUCUAUUAUAUUCAUAUAACUUAAAAAACUACAAUAUAUAUUUGCAUAAAUAAAUUUAAUAAUAUAAUAUUAUUACUUUUUAAGGUAAAAUAUGAUUAGUUAGUAUUACUUUCACAAAAGAAAAUGAAAAUGAGGUGUAUUAGUGUAUGAUUAUUACCUAACAAUAUAUAUAUUGGCCAAACAAUUGGUUCCGGAAAAAUCAUAAGGGUGUAUUAAUACUUUUUCAGCACUAUAUCAUUUUUCUUCCAUACAAUAUUGCAGAUUAAUUCGCACUACUACCUUUAUAAAAGCAUAAGUAUUAUUCUAUGGUACCAUUUUGUAAGUUUUAUUUUUCAAACUCUCUAACACAUCACACAUGAUAUUGCAGUCUCUUUAUAACCUUUUACAUAGAAACUGAAUAGAAUGUAUAUGCAAUAUUGAUGCUUACGGUAGGACAAUUCACUACUAGAAAAACAAGCUUUAGCGUCGGCCAAGAACCCACGCUAAAAACAAAAGGCCGACGCUAAAUAUGAUUUAGCGCCGCAGCAGAGGCUCAAUCUAAAAGGCUCGAAGCUAGUCAUUCGCGUCGGCUUCUUGUCAUCGGACGCUACAAUCUAUGGCAGAAUGGCCGAAGCUACAUGUUGUGUCGAUGAAACCGACGCUAAAUAGCGUCGGUUAGGCCUACGCUAACAUUGAAAAUCCCAAAAAAUAUAUCGCGAUACAGAACCACGUAAUAUAAAAGCUGUGUUAAUAAAUCCACAACGCAAAUUACAAAUAGUUAUUACAAAAAAAUAUUAUUGCACACGAAAAAAAGAUAAAAUAAAUAAUAGUAUAUCAAACUUAGAUGAAAUUAAGGUAAUUAGAGAAUCGAAUGAAUAGCAUAGUCCACCUUAAAAAAAAAAAACGAUAAGCAAUUAAAUCUAGAUUUGAAUUUUGUCAUUUUUAAUUAGAACAUUGUUCACUUGUUCUAGAGUUCUAUAUAAAUACAAUGUGUUUUUCCACUCUCAAAUUCCUUCAAAUAUUACCACCAUUUCAUUAUAAAGGAAAAAAGAAAGUAUUUUCGGUCUAAAAUGAAAAAGUAUACGAUAAGACUUACUCUUAUUAAGGGGAUUAGCACAAGGUCUUACAAAUUCUCUAAAAUUACCUUACCCUCCAAGAUCAAGAAGGAGAAACUUUACAAACAACUUAAAAGUAAGUUUUUGAGGCCAUUUACUCAUGCAAAAUACAUAUAAACCUCAAUAAAAAUUUCACAUAAUCCCAUCUCAUAAUAGAACAUAAAAACUAAAAAAAUAAAAAUAACAUAGUACCUUUCCUUGAUAAAGAACAAAAGGUAGGAGAAUAAGAAAUGCAGCACAGGGAAAAGAAAAUGAUAAUGGUAAAACAUGUAAGACCCAAAGAUCUAAGAUAACCCAUAAGCAUAGCAUUCCCAUCAUAAACAAAUUGCACACCAUUUCCCUCCAAUUACAGCCACAUCUUCCAUCAUACCAUAACUCAUCAUUUUUACUCAUUUCUUAUAAUUCCAAAUUCCAAACAUGAGAGGAGUGAUUUAUAUUUUAGUCUAUCCUCUCUUUUAUAUCUCAAUUUCAAUUCCCUCUAUACUCAAUAAUUCUCUCUAUCAUAAAUCAUAUAUUAAACUAAUAACAAGAAAAUGAAUAUGGAACUAAUCAUGAGAGUAUUGAUGAUGUAUGCAAUCCAAGUCUCCACAAUAAAAGUUCUAUUAGUUUUGAAGUCUAAGGUCUACAUCACUAACACAUAAUCAACUAGAAGACAAUAAGUGCGAAUUUAAUACUUACAAGCUCAAGUUCCACAUCAAUAUGAGCCUUGUGGCAUGAGGUCUGGAACGCUCUUCUUCUUGGUGAAGCUCGACGAUCUUAUUUUGAUUGGAGAUGUUCUUGAAUUUUACGCCUUCCCUGUAAGCUUGAAGACAAAUCCAAGCUUCCUCACCUAGAAAAAAAUAUAUGAACUUAAGAAACAAAUCAAACAUGACAAUGUAAACAAUUUGUAAACUAGACAUAGAUUACCAAUGAUAAAUAAGGGUAACAAUAAGAACAAUCAACUUGUAAACUAGACGAUGAGAUCAAUAAUCUAUUACAACUUACAAGAACCUCAAAAUAUAGAUUAUGCAAGUAUCAACCAAUAAUUGUGAGUCAGAAUGCUUCCAUCAAUAAUCUAUUGCAACUUACAAGAAGCAAACGUGCUUUUCUUAUAAUGACACAAUAACUAAAUCCCUAAGUUACAUCUUUGUUCACAUAAGGUAAAAUUAAAAGGUAAGUUAUCAAACAUGCAAAUAAGGAACAAAAAAGCUUAACCUUGUUCAAUAUAAACAUUAAAUUUAAAUAACAAAAGAAAAUCAUAAGUCUAAUAAUCAUCAAUCUCAAUCCAAUGCUCAAAAUAUACUUUAGUUCAAUCAAGGCAGGUGCAGCUAAAGGUCUUACUGUUUCCAAAUCACACCAUAAUAAUGGAAAUAAUGAUCUUUUCAACGUGGGCUUCAUCGCUAGGUCUGCUGCAAAGAUUCAAGCUAUAGCUAAUAACAAAUUCAUCCUUCUACAUGAUGAGGACAAUGCAUGUAGCUCAAACUAGACUGUAAUUGAGGAUGAACUAGGGAUUAAUGUUAAUUCUCAAGGCUACAUCCCUCCAAAUGACAGUACCCUGUAAGUUACAGAGAUAUCAGAAACACCUUUGGAUGAUAUGACUACAAGAUUUGGAGUUGCACCCUCCUUAACAUUUUUUAGGAACACAAGGCACAAUUGCACCUUAUUAAGCCACAAUAAGAACAACAUUUAUCAACAUACAAAAUCAAUCACUAACAACAAUCAAAUGUAAACUAACCAUGAUUAUGAGACAUCACAUCCAGAUCCACUAAUCUGCAAUUCAAUCACAUAAUAGUUUCAUAUUUUUCAGACUUCAGUAAAAAGAACAGAACAUGGCAAUAUCAAAAAAAAUUAGGGUUCAAGGAUCAAAGUAGCUUACCUGAUGCUGCAAGAGUUGUGUGAGGGCUUCCUAGAAGAGAAGGGAGAAGUGGUCAUAUGACUGUGAAUAGAGGUCAAAAAUCAUAUUUGAACAAUGUAACAAUAAUGCUUUCUAAAAUAUGGGGUUUAGGAUUUUAUAAAAAUUGAGAGAAAAUGAAAGAUUAGAGUUUCAUAAAAAUUGUUCCUUUGAAACUCAAACUCGAGACUUUAGGAAAGAAAAACUCACCUUUGAAUAAAAUGAAGACAACAGUGGAGGAAGAAAAGUAUGGCAUGGCAGUGAUAAACCAAAACUUUCUGCAAAGAAAAAACUGGAAGGAAAUUAGAAUAGACAAGAAUGAGGGAAACGAGAGUGAUGAGAAUGAAUGAGGGAAAGAAAGGAAAAUCGUGAAGGUUUUUUUGGUGUGUGGGGCAAAAAGAAAGGGAUGAAGGGAGGAGAAUGGAAGGAAGAGAACUGGUGGAAAGAGACGAGAGUGGACGGUUAAAACCGUAUUUUCUAGCGGUUAUUAUUACCUAGAAUAUAACCCGGGCAAUACUUCAUAAUUCUAUAAAUAAGUAGUUAUUGUGAAUAAGAUUUUAAAAAUAAUAUAAUUUAUUUAUUUUAUUUGUAGAGUAAUUUUUUUAAGUGGAUUUAGUAGAGUAAUUAUUAUAUAUAAGUUGACAUACACACAUUUGAGAAUAAGUAAAAUGUUUUGUAUAGUGAAGAUCAUCCUACAAAUAAAAUUCAUAAAUUAUAUUUAUUGUUAAAAAUCUUAAAAAUAUUUUAAUAAAUAUUAAUAUAUAUAAUUAUCUACCACAAAAUUAUAUUAAUCAUGCUCUUCUUUUGUGUUGUCAAAAUAUUGUUAGAAAAAUAUGAAAAUAAUUUUAUCAUUUAGUAUUCAUUUCAUUAUAAUCUGUAAAAAAAACAAAUAAUUUUUUAAUCUAAAUGGUAAAUAGUUUUAUCUCAAAGACACAAUAAUAACACUCAUAUAAAGCUGAAUAUGGACAAUAUUAUUUGUCUUUUGAGAAGCCAACAUACGAUCAUGUCGUAGAUGAGAUCACAUAUGUCUCUAAAAACAAUAUUAUAACUAAGAACAAUCAAGAUUUUGAGAAAAAUGAACAAAUAAGUAUAAUAUGUUACAAAAUACCACUUACUCAAAAACUAUUUGUACAAAAAAAAACAAUUCCAACUAUAUCUACUUCUUUGAAAUAAUUGGGUUGCAAAGAGAUUUUCUUUUGAGUUGAUAAAGUGGAGUUGUGAAAACUUAUAUGCAUAAUGUUUUCUCAUGACAUUGACAAAUCUUAAAAGUUAAUAGCAUAAGUUGCGAUAUAUAAGUUAAUUGCAUGAUGCUGCGAAAUAAAAGAUAAUUGCAUAAGGUGUGUUAAAAUAGCUACAAGAAAAAAAUAUAUUGACCAUUUAAAUAUUGGAGUUUCAGUUACCAAAAUAUAAUGUCAAAAUAAAUAUUAGAGUUUCAGUUUUGUUUUUAAUAAAACACUAAUUGUAUAGAUUAUUUGAAGAAGUAGAAUAGUAUACGUAGAAGAAAAAAACUUAUAUAUUGAUUGUACUUAAAUUUGUAACUCAUGACACAUUAAUAGUUAUACAUACUAUUAUAUGUUAAAUAAUAAUAAUAAUAAUAACAACACAACAUUUGAUAAAGAUGUAGGAGUCUAUUUUAAUAUAUAUAAUAGAUAAAAUGUGUGUUAAAGCAAAAUGAAAGUUGAAUAAUAAAGAGAAUUUAAGCGGAAAAACCAUUUAGAUGUGGCACAUGAGAUUUUUGUUGAGGUGACAAUAUUUGAAUGAAAUGACAUAAUAUUAGAUGAUUUUUAAGUGGGAGUCUAUUUUAAUUUAAGAUUUUUGUUAAAGGGACAAUAUUUGAAUGAAAUGCCAUAAUAUUAGAUGAUGUUUAUGUAGGAGUCUAUUUUAAUAUAUUGUUUAUCUAAAAGAAAAAGGUUUAAAAACAUGUAAUGAUGGAAGAAGAGAUAGAUAAACCUUUAAAAUGAUUCAAUAUAUUAAUUGAUAGUUAAAACAUACAAAGAGGAAAAAUUGUUAUCAACAAAGAGGAAUAAUUGUUAUCAAUAAUGAUGAGGAAACACCGUUAAUUAUCAAUAAUGAUGGAGGAAUAAUGAAUGUCUAAUAAUUGAUAACAUAUUUAUUUAUUGUGUUGUAAUUUGUAACUUAUAGCAUAUGAAUAAUUUUACAAAAUAUAUAUGAAAAAAAUAAAUUGCAAGUAUGAUAAUAAGAAAGAGGAAGAAUCUUGUUAGACGUGCCACAUCAAUUUUUUUUUUAUGGGACAAUAUUUGAAUGAGAUGACACAAUAUUUGAUAAACACGAAGGAGUCUAUUUUAAUAUAUAUUAUAGAUACAUUUUUUUAAUUAUUAUAUAUAGAUACAUAUAUAUCACAGAUCUAGUUUGUUACAAGGUAAAACAAACACAAUAGUUCUUAUUGAUUAAAGUAAAACAUAAUUAAACAAACAUACAUGGUAAUGUAACCGUAGAUAAUGAGUGAGGGAAUUGAAUUCCUUCUCAUCUGUUAUUCAUAUUCAUAGUAGAAACACAACAACCAUGACCUUCUUUAAAUAGAGAUACUAUUGGGAAUGCCUCUAAAAGUCAAUCCUUCUUCACUAGAAGGAUAAAGAAGAGUGUAUGGCAUCUUCACAGGUCCAUUUCGAUUCCUAAGUGUCUCAUCAUUGUUCCUUUGAGUGAGCUUUUGCUCAAUUUCAGCCAACUUCUUUCCAAACCUCUUGUAGGCCUCUAUUGGUUGUGAGUCAGAAGUCCAUAGAUCACCUUCAAUUCUCUGUCCAAGGUAUUGCUCAUCAGAAGCAUGCCUUGACAAGACCUCUAUAAUGGUCAGGUCAGUAAGGGUAUCAUUCUUUGGUGUGAUUGUCCUCAAAUAUGUCUUUUGGUAGUUCUUAGCAAGUUCAUCAUACUCAGGGGAUCCUUUCUCAGGCAUAUAUCUCCUACUUUUAGUUGGUCGGUUAAGGAUAUAUCCUCCAUAUGGAUAUUGUCCAAAAUUAACAGCUGCAUGAAGUGCUGAAGCAAUCCAUAUGAGAAUGGUGCAAGCUUCAAUCAACUCUUUACGAGUUUGCAUCUUAAACCACCAUGUAGCAUUCUUCAAGUCACCAUGACCAACCUCUACAAGUUCUUUCCAAAAUGCUUGGAGUUCAGAAUCUUGUGCAAUAGCAUCAUCUGACUUGUAGUAAAAAUUCACAUAUUCUUCAACCCAUGACUUGAUAGCAGCCCAUAUUUCUAGUCCAUCAGAAGCAUAAGGGUAGUCUUCUAUUAGAAGGCGAAUACCAUAUGGUGAGGAUGGAUCCUCAACAGCCACUCCCCUAUAUAACAAGCAAGGAAAAUAUAAUUAAAAUAUAAAAAUUAGAUCAAUAUCUUUUUUAACAAAUUAAUGGAGUGACCCUUUUGUAAGGUUACCUUUUAUGUAAUUAAAAUAUAAAAAUUAGAUCAAUAUCUUAAACCACAAAUUAAUGGAGUGGCUCAUGGAUGAAAUAUUUUGUAAUUAAGAUUACCUUUUGAGUAAAUCAUAAGGUAGUCCUUGCUCAGUGAAAACCCAAUCCUUGUAAACAGUAGAAGACAUUUCCAAAGCAUAUCCACCCCACAAGAAUGUUGAUUCUAUAAUACCUUCGGCAUUGACAAGGACAUUUCGAGCAAGUGCAUUUAUGUUCAUUGUAUCACGAUAAUGUGGAAGUAAAAGUUUAUGAAUAGGAUGAACCACACUAAGAUGUCUAUUUGUUGCUAUGAUGAAUGGCUCAACAACAGCGUGAGUGUUCAACCUGUCACAUAUAUAUAUUCAUGAAUUACUCAUGGAUAGAUAAAACAUGUUACAUUGUACAAACAUCAUUAAUGAAACUCAUACCAAUGGCUAACAAGUUGGUGAUAACAGGAGUCAUUUACAACAACAUAAGCCUUGGAAAGUAGCCAAAUUGAAGCUUCAACACCUUCGCUUGCCGGCAAGUAUACAUUACUAACAGGACCAAAACUAUCACCUUGAGGAUGUGGCCUACUUAGCUCAAUUGCCAAUGGCUUCAAUGUUCCAUCAUUUUGCAAGAAAAGAAUGGUUCUUGUAGCAUAGGCCUUAGUGUCGGUUGCAUUUAUUUUCCUCAAAUAUGGAAAAAGUGGAUCGUGGUGAUCAAGUAUAUACAAUCUAUUAUUUUGGAUGGCCUGUUAAACAAAAUAUAAUUUUUUUGAUGUGGUUCAUUUGAAUAAAAACAAUCAAUUUUGCUGAAAAAGAAAAAUAUAAUGAAUCCUUUUGGGGAGUGUCCAAUUGUCUUACCUCUUCUACGGUGACACCACUCAUGUUUGGCUCUAAGUGUUCUUUGGUUAUUGUGCUAGUAUUAUCACCAUAGAUUUGACUAUCUAACUUGCUCUUUGGUGGGAACUCCUAAAUUAAUUGUAGCAAAAAAUGAGGUUAAUUACCAAUUAUAAUUAUAGGAUGAAAAGAGACAAAUUAUAAUGUUAACUAUGAAGUUUACCGUAAGUAUUUUGAUGAUGUGUGGAUUAACACCAGCAAUCAUCUCCCUUGCAAAUUCCUCAUCAGUCAUCCAAGCAGAAUGAUCCACUAUUCAUGAUAGAAAAAUUUUAAUAGAACAUUGAACAUCUUUUUUAUGAUUUAGCAUGUAAAUAUAUUUACAAGACUAGGAAUUUGUGAGUAAUAUAUACCUUGAACCACUUUAGGUGGUGGGAAUUUAAGUGCCGAUUCACCAUCACUUCGGAAAAGUUCAGUAAACAAUGGUAUUGGGCUAAUUUCACUUAAUAUAUUAGUGGGAAGCUUAAUUCCACCAUCAUAGAGCGAGCGUACAUCUUCAAAAGUGUUAAAUUCAGGUUCAUUGAGUUGUAAUGUAACUACAGAUCUUAACCGAGGUAUGAUAUUUUGAGAUGCUGAUUUGAGUAUGUAAACAAGAAAAUCUGACGACUUCAAGUGACCAAAUGAUUCAUCUCUUGGAAGGUAAACAACGUCGCUCCGACUCUCACUCUUAGGAUCUGUUCACGUAUAAAAUAACAAAAUAUGUUAUAGAAACUACAAUAAUAUUUUUAAAAUCACAAGUAGAGUAAACAUUGUAUGAACAAAAAGACACAUUGUUCUGCUCCAAAAAAGUGGCACCAUGUCAGUAUAGUUAGCCUUAAUUUCAAUUAUGUCAAGGUACCAUUAAACAACCUGUAUUGGUCACUAGUAACAAAAAAACAUUACAUAAAAAGUUACAUUAAAUACAAUUUCACAUUUUAGUACAAUAUUAUUGGAUUUGUACUAAAAUAUACGUUAAAAGUAAAAUAGAAGGCUUAACCUUUGCUAGUUGGUUUUUUGCCAGUUCUACCCCUUCGAGGGUAAGGAAGGGUGCUCGAUCCUCCAAGAAUUGGACGAGCUAAGGUACUUUUCUUGUCGGGCUCACCCAAAUCAUUGUAGACAUCAUAAUCAUAUAUUCUUUCCCAUUCUUUACGUUCUCCAGUUCCAUCUCCUCUUAAAGUUUUCAACUCUUCUUUUCUAUAGUACACUAAUGGAGCUGGUGUUUCACUUGGAAUAUAUGUCUACAUAAAUUUAAUCAUUCAUAACCUCAAGUUUAACGAACAAUAAUCUAUAUAUAUAACAUUUUUAAUAAAUAUAUUUAACAAAGUAAGAUAAAAUUUAUAUACUUAAUUACCUUGUUGGCAAAGAAAAUGCGACCAGUUUUGUACUUUUUAGAAUUGUAAACCCAUGAGUUGCAAACAAAGUUGAUGGUUCCAUGGUUUGGAACAUCUUCAAGAGUCAAACUCACAAGGAAGAAUUCACCUUGCAUAAAAUUAUCGAUAUAAAAAGCUCCUGGAAUUCCCAUAUCACUAUCCCAUUCAAAAUGAAUACUGAAAGCAGUUUGUUUGUCUCCCAAUGUUGGUAAAGAGGUAAGAAGACCUUCCAAAAAUGUUUGCUUUCCUACUUUUCCUUUUCCAGUUCCUAUUAAAAUGUCAAAUUUUGGAUUCCCAAUUUCAUUAAUCACCAUCCUAAACUGAUUAUUUAUAACUAAUAUUCUAAAUAAAAAAUAACACGAAACUAAGGUCAAUCUUAAUGGACUGAGGGGUAAAACUCUUCAAAAAUAUAAGAUAAAAUUACUUACAGUUGAUAAAACUAAGAAUUUUUUUUUACUCCUUCAUAUAAGUCCAAUUAUAUAUGAUCGUCUUAAAAUUUUAAAUUACAUAAGAAAAUUUCUAGAUGUGACUCUCAUUUAUGCAGCACCCAACAAAUCUAGGACUCUAGAUCAAAGGUGGAUAAUAUAUUCAAAAAUAAUUAUUAUCAAAGUAAAAGUCUUAACUGAUUUUUUUGAGAAAAAUAAAUUGAAACCUUGCAACUUUGGUCUUGGAUAAAAAUAGUAAAAUAUUUUAUUCCGAAAUCACUUGUCUCUUUACACUUUUUUCAUUUAUCUUGUUAUUUAAAUAAAUGAUUUUCUAUAAAUCUAUUUUUUAUUUGUUUUCGUCUCAUUUAGAGUAUUCUUUUUUUUAGAUUAACUUAGAUACACUCCAACGUGAUUAACGUUUACAGAUUCGGAGACAAAAAUACUUUGGUCAGUUUAAAUUUAUCAAAUUUAAAAGUAUUUUAUUGUUUUAUGUCAUUAAUCUAAAUAUUAAAUUUGUUCACAAAUUCACGAUUUUCAAUUUUAAUGAAUUUAUAUUUGUAUUAUUCUCUAUCUAUGUAUUUUAUUUAUUUAAAUGAAGUUUAUAUUAUUGUUUAAUAAAAAAAAUAAUCUUAAUUUUACCAAUAAAAAAUGAUAAAACUUUUUUAAAUAAUGACAAACUUUAUCUACUCUUUGGAUCAACUUACUUAACCUUUUUAUAAUAGAAAUAAUUUAUAUGUAAACAUUUAAUUAAAUGGUAUAUUAAAACAGAGAGAGUGAAUAGUAACUAAAAAAAAAUUAGAGAGUGAGAAAGAGAAUUGUUAUUACCAUCGUCAGUUGUAGCACUGAUCAACUUGAAAGCAAUAGAACGACCCAAGAAAGAAGUGGCGGUAUCAAGUAAAGAGCCGGCGAUAUCUCCGAUAGCGCCGAUGGCACCACCGAUUAUACCACCGGGGCUUUGAACUGCAGUGAGAGUGUUGAUGUCCAAAACAUUCUUUUGCAUCAACACCACAGUUCCUUUCAGCUUUUCGCCUCUGUUAAAAAUACCUUUCACCAAUGAAGCCAUCAAGCUAUGUUAAUUAAUUCACUUUCUUUGUCAAAUGUAAGAAAAGCUCGUGUCUUGUAACCAUGGAGUGUGCUCAGUAUUUAUAGACUAUCGUAGUUGUCAUAAGAAGGUUAGAUCACUAAAAAUAUACUUUUUUAUUCAUUAUUUGACAACAUGUAAAAAUACAUUGGGACACAUCUCUUCAGCUAUUUUUUUAAUUUUUUAUUAAAUUUUAUUUAUUAAAAAAUGUAGGAUGAUAAAAUAAUGUCUCAACUUAAGUUAGUGAAGAUUUUAUAGUUGAUUGAACACUUACAAAUAAUUUACAUUUUUACUGCUAUAUUAAUGUUGUUGUUUCUUGUGCAAUUUUUUAUUUAUCAUGAUUAUCUCGUGGUUUUUAAAAUAAUAAUAUAUCAUUUGCAUAAUUAUUUUGAUCGUUGUUAUAUGUACCGGCUUCGACGUUAUGGGUAAUGAUGAGCCUAUUGCACUAUUGUUAAUUACGUUCUUACGUGUAAGCCGACCAAAAUAUUCUUUUUUUAAUUUUUGUACUCUUGUUUAAAAGUAAAUUUCUAAUUUAACCCUUGAUCUCACCUAUUCACUAAUUAAUUUAUUAAAGUAUUCUAAUUUAAUAUUUCUAAUGUUAAUCACGUUUUUGUUUUGUUUUAAGGGAUAGUUAACUUUAGAGUUAUCUUUAUAUUAUAAUAUAGAAAAUAUAAUUUAAAUUAUAUUUUAUUUUAUCUUAAAUCUAAAAUAACAGUAGUAUUUGACUAUUUCACACAAAUUAAAUAAAAUUUGAUAAUUAAAAGAUAAAAUAAUUAUUGUUAAUUAAAUUAUUCUUCUUAACCAUUGAUAUAUUCUAUUUACCAUAAAUACAAAAUAGUGAGUAAUAAGUUGAUAGUGAUUAACAUAAUAUUAAUACUUAAUUGUAGUUUUGAACACUUUAUUUUUAUCAAUUCACGAAAUUGAUCCCACUAUUUUAAAAGUAGGUAAUUUUAGUUCCUUUAUUAGAUUUUUGAACUAAAAAAAUGACAAUUCGACGUAUUUUAAAUAAUAUGAGCUUCAGUUCAAUGGUAUAGAAUCAUCUAAGUGAAUUAAUUAUUCAUAUAUCAGUAAUUAAAUUAAAAAUAUGAAAAAAAUUUGAAGUUGAAAGUUAAAUUUCUAUAGAGUUUUAUUUUGAUUUUAUGAAUAUUAAUUAUUCUAUAUCAUCGUAUCAUAUAACAUAUUAUUUAAAACAUGUCACGUGACCAUUUUUUAGUUAAAAAUAGAAGGAGGAGCCAAAUUGUGAACUUCUAAAAUAGGAGAUCAAUUUAUGAAUCAGUAAAAAUAUAAUGACUAAAACAUAAUAUUAAUUUUACAAUAUAUUAAUUAUACAAUGUUCGUACAUUAUCAAUAUAAAAUAAUUUUACAUUGACAUCCAACAAAAAAUCGUCAUAUUUCUAUGUCACAUGAUUAAUUUUAAAAUAAUUAUAAAAAUGUAUAAUGAUGUGGCAAAAUCAUGAAUUCUUAUUAAAUGUAUGUAAAACAAUUUUCCACCGAGAAUGUAUAUUCUUUAAUUUCAUCGUAAAUUAUUCACACUUUUGUAUAUAUUGGAACACUAACCUCUUUUGUCAUUCUCCCCUUAUCUCUUUCUCUAUUGUUAUGAUGAUUAGAGUUUGGUUCAACCUUCUUUAAAUUAUUUCGUCAUUGUUUUGUUAUUGUGUUCCCAAAAAUUUAGGAAUGUAAUAUGAUUCUAUUUUCUCUUUUUUGAUGUAAUUGUGUUUGCAUUGCUUUUUAGUGAUCAAUUCUUUGAUUGUUCUUUCUCUCCUCUUCCCAUUUUGCUUUUGGUUGUUUCUUAUUGGGUUUUCAAAAUCAAUUCACUACAUAUCGUCUUCCACUUUUUGUGCUUGAAGAGUGGGGUUUGAUGAUCAUCAUCAUGUAGGCUCUCAUUUCAUUGUGUUUGAUUGUGAUUACUGGGAACAUGUUAAUUGGCAUUGCUACAAACAACAUCCAUAAAUUCAUGUAAUCGAACAAUUUUUUGUUACCUUAAUUAUACCUUCCACAAUAUCUCUACCGCUAUCGACCCAUUUGUUAUGACUAAUAUUGUGGAGUUGAUUUUUUUUGUCCAUCUAUUUUUAUUGUUGCGAAUCUUUGCUAAUUUGGUGUUAAAUUACGGGUCAGUUGUCCAAUUGAUUUAGUUGGAUUUUCGUUGUAAAUUUUUUUGUUGGUUGGAUUUUUCUUUUGAUUGUGAUUUAUUAAUAUGACCGAUGUUCCUUUUUUUGGGUGAUAUAUUUUAUUUGGUUGCUCCCUUCUCGAUUUAUUUCUUUCUUUAUAGUGAAUGUUUGAUAUAGUCGAUGAUCUUUUCUUUGGUUGUUGCUCCUUCUUUGGCUGCUCAUCUCUAUAUUGGUUUUAUAUUGUGGUUGUUGCUCUAAUUACUCUUCAUGUCAUGUAUAUUUUUCUAUUUUUUAGUUUCAACUUUCGUCUUUGAAUUGUAGUUUUUAGUCAAUUAAGUUUCAUUUUAGAAUAAAAUUGCAUAUCUUUGUUGUCUGAGUAAAUGAUUGAAUUUGAUUUGUUUUCCUAUUUAAUCAAAAAAAUUGUUGUAGUGUUGUUUUGAAAGAGUCUCAAAUUAUUCAAGAGAAUAUUGUCUGUAACAUUUUGCUUAAUUUCUCAGGGCACAAAUUCAAAUUAAAGUGACUUUUGGAAGCUUAGGGAGAUUGUUUCUUGCAUCGAAGGUGUGGAAGUGUGUCUUAAAUCAAUAACAAUUUGGAGUUAGUUAGUUAGUUAUAAAUGCAUUGUGUAUGUUGUAACGUGUUGUUGCAAGUGGUAAUUGAUGAUUGAGAGAGAGGGACAUAUACAAUUCGAGAUUCAUAGAAAUUCAAAGAAGAAAGAUCAAGGGAGAGAAAAAGAUUGAGUAAAAUGACUAGUAUUGCUAAUUCAUAAACAAUGAUAGAUACUAAGAGAUCAAUCUUGAGAAGACCUUAAUCUUGUAAAGUUCAAUUAACAAUAGUGGAUUAAUCUUGUUUGCUUUGCCCGUGACGUAGGUCUCAUCAAUUGGGACUGAACGCGUAAAUCUGAGUGUUAUUCUUCUCCUAUCUCUCUUUAAUUUUCGUUUACAUUGAUUAAAAACUGGUUUUUAAACUGUAGAAAAAGAAGAACGAUAAAUAGUCUUCGUUUUCUGGUUUUCAGUUAUGUUCAACAACGUUCUCCGUUUUCGUUUUUUCUCUGCAAUUAUUUGUCUUCUAUUUUUGUUGGUUAAUUCUUGUUGCAGAUCACAAUAUUGUUUUAACCGAAGGAACACAAAGUUGAAUAUUUCAACCUAAGAUACUGGAUUUGGAGAUUUCGUUCUUGAUAUUUCAUGUGUAAAAUCUUAACUUGUUUUAUAUUGAAUAGGUUAAGUGGCUAAACUCUUCAAUGUUCAGGAUAAGUAGAAUUUGAUUAAACCUUUGAAUAUAUUGUUUGAUUGUUUUUUUUUAUCUUUUGAACGAGUUUAUUGAAUUGUUUUUCUUAUCUCUAUGUUUAAUGCUAUUGAUAGACCGAUCAAACAAUAUAUUCUUGGUCAAUUGAGAUAUUUUAAGAAGUAAAAGAUCAAUAAAAAAAUUCUUGGUCAAUUAAAUUUAACUCUAAUUUUAAAUCUACUAAGAAAUUAUGAUUUAUUUUAGGAUUAAAGGUUUUGUUAUUAAGAAAUUAGGAAAAUAACAAUGAAGAGAAUUUAGUAACAUUUCACUAGACGACUUCAGUAGCUAUGUUGUUGUCCAAUCAUAUUUAUAUCUUUUUUUUCAAUUAAGUAAUUCAAUUACAACUCAACAGUAUAAUACAAUAUUUGUGAUCGACACUAAGUAACUAUUGUAUUAUUACUUGCAACGAUUCAAUAUAUUUGCUGACAUUGCUAUCAUUCUCCUUAUUUGGUUGAUCUAUUCUCUGUUAGUUUCUCUCUUUAAUGUGACUAUCUAGUAUAGUUGUUGUUCAUUUUUUGGUUGUUUUUCUCUCUUAUUGUUCCUCUAUUAUAAGUAUUUGAAAUGAAUGUUGCUCUUUCUUUAGUUGUUCAUCUCUCUAAUAGUUCUGAUCUUAGUUGGUUUAAUUUGAUAUUCUCUUUUAAAAAUAUAUCAGUUGAUCACUUCAAUAACUGUAGUAAAAUUAAUAGUUCAGUAAGCCAAACUGAAGCUUCAUCACCUUAGCUUGCAGGCAAUAUACAUUACUAACAUGACCAUAACUAUCACCUUGAGGAUGAGGCCUACUUAGCUCAAUGGUCAAUGGCUUCAAAGUUUCAUCAUUUUGCAAGAAAAUGAUGGUUCUCGUAGCAUAAGCCUUUGUGUCAGUUGCAGUGAUUUACCUCAAAUAUGGAAAGAGUAUAUUUUGGUGAUCAAGUAUGUAUAACCUAUUAUUUUCGAAAACCUGUUCAAUAAGGUAUGUUUUUUUUAAUAAAGAAACAAUUAUACAUAAUAUUAAUAGUAUAAUUAAUUCUUUCAAAUAAUAUGUUGUAUUAUGGCAUUGAUGAUCACCUGUUCUAGAGUGACCCCUUCGAUGCUUUGGCUAUCUAAUUUGCUCUUUAGCGGGAACUCUUAUAUUAAAUGUACCAAACAUUGGGGUAAAUUACCAAUUAUAAACACAGUACGAAAAGUGGACAAAAAGUCUUCAUUUAUUUUUUUCAUAUUAUGUUAAUAAUAUUAAACUAUUAACUUUAUCAAAAGUUUGAAAUUUCACACUAAUAAUCAUCUCACGUGCAAAUUUUUCAUUAACCAUCCAUAUAGAAUGAUCACUACAAAUAGUAAUAAUAACAUGUUAAAAGAUUUGAGUUUAAUGUAUACGAUUUUGUAUAUAAAUAUAUUGUUGAGACUAGGAAUUUGUGUAUAAUAUAUACUUUGAACAACUUUAAGUGUUGGAUACUUAAGUGUCGAUUCACCGUUAUUUCGAAAAAGUUCCUUGAAUAAUAACGGUAAGGAUGUUCUUGUGAGCAUCCCUCACAAAUUAUUCCAUAUAUUUUCUAUAAUAUGACCAUUCCCUUUCAUAACUGAUAUGCACUCUACAUAGUGAACUAGUGGUUACUAGUUCCCCUUAUCCUAAGAUAUUUUGAGAAUAAGUUCUAUAUAACACUUUUGAAUAAUAAAUCCAAUAUUUUUUUCAUGUGAUAAUUGAUUAUAAUUCUUAAACUCCAUUAAUAUUGAAAAAUAGUUGGUUGAAGAAAUAAAAUCAUUAAAAACCUUGAUAUAUGUUCAUAAUUCAUUCACUCAAAAUAUGAAGUUUGCAUUUUAUAUAAUAGCUCCAUCACAAUACAAGGUACAAUUACAAACAUAGAAGUUUUUAUUGAGGAAAGACAUUAUUACAAUCAACCAAGCAUACAUAAAAACAUGACCAUACAUAGCAGGAGAAGGAAUUCAAUUAUUCUCAUAUUUUAUUCAUAGCAACCACACAACAACCAUGACCUUUUUAGAUGGAGACACUAUUAGGAAUACCUCUGAAAGUCAAUCCUUCCUCACUAGAAGGAUAAAGCAAAGUGUAUGGCAUCUUCACAGGCCCAUAUCGGUUUCUCAAUGACUCAUCUUUGUUCCUUUGAAUGAGCUUUUGCUCAAUUUCAGCCAAUUUACUUCCAAAUUUCUUGAAGGCCUCUACUGGUUUUGAGUCAGAAGUCCAAAGGUCGCCUUCAAUUCUCUGUCCAAGGUAUUGCUCAUCAGAAGCAUGCCUUGACAAGACCUCUAUAAUGGUCAGGUCAGUAAGGGUGUCAUUCUUUGGUGUUAUUGUCCUCAAAUACACUUUUUGGUAGUUCUUAGCAAGUUCAUCAUACUCAGGGGAUCCUUUCUCAGGCAUAUAUCUCCUACUUUUAGUUGGUCGGUUAAGGAUAUAUCCUCCAUAUGGAUAUUGUCCAAAAUUAACAGCUGCAUGAAGUG
rnacentral:lncRNA from 1 species